AGCCUAUCUCUUUGUUUUCGUUCUUAACACAACAAAUUGAUGCUUCUCUCUGUCAAGAUCUAACCCCAUUUCGCUUCUCCCUGUUCUCCUUCUUUACACGAGUUCAUGCUCAUCCCUCAUCUCCUGCUGUGCACAGAACUCGAAGUGGUCUUUGUUUUCUACUUUUCUAUCUUAAUUUUUCUCUUUGCUUAUUUUCAUUUUUUUUUCUUAUUUCUGUUAGAUUCAAAUCUUGUCCUUGGUUUCCAAACUAAAAGUUUUGUCUUCCCUGUUUUUCUGUCUGUCAUUUUAUUUGCCUUUUUAUCUCUAUUUUUUUUUAUCUCAGUAUAGAAUGAUUAUAUAAUGGGUCUAUAUUUUUGGUUGAGUGCUAGUAACAGUAUAUUACAAGUUAGAAUUUAUUCAAAAUUUCAAAUUUUGUGGGUCUCAUUUCUCAUUUGAUGAUUUUCCCGAUUUAGAAAUGAAAGGUAUUAAAAUUUGAUUUCUAAUAAAUUUCAACCAAUAGUAAAGAGAGUGUUAGAGGAAGUGUUGUUAGCAUUCCUAAUAUUUUAUUUCAUUUUUAAGUGAUCCUUUCUUCUCCAUUUUGCAAUUCUAAGUAUAUUCUUUUUCCUUUGUUCAGAGAGCAUUGAUUAACAGUUAUUUCUGGGAGUUGCAAGUAAAAGUAGUGAUUUAAAUAUUAGUUAGUGCAAAUAGGGUGAAUGCUCUAUUGUGGAGGAUUCCUGUUUGGAAAGGUUUAUUGCCCUCAUUGAUAGUCUGAUUAAAAUUUGUGGUGGUUCUGUGGUUGUUGCACUUUAAAUGAUAGGGAAAGGGUUAGCUUGAGCAACUGGUAUUGGGCAUAUGUGCAGUGGAUAAUUCUUGGCUCAUUUUGAUUCCAAGUGUCAGAGAUAACUAUGCACCAAUGAAUUGAUGACUCAUAGUGGAGUUAAACCCAGUUCCCAGGAUAAUAACGAAACAAUUUCCUCUUUGAACAACUAAGUGAAAUACAGUGGUUAUUUCUGCUGUUAGUAGAUAACGUGCUAUUUUGACAGAAUUCAUUAUAGGUACUGUAGUAUUCUUUGAAGUGUCAUAUACGUAAGCUUGAAGUAUCCAUAAGAGCAGGGUUCUAUGAAACUAUUGCAUUUAUAACAUGAUGAUAGCUUGUAAUAAUGUUUUUACAUUGCUUGAUAACCGCAACCCUUUGAAUAGCACUGUUAGGUAGGGUCAGAGGCAGAAGUAUAGAUGAAGAGCAUUAGUGGGAAGUUAUUAUUUUUUAUUAUUUGUUUGAAUCUUAUCUGAAUGAGCAGAGUAUGGAUGAUAAUGGAAAACUAGAUAUAUACCCGCGCCUGUAAAUGGGUUUUGAUUGCUAGUAAUUUAAAUAAAUAAAUGAUGGAACAUGUAAAAGAAUUUGCUUCAGUUAAUAAAUAAAAACUACGUUCUAUUAUAUACCUAUAAUAUUCUCAUCUGAGAAUAAUAAAUGAACUACUUUCCAUUAGGAAAAAUAUAUAUUAAAAAUAAAACUUUCAGAAAAUAGUGAAACUAAACGUUCAUGAGAAUUCCAAUUACAUGUUUUUGCACCCUAUAAAAAAUAACAUGAAAAUUUAUGUAAUUCGAAAUAUAUUUUUAAAAAAUGGUAUUCUGGAUUAUAUAAUUUGAAAUUUUAGAUUUGAUAAUAGUUUUUAGAUUAUAUAAUCUGGACACAGUAUUUGAAAAAAACUUCUGAAUUACAUAAUUCAAAACUUAAUCUCAUAUUAGAAAAGAUUUUCGAAUUAUAUAAUCAAGAAAUUAAUUAUAUAUCUGUAAAAAAAAAACUUUCGAAUUAUAUAAUCCGGAAGCUAAUUAUAAAUUUAAAAAAAAACUUCUGCAUUACGUAAUAUAUUAUAGAAUAGAGGAAAUUUUUUUAAAUAACAAAGGCAGAGAAGAACAUAUGGAAUUGUAGAAGAGUCUUCCAAUUCAUACAUAAAUCAUUGAAGCAUUUUAAACCUAAAUUAAAUUUGGGCUUGGGAAUUUAAAUUUUGGGUAAGAAGAGAGUGCGAGCCUUACAUUUUGGGAACUAUUUCCUCAACCUACCCGUUCAAUUUGAACAUGACCCGUAUUUAUGAAAAAUAACAAAAAUAACCUUAAAUAAAAAGUGAGACUAUAAUAAAAAUAUCAACAAAAAUAUCUUAAAUAAAAGUAGGAUUGAUAAAAAAAACUUCUAAAAUUAUUUUUUCCAUAACAAGUUUUUGGAUUUAAUUUUUUAGAACAUUUUUAUGGAGUUUGAAGAUCCUUUUCUGAAAUAUGUUUUUUUUUCUGGAAAUGUUUUUUCGAAAACGUAUUUUUUUAAAAUUUCUUUUUCGGAAUGGAAUUUUGAUUUUUAAAUUCUUUUUCAGAAUUUCAUUUUCAGAACACAAUAAUCUAUUCAGAAUUUGAUUUUUCAAAAUGUAUUUUUUAAAUUUUGGAUUUUCUUUUCAGAAUAAAAGAUAAUUUUGGAAAUUUCAAAUGAGAAUCGGUUUCAUGUCACAAUUGAUAAGUUGGUGGAAGAAUUUGCCUAAAUUUUGAUCCAUGAAUGUACUUAGGUAUAGAGAUGUGUGAAUGUUAAAUGAGACUACUUGGAAAGUAGAUUUCACAAAAUGUACCUUCUAAGAUAUGUGUGAGGGGCUUUUAAUUAGAUAAAUGAAUAUUAGAAAAGGCAUUAGUGUAGUGGAAGGAUGUAGUUGUAAUAGGUGAAGGUGCUACAACAAAGAGACGCUUCUUAUGUUAAGUCUAUAUUCAUACUUCAUUUAUGUUUUAUCACUACAUUUUUGGUUCCUUCAUUGAAGAACUUGUUAGUAUGGCUGAGAACAUGAGACCGGAGCUUUUCACUAACGUUAAGCACAGUGAUGUUUGGACACUCCUCUUAAAUGGUGUGUCUGUGUCGGAUACACGUAUUCGAUAUUGACACCUGUAAGACACGUAUCAGUAAAGUGUCAAAUUCAAAAAAUAUUUGUUGAAUUUCUGACAAUUCUAACAUGUUUUUGUAGGACUGUCUAACAAUAAGAAUCAAAGUAUGAACAACAUCAACACACAAGAAUUUAUCAUGGUUCAUCAAAACUCGAGUUAAAUCAAGUUUCCUUACGUAACUGUUUAAGAGCUUCCACUAACCAAUGCACUUGAUUAUAACGAGUGUUCUCACCUCUCCAAGUUACAACGAAUAUUCUCGCCUCUUUAGGUUACAACGAGUAUUCUUGACUCUCUAGGUUACAACAAGUAUUUUCGCAUCUUCAGGUUACAACGAGCAUUCGCACCUUCCAAGUUACACCUUCUUAACCUUCCCCUAAGAUUAAAAACUCUCAAGAAAACAAAGAACAUACUAAAAAAGAGUACAAACAAAGCUCACAAGGGUAUAACUUAUGAUGUGAAGAAUUGCAAUAGUUUCACAUUCAACCCAAAAUACUAGAAGUUCUACUGGCUCGAUUAGAUGCUCACCACAACUCCUGUAUUUUCAACAAGGUCACUUGUAUAACUUUUGUUGCUUGACUUUUCUUACUUUUGUUCUUCACAUUAAAUCUCUUUAUAUAACUUAUUUUCAAAUUUGUUCUUUAAUACUUGAAUUGGUAAAUUUGUUCUUUAAUACUUGAAUUGGUUAUGUUUGGAUAUUGCAAUAUCUUCAUCUUUUUUUGUGCUAGAAGUUCCAAAUAGAAAGCUUGAGUUUGCAAUCUUUCCAAUAUUGUUUUGUUUCAAAUUCGUUUAAGAAACUAAUUUGAAAGUAUUUAUAAUACAGAUUAGUAAAAACAAAUCAAAACAUAAUUGAAAAAUUGUUUCAUUCCAGAUAAUAAGUGCAUCUAAAAAUAUAAUACUUGAGAUUUUCAAAUUUUUUAUGUUAUGAAAAGAUUUAGAGAUAUUCACAAUAUAUUAAAAAGAUAUUUAUAAUACUUAUUCUGAACAAAUAUAUUUAGGAAAAGAUAGAUUAUAGAGACAUGAAAAACAGGAUAAGAAAGAGUCAUUCCACAUAAUAAAUUAUUUUCGUUUUGGAUAUAAUAUCUUUUUAAUAGAUAUAUGAUUCAAAAGAUUUCAUUUAAAUGUUAAAAUAAAAAAAUCUAUUACUCAUUCAACACGUUCAUCAAACCGUCUAGCAUAAGCAAAAUUGUACACUCUUUAGAGGGUUUAUUGUAUACUACAACUUCCAGUUAACCAAUAUUAGAUCAUUUAAAUCACAAAUAAAGUAUAUUAUUCAAAUCAAAAAUAAGAUAUUAGUCUAAAUUUUUUUAUAAAUUAACAAGUCUUAUCAUACCGUUUAUCAUGAAGACAUUAUGAAGAAGCUCAUAGUGUCUAUUGAGUAUUGCAGUUGUACAAAACAUUAUUAAAACCUUCAAAAACAUAAAUACCAUUCAUGUUGUUUUCGUUAUCAUCAAAACAUAAACUUCUCAUAUAAUAUUUUGGUCAUCAGACUGUCCAGUAGGUCAUAAAUCACCUCAUGUAACAAACAACCUAUUACGUCUUAGACCAUUCGUGGCCUCAACAAAUGUUAUACAUGUUAUAUGGGCUAGAUUUAGUUUUUUUGUUACUUUUUGUUAUUAUAAAAACAUAAGAACACAAAUGUCCAUAUGAUAUUCUAAUCAUCAGAUUGUCCUCAUGGUUUAUAGACCAUCUAGUUGGUUAAGAGACCAUCCUAGGGACUUAUUAUAUUGUCUAAAUCGUCCGGGAUCUCAACAUGUAUGAUUAUGAUAAUGGUAAAUUUUGUCAAACAAACAUAAUCUAAUAUGAAUUUGAAUAAAUUUCUUUUAGAGAAAUUUUAUCUUUCAUGAUGGUUAAUUUUUUGUCAAUUAAACAUCUUUAAAAAUUAAAGAUAUUAUUCAAAAUCGAAUUUAUUGGAAUAUUGUGCAAAAUAUAUGUACUGACAAUUAAACCUAAGAAAUACUAAAGAAAGAAAGUUCAGGAAAGUAAUAUAAGAAAUAGAUAAAAUACAUGAAUUAAAUGGUUAAGAACAUUGCAAUAACAUAUUCAUCCGUGAGCUUCCUCUGAUCUAGGAUUUAAGUAUUUAUAUAUUUCAUCAUUAUUACAAAAUACAAGUUUAAUAAAUUCUAUUUACUCAAGACUUCAAAUAACUUUAAAUAAUUUUCCCUUGAUCUCUGCCCUUAACGACAUGCUGAGCUUCAUUCUUCAAAAUCUCCACGUUCUAACGGUCUUAUCAUUAAGAAACAUCAUUCCGAAAAAUCGAAAUAAUCUGGGAGUUAACAGAUACUUUUGAAGAAUCUAAUGAUUUUUAGAAGAGUGUCCGAUACUAAGCUCAACCCACUAUAAAUUUCACCCAUAAUACUUUCCAGGUAUAUAUACACUGGUUCAGCAACCUCAAAGUUACCUCAGCUUCUAAAUAUUGGUUUGUUAAGUCAAACUUCCGACACACUUUACCAGUGCCAAAUAGUCACAUGGAACAUUUCAUGGCAAAGGGAUUUCUUUUAGAGGUAGGAAUAAGUGACCACCUUCAGCACAUGGAAGACUGGUCCAAAGAACCCACAAACAAAUAAUAUUGUUAGUAAUAAAUACCAUAUAUUCAAUUUCGUAUAGGUUGCUAAAUGCUUAUAAAAAAUAUAUCAGUCCCCAAAACACUUUUUUGCAUGGUUUUUUCCUUUCUACUUUCUUUUCUUUAUGUCAGGCAAUGCAAUCAUGAAAUUGUUGUUCCAAAUUAAGUUAAGCACAUCAUCAUCAUAAACAAAUAUUUAUUUGAGGAUCAAUUAAAAAAAUAACAUACCUAAUCUUCCAGACAGCCAAAGUUGAAAUCACGUACUGUUGACACUGAAAUUUAUCUAUUAGAAGAAACAAAACAAAAAAAAUGAGCUGAGAUUUAUGGCAGUUGUCACCACGCUACAAAUUCACUAAGUUAUGCUCAUCCUAAAAUAACAAACAACUACCCCUUUCUUACCUCUGAAUGUUUGCCAGAAGACAUGUUUCUGCCAUCUCAAACCAGCGUUUAUAGAUUUAGUCUACAUUAAAAUUUUGCUUAAUCAGUCAAUAUCAUCUUUUCCAUCUGACAGUAUUAACAUGGUUAAGUUGAAUGCGACCAUCUCUAACUCUAACAUUAUCUGACAUCUAUUGUUGAUUGAAAAUCCUUCUAAAACAAUGAAGUUUCUCACUGGCAAUCAGUCUACCCAACUAUAUCCUGCUUGCUUCUUGACAUUUUUUUCCUCCAUCAAUACUCUCACACUCUCAGCGUCGUCCCAUUGUCCUAAAUUAGCAUACAUAUUAUAUAACAAUACAUAUGGAGCUGAACUUUCUGGUUCAAGUCUGAUCAAAGCAUCAGCUGCUACUAUGGCCAAUUGUACAUUAUUAUGAAUUCUACAAGCACCUAGUAAUGCACCCCACACAGCCUUAUCUGGUUUAAGUGGCAUGGUGUUAAUCAAAUGAAUAGCUUCCUUAAGCUGCCCCUGGCGUCCCAAGAUGUCCACAAGGGAAGCAAAGUGCUCAACCCGUGGCUCAAUACCAUAGUCAGUGACCAUGGAUUUGAAUUGUCUCCUCCCUUCUUCAACUAGUCCUGCAUGGGCACAUGCAUUUAAAACUGCAAUGAACGUUAUAUAGGUAGGGUGAAUUUUAAGCCUUUUCAUCAGAUUGAAAAGCUCUAGAGCUUCUGCCGCUAAGCCAUGAGAUGCAUAGCCUCCAAUCAUUGCAUUCCAAGUGAUCACAUCUUUAUAAAGUUUUAUCUCAUCAAACACAGCGCUUGCAUCAACUAUUGCCCCACAUCUCGAGUACAUGGUAAUAAGGGAAUUAUUUAUCGGUGAAUCAGGAAGAACAGUCUUCGUGACAAGCUGAUGUAUCUGCUUGCCUAAGUAAAGAUCCACCAACCCAGUACACACACUGAUAACUGAAGAUAAUGUGUGUUUAUCUGGCCUCUCUCCCUCAAGCUGCAUCUGAGAAAAUAACCUAACAGCACCCUUGUAGUCUUCGUUUUUCUCAUAGCCAGCUAUCAGUGUAUUCCAUGAGAUCAGGUUUUUGUGGGGCAUCUUCUCAAAGAAAUCUUUUGCAAGAUUCAAGUUACCGUUCUGUGCAAACCCAGUAACUAUCGAAUUCCAUGAAAGUACAUCAGGACUCGGCAUUUCCCUGAAAAGCUUUGAAGCUUCAUCCAUGUUCGAGAUUUGAACAUAGCCACUGAUCACAGUGUUCCAAGAACAAGUAUCACGCUCCACCAUCCUAUCAAAGAGUUCCCUGGCAGAGACUAUGUCUCCCGCUUUCACAUAGGACAUCAUCAUUGAAUUCCAUGAGAUCACAUUUCGCCUGAACCUCCUUUGACCCUUGUCACCCCCACCACGAUCAUCUGGAAUCUCAUCAAAAAGGCGCCGAGCUUCUUCCACGUGACCUCUUUGACCAUAACCUGCAAUCAGGGUGUUAUAAGCAUGCACCAAAUCAUCCUUCCUAUCAUCAUCACUCCCAAAUUCAUGCAAAAUCCCAGCAGCCAUGUCCAAUUCACCGUUUCUAACAAGCCCUGAAAUAAGGGCACAAAGAGAAGCCGAAUCAUGCUCAGGCAUCGUCUUAAAAAAACCAACCGCCAAAUCGACAUCACCAUUUAGUAAGAACCCGGUGAUCACAGCAUUGGAGGACACAACAUUACGCUCCGGCAUGGCAUUGAAGAACUUCAAAGCCUGGUCCAUCCUGCCAUUUUUAGCAUACCCACUGAUGACCGUGUUCCAAGAGACACAAUCUCUCUGCGGCAUUAGCUCAAACAUCUUUCGUCCUUCCUCGAUGAACCUGCUUCCACGACACGAAAAGUAACCCGAAACAAUGAGAUUCCAGGACACGAUGUCCCUUUGGGGCAUUUCGUCGAACAAUUGGCGUGCCUUUGCAAUCUCUCUCCGAUGUAUGUACCCACUGAUCAUGGAAUUCCAAGUAACGGCAUUUCGGUGCUUCAUAGAAUCAAAAAGUGCUCUCGCUUCGCUUAGUCUACCACUUCGAAUCAGAUUGGAUAUAUUUUUGUUGGAUUGGUGUAGCCGUGACGAGUUAUAGUUACGGGUUAGAGAAGCUGAGGUAAGACAACAGCUUCUUCUGCUUAAUCUUCCAUACAAAGUAGCCAUUAACAAAACCAAGAUACUGAACCAAUGUCUUAGGCUCGUGUUUCAAGUUUCUACCAUGUCAUGCUACGCGUUCUCUUCACAAAUAAAUUCAUUACAAAUUUACUUUAUAGAGAAUAUUCAAACAUAAUUUUCUUAAAAUUUAAAAAUAUUACUUUUAUGACUUCUUUUCAAUUUUUAAAAACUCAUUUAUGAUAUAUUAAAUUAAAAUAAUAUUUUUAUUGAUAAUAAUCUCUUAUAACAAAUCCCAAUACGCCUUAAAUAUUUAUUUUGUUUCAUAAUUAAAUAGUUAUUUAAUAAAUUAUUAUCUUAUCACAUAAAAAUUCAUGUCAUAUCUCUACUAAUAAUGAAACUUGCAGAAAUAAAUUACUAGUAAUUGAUAAGCUCUACUAAGAAAUUUAUUGAAAUGAAAUAAAAUAAAUAUACAAAGAAAGUAUAUGUUAUUUCUCGAAUUCAAAAAAUUAUUUUAAAAAUUCAUCUAAACACUUCUUAAUUUUAUAAAAAUUAAACAUAAUCUUUUUAUAAGUUCUUUAGGUUUAUUUUAAUAAGUCCCAAAUAAAAAGUAAUUGAUCUCAAAUUGAGUUGAAAGAAAAUUUUCAAACUUAUGUUCUAUCUAGUUAUCUUCUUUAUAUACGAGAGUUGUAUAAUCUAUUUUUGCAUAAAUUGUACAUUUCUUUAUUGUGAAUACACGGGUAUAAUAUAUAUUGUUUAGUUUAUACGUUGAAUAAAUUUAUUAUUAUUGUUGAUAUUGUUACUGUACAUGCAAUGUAUAAUUCUCCAUCUUUUAUAUUAACAUAAACAUAUUUAACUUUUUAGAAAAAAUAUUUAGUAAUGAAUAUAACUAUAAUAACUACAAUCACUAAAAAAAAUUAUUAAAAAUUUAGAAAAAAAAAUAAUUAGUAUUUAAACUGAUUUCUAUAACUAAUACAAAUUUAUAGAAUAAUGGUCCAAAAUAGUUACCUAGAUUUUAAUUAUUGAUAUCUUAUAUUCUAAAAUAGUUUUCAAAAUACUAAUACUAAUAGAAACUAAUUUAAAAUAUAAAAUAGUAAGUAAUUAAAAUCUUGGUACUUAAUGAUUAAAUACUAAUUUAAAAAUUAUUUUAUAAUUUUUUAUUAGUAAUAUAAAUUACUUUAGAUACUAAUGAUUUUUUUAUUUUAUAAAUUAAUAAUUAUUGACUAACAUUUAGACGAAUAUUGGAGAUUUAAUCGAUCUUAAAAUAAAGGGAGAUAUGUAUAAUGGUCACUUUGUAAUGUUCAUAUAGAUAUUGACAUUUUUGUUGGAAUUUGGGGAUUUGUUGACUAUAUGAUAAUGUCAAGUAUUUAUUAGAAUAAUAUAUUUUAUAUUUGAUAAAUCACCUACUAUCACUCUUAUAGUGUAAUUUUCAUUUAUUUAACGCAUUGAGAUUUCAUAAAUGUAUGAUAAUUUCAUGUCCAUAUAAGGAAUAUUGUGGCUUAACUAAAAGAUUUAGAGGUUAUCAAUAUAUUUUAAGAUCUCUUACAGUAAACAGAAGCAUAAGUGAUCUAUUAAUUAAUUUCUGACCAUGUGUUUUUAAGAUGAGGAAGAGUUACUAAUAGAAGAAUGUGAAAGGAUGAGCUUGACAACUUUUUGGAAGAAUAAGAAUAAUUAAGUUGAUUACAAGUGAAAAAAAUUUGCUUAGUCAGUCAUAAAAAAGUAGUCCAAGUGUUUCUUUGUAAGAGGAAGGGUCACAUGAAGAAGGAUGGUUAAAGUUUAAGAAUUAGUUACAAAAGAAAUGUAAUUUAUUUGCUUUUGUUUGUUAUGAAUCUAAUAUUUUAUUUUUAAUAAGAUAUGAUGGAUUAAUUUUAGUUACACAAUCCAUGUUUAAGUGUGUAAAAUUUAAGGACAUCAAUGAGAAUUGAGUAAAAUAUUUAUUUAAGGAGUAACACAAGUUCACAUGUAAAGCUACUAUUACAUAGCUACGAGGUAGUUAUGAGUUAGUUAAAAGUAAUUAGGAAUUUCUAAGUAACUUAGAUGAAAUUGUUACAAAACUAUUAGAUCACCAAAUAACACGAGUCUAAUAUUGAUAAAUGCUCUAGCCCAAUUGAAACAUAUAAUUCUAAGCAACAAACUCUAAUAGACAUUCUAAGGUCUUAAAUACUACAACUAGACACCUAUGUCAUAUAAAGAAGUUCAAUACAAAUUCUACAACUACUUUCCACUAGAAUUACUACCAAAAUUCAACAAGUCUAAGCAAUGAAUGAACUUUUGUUUUUCACUUGCAACUUGUUUUUGGUUGUUUUUCUGUAUAAUUGCUACAAGCUUUUAUUUAUGUCUUCCAUGGUGUUGUUUUCCUUGAAAGUCGUCUUGAGUUCAUAGAUCCUAUCAUCCCCUAGGAAAACUUACAUAAAAAGUAAUAUUUGACGUAAAGAUGUGUAUGUGUGUGUACUUGUUUGUGUGUAUGGGAUCAUAGUAAGAAAAUCACAUGGUAGAUUUAUAUGACAACAAAAAAUUAUUUGUAGAACAUAUAUCAAGAUAAAUAUACGAUAAAAAAAAUCAAUUUUAGAUUAGAGUAAAGAAUGAAAAUAUGUUUUAGAUUAAUGUAUCAAACAAUACACUUGUCGUGAGUCUUAAGCAAAGAAUAAUGUAUUUUUAAUCUAAAUUAUGUACCAAAGAAUUGUGUUAUCAAAAUAGAAAUUCAUAUCAAACUAUAUAGUACGAGAACUAAUGUUAUAGGUGACAAGUCUUUCUAUUUAAGAGUGUAACAACCCAAAUGCUAUUUAAGAGUGUAACUUUCCCAUUGACAAUUUUGUUGGGAACAAUUGAUGUCAGCUGCAACAAUCUCCCAUUGAUGUUUUCUCCACUAGGAAUCAAACUCGUGAUCUUGCCUUUGAUACAAUUAUUGAAUUGAGAACUUAGCUCUAAUCCAAAAGUUGUAGCUGAUAAACAGAGCACAACUCUUUCUACUUAAGAGCGUAACAACCAAAAUACCACGAUUCGAUUAUGAGUUGGUUCACUUGGCCUACGCCGCAUGAUAAUUGAUGUCACUUGCAAUAGGUUUAUCUAAUGAGUUUUUUAAGUGUCAAUCAAUUUUAGUCCUUAAACUCAAGAAAUAUAUGUGAUAUUUUAUUCAUUAGACAACUACAGGCUAGACAUUUCAUGAAGAAGUUUCAAACAACUUAUGAAGAAACAAUAAAUGAUUUAUUAAGAAGUUAUAGACGCAUGAAAAGUUAGAUAAUCAUGAUCUUAGUACAUGACUCCAAUAAAACAUUGGAUUCCUAAAAGAUCAUUUAUCUUUAAAGAGCAGUCUCACGACUUGAAGAAGAUUUGAGCACACAACAUACUUUUUUAGCACCGAAUGUUCAUUUAAGUGCAUAUGAACAACGUAACUACUUAAAUAAAGCAUGUCAUUUUCUUCAAUAAAAAGAGUAUAUCUAUGUUCAAAGAGUUUUGGAACAAAGGACAAGCAAAAACACUAGGAAAAAACAUAUUUAUUUGUUAUGCAUAUGCUUGCCAUGCACAUGAAGACUUGAUGAAACAAAAAUUAAUCACAAAUAAUAUUACAUGAAUCCACUUGUAAUUCCACAUUUGGUUAGAUAUUUCUGGAGAUAAAGGAUAUUUCAUCAUUGAUAAGUGUCUAAUUUCAGUAAUAUUUCAUAUUAAAAUAUAGGCACUUAUGAGGAUUUAUUGCUAAUUUACAUAUAAAAUAAUCCCUAAUUUAUGAAUUUAUACCUUUUUACAUUUUUUAUGAUCUUUAUUUGAAUAAGAGUAUUUUAUUCCCAAAUUUGGUGUUAAUUGCAGAUUUCUAAGGAAGAUUGGAGAUUUGGAUUAAAGAUGAAUGAUUUGAGCUAAAAAGAUAAAGAUAGAAGGUCCCAGAAUGGAAAAGAUGCAAAGAAAGAUUGGGCCUUUUUUAUGUUUUAUCAUUUAGCCCAUUAGCGCGACACAAUAAACAACCUAACCCUAGAAAACUAGGAUAAAUAGAGGGCUAGAGGCUCAACCUUAGUGUCCUAGAUUGAGAGGAAAACACCAUAGAGUGAAUUGUAACCCAAUUGGGAGAAUGGAAGGUGAUAGAAGUAUGCGUGGCUAAUUCUACCCUUUGGGAUUGGGAGUAAUCUGCUCAAACUCUUAUGUAUNNNNNNNNNNNNNNNNNNNNNNNNNNNNNNNNNNNNNNNNNNNNNNNNNNNNNNNNNNNNNNNNNNNNNNNNNNNNNNNNNNNNNNNNNNNNNNNNNNNNAUUGAGAAUCUUAAAUCUGACCAGGAGGUAUUUUUAGGAUUCGGACCUAAACAACAAUACUUAACAUAUUUGAGUGCUAGGAAGACUUGAAAUGUUAAUUGCUAUUGAACGUGUGAGCUUCGUUCUAAGUUGUUCUUAUAAUUAUGCGAGGGAUCGAUAGUUAGGGGACAUUCUUAAGGAUUUUAUAUGCGAGGAAUCGAUAUAAAUGAUUUUUAUACGGGCAUCAAUUUCAAUCAAAGAACUUAAUAUUGACAUGCUAAUCAAAAUACUUGAGAGUGAGAGAGAUGAAACUAAUCCUUAUUUUUCCAAUUGAAACAAGGAAUUCUUUGUUUGUUUUCUUAUUGAUCAGUGCCAACACAAUUAAUUCAAAACUCUUUUAGUUGUUCUGUUUUUAUAUUUAGCGAUUAUUGUACUCGAUAAUUCAUUGUUCCUUGUGGGAUCGAUAUCCGUCCUUAGGGACAAUUAUUACUUUUGACAAACGCGGUGCACUUGCCGUAAAAAGUCAUCAAUCUUCCACUUUAAAGCUUGUUUUCUAAAGGUAUUCCUUCAAGUUCUUCCACCUUGAGUUCCUUGGUGGGUGUUUUCUUGGAGCUUCAAGCUUUGAAUGUUAUAUAAUUUUCCUUCUUGAUUAGUGAUCACUUUUUACGGAAAGUGCACUGCGUUGUCAUAAGUAAUAAUUUGUCUCUAAGGAUGGAUAUCGAACCCACAAGGAACAGUUGAAUAAUCGAGUAAAAUAUUCACUAAAUAUAAAACAUAAUAAUAAAAGUUUGUUGGGAUUCGUUAUGAUGGCAAUGAUUAACAAGAAAACAAGUCAAAGAGUUGUUGCUUCCAUUGGAAAAAUAGGGAUUGAGUUUCCUCUUUCUCACUCUUUUGUAUUUUGAUUAGCAUGACAAUAUUGUGUUCUUUGAUUGAUAUUGAUGCCCAUAUAAAAAUCAUUUAUAUCAAUUUCUCGCAUCUAAAGUUAUUAAGAUUUUUCCUAAAUAGUGGUUCCUCGCAUAUUUAUAACAACUUAACCUUAAGAUCAGACGUUGAUAACAAUUAACAUUUCAAAUCUAUUCCUAUCAUUCAAAUAUGUUAAGCAUUAUCAUUUAGGUCAGAACCUUAGAAGUACUUUCCAGUCAAAUCUAAGAUUCUAGGUCAUGGUAAACUAAGCAUUACAAACAAAGCAAUAAUACCAAUCAUCAAUCAAGAACAAAGUAUCGUGUUUAGAUAUCACCUCAAUACAUAAGAGUUUGAACAGAUUACUCUCAGUCCCAAAGAGUAGAAUUAGCACACAUGAUGACUAUUACAAGCAGGGUGAGCAUGAAAAGAAGAUUUAGGGUGUUUCUCCUUGACAACUGCCUCCUCUAAUGUUUCUCACACCUCCUAUUCUCCCAAUUGGGUUACAAUUCACAAUUCACUCAAUGGUGUUUUCCCCUCAAUCUUGCACACUAGGGUUAUGCCUCAAGCCCCCUAUUUAACCUAAAUUGUUUGGGCUUAACUGGAUUCUCGCUCAAGCGAGAUUAAGCUCGCUUGAGCGAGUAAAACGUCGAAAUUGACCAAUGCUGCUGGAGCAUUCUCACUCAAGUGAGAAUGGGCUCGCUUGAGCGAGAUACUCUAAUGCUCAGUUGGGCCUUUGUGAGCUUGGUGCAUGUCGGGGUCUUCCAGCUUUCCCUUUUUAACUUAUAUUAUUCUCCUUUUGUCCAAUCAUCUCCAUUCUCCCCUAAAAUCUUGAAAUUAACACAAAAUUUGGAAUAAAUCAUUCUUAUUCAAAUAAAAAUAAUAAAAUAUGUAAAAAGGUGUAAAUUCAUAAAUUAGAGGUUAUUUUAUACUUAUUUUAGCAACUAAUACUCAUAAGUGUCUAUAUUUUAAUAUGAAAUAUUACUGAAAUUUGACACUUCUCAAUUAGUCUGUCAUGUUCCAACUUCAACUCAUGUACCUUCGAGAUCUUAAUAAUUUUCAUCAAUCGACAUGUUAUUUAUACUCUUUGAUGUCUUGAAAGUUGUGACCUGUGAUCUCCAUAAGCUAGGAAAACUGUGUAAUAUUUUUUCAAUAUGAUAAUAAUUAUCAUAGUGUUUGUCAAGAUACAUAAGCUCAUUUAAUAUGGUAUGAAACCUAUUAGACAUAUGUUUUAUUUCAUUUGGUUCCAUUUCAACAAUUCAUCUUGGCAGUUAAAAAGAGUUAGCUUAUUUCUUUUUAUCUCUAUCAAACCAUGUUUGUUAUCAUUAUAGUGUCCCAGAUCUCCUUUGUGCCUUUGUAAGCAUGAAAUUUUGAGUACUCUCUCAUGACAAUGUACACAUAAGGGUUUUUUUUAUCAACAAUAAAUAAUAUGUACAUAUGAACCACUUCAACGGUGAUCCAACCCAUAUACAAAGACACAAUGACAAUCAGACAACACAACACCUUCCAAACAACUACUCAAAAUACUAAACCAGUAAAAAACAAACUCUAACACCGAAUUAAAGUGAAUAAAGACAGACCAAAGGAUCAAGACACCAAUCAAAAAAAAGAAAAACAAGCAGAGGGAAAUUUAGAGGUGAACCAAGACCAAACCUUCAAUUGAGUAAAAGAAAAUAUCUCAGAUUAAUCCAAAACUCCACCUUUAAAAAUAAUAUUAUUCCUAUGGCUCCAAAUCUCACUAACCAUUGCAAUCCAUAUAUUCCUCAUCCCUAAAAUUACCGACUUCGAGCAUUACACAACUUGAACUGCAAAAAAUGGGAGUAAGCAUGAAUGGGGGCAAUCGAUGAAAUGUCUAACCACGCAUAGUUAUUCUACAAUCAAAGAAUAGAUGAUUUAACUCCUCCACUUUUACUCCCCACAAAAGUAGCACAAAACGCUUUCGACCGCAAUCCCGUGUCUAUGUAAACUAACCUAUGUUUAGGGUUUAGGGUUAGAAUUUAGUAUUUAGAGUUUAAGGUUUAGGGUUUAGGAUUCAGACAAGUAUUGUUGUUUUUGAUUAAUUGUUUAUAAACCUUAGGAAUAAGAUCAAUAUUCUCAUCCAUUGGAAUGUAGUUUCCAUUCAUAUCAUUAUUCUAUGUGAUAUGAUUCAAAUGUAUUCAUGUGUUGCUUGUAAUAGUAAUGAUUUUAUAAACAAGUUCACGAGUUCUUUUAAAAAUAUUUUUGUAACAACCAAGAGUGCAAAACAUGAGUAUGAAACGAAGAAACAAAAACUUUGUUAGGCUAACUAGUGUAGUAGUAUCCUCAAGAAUACAAAUUAAGCUUUGAUUGCUACUUCCACCAUGAAAACUAAUUUGUUUCUUACCUCACCUAGUAUAUGUUUGAAAAGUUUUUAUAUAUGAGUUUAUAUAUGAGUUUAUAUACCUCUACCUCUAGGUCAUUGAAGUUAUACUACAACAAGAAUAAAAGUUAACGUAAGUUUAUUAACAUUAAAUUAGUCAUAAAAGAAUGUAUCAAGGAAAAUAAAGUGAUUAUUACGCACAUUAGUACUAAAUUAAUUAUUAUCACUUUUUUUUUUUACUGAAGGUGCAUGCCACUAAAUUUUUUUAAAGAACAUAUAGCAUAAAUGAAACUUGAUUCCAUAAUGUGACAAACACUAUAAGUACAUCUAUUGUGUUGACAAAGCUUUUAUUUGAUUUAAUUUUUUUUCAUUUAUUUUAUGCAAGUACUUGUUUGUUUUGUAAAAUAUCUCAGUUAUAACUAAAAUAAACAUAUGAUUUAUUUAUUAAGUUUCAAAAUAUUGAGAAACUAGAUAUAUUUUUACACAUGAAAAAUUAUAUUAACUUUUAGAAGAAACGUAGAUAUAAUUUAUAUAUUUAGUUAUAUGUUAUAAUUAAUAAUGAAAUAAAUAGAUUAAGUGAUUCAUUUUAAAACAAUUACUCAUUGAUUAUGUCAUCAUAUGUGAAAUCUUGUACCGAUUUCCUCUAAAUUAAAGGCUAUAGAAAAGUUGAUCAUUUUUCUACUAAAUAUGCUCUUUUCUUCUGCCUAUAACAUUAUUGUGUACUGAGAAUUAAAAAAUCUGAAAACCUAGAAACACAUAUAUGAUGAUAUUUUUUUUUCUAUAAAAACUUUUAUAUUGGUAAUUAUUAUGGAACUUGACAUCUCAAACAAUAAUUAUUUAAACUCACAUAAAAAUUAUUAUUAAAAAAAAUUGUAAGAUAUUGAUUAUUUGUGAUUUAGUUUCAUCUGUGUAUGUAAACACUCAUAGAAAAUGGCUUGGAGAACAAAUUUCAGCAUUACCUUACCAUUCUAUGAAUUCACUUUCUUCCAAACCCUGUCCUUUAAGUAAUCACUUUUAGGAUUCUCGUUUACCUUAUCAUUCUCCUUCUUCUUUCAUCCUCUUUCUCUCUAGUUUCUUUACAACAUAUCUUUGAGAGUUGUAACUUCUCCAUACAUUUACCCUACAAAGCACAAGUUCUCAUCACCUUAAUACUAGUGGCUAAUAUCAAAUGUUAUUAAUCAUACAAAUAAGUUGCUAUUAAAAUAUAACUAAAUAAACUAAUUAGAAAACGUAAUUUCAAAUUAGGAAUAUUAUAUAAUUUCGUGUAGUAGGUACAUGUCACUGCAAAUACCUUACCGUCCAAUUAUUUUACUUACAAAUUUCUUUAGCCAUCCAAUUUUAUCUACUUAUUUUUGUGAGUUUUACUAUCUGAUGAUCCCAAAUUAAAGAUAAAUUGGCAAGUUACCAAUAACUCGUAAAUAUUUAUUUAAAAAUAAAUUUAAAAAUCAAAUAAUAACAUUUAAUAAUGUUAAAUUCAAUAAAUUAAAUUGUAUAGUUUAACAUAAUAAAAAAAUAUAAUAUAAUAUUUUUAUUUCUCAGAAGAUGUGUGAGUGUAAUUUAUUUUAACAAUACCAAGUUAAAUGAAUUAAUUCGGUAUCAAAAGACAGGGAAAUCCUACAUUUUUUUAAAAUUGUUAGAAACAUGUAUAAAAUAAUUUAUAAUUUAAUAUAAAAUAUAAAUAAAACUAAAUUAAUAUUUUUUAUUCGGAAUAAAUCAUUUUAUUAUUAUUAUUAUAAAAUUGUAAAAUAUUUUUAAAAAAUGUUAAAUUCUUAAAUAAAAAGACAUAUUAUGAUUUUUAUAUAUAAUUAUUGUCAUAUUCCUAAUUACAACAACUUUAUCUCAUAUUUAUAAUUAAAGUACAUAAAAAAUUUGCUAUUGUAAAUACGUUACAAUACAAUCAAAUUCAAGAACAACCUUUAACAUACAUUUAAAAGUGUAAUAAAGUGAUUUGCUUCUGUUCUUGAUUUUUAAUUUGAAGGUCGAACUAAUUGAAUCAUAUGAUAUAAAAAUAGAUAAAAAAAAUUAUUAAAAAAUCAGUUUUUUUAUUAAUUUAUUAUUAUUAUUUUAAUUACAUGUCUCAUAAUUCAAAAAUUCAUGUAUCCAUACCUUACAUUGUUUGGUACAAGAUUACAUUAUAUAAGUUUACUUAUACAUUGAAAAAUUAAUUAAUUAGGUCUUGGACGGUGUGGAAGUAAGCCUAAAAUUAGUUUUGUGAAAAGUUUAUAGGCCUUCUAAUAAAAUUUUCGAAGAGCCUAAUUGUCACGUGCAAAUUUGAUUACGUGCAAACUUUGCAACCCUAAUGCUAAAGUGCAUUUUCUCAAACCCAUGCACUAUUUAAUGGUCGGUAUGCCAAUACUUUUAGUUAUACUAACACUUCAUAUUUCUUCUUUUGUUAGGUUAUUCUUCUCCAUCUCCGAACAAUGCAUGCAUUUUUAUUUUAUUUUUUUUCUUAUUGUAAUAUUUUUUAUUUUUUAUUUCAUUUGUAGAUUAACUUUUUUCUGUACAUUUCCCAAAAGGAACCUUUAUGUAAAAAAAUUCGAAGAAACUCACAUUUAUAGCCAAACCUGUCGAUAACUUUUGAGUAAGUUUCAUUUGUCCACGGGCAUAUUACUUUCUUAUGUUCUCAAACAAAAUAUUAUUGGUGACAUGCCACAAUUUUGUACAAAAAUCUCUUUGUUAUGGCUAAUUCGAUGAUAAAAGAUGUUCUAUUCUAUUUCUAAUAUGACUUGUAUUGUUUGUGUAUUUAAUAUUCUAAAUACUAUGUUUGGAAUAAAGUUUGCAAACUUAAAAUUAAAUUCCGUUUGUAAAAACAAUUCAAAACUUAAUUACUUGUAUGAAAUCCAGUUUUUAUUAAAAUGUUGAUGUGUAAACAUACUAAUAUAAUUCGAACAAACCUCAACAUGUUAGAAAAUGGUUUUGUAAAUUAAUAGAUUAAUUGAUACAAAAGAAAUCAUAUAAUUUGUUUUUACCGGAAAAUGAAUUGGAGAACUCUGAGGUGAAAUGAGAAGAUGUUUUUUAUGGAUCGAACUUUGACUAAUUACUAGGAAGAGGAUGAGAUCCAUCUAUUAAAUAUUUUUUGAUGCUUAAGUCAAUAAAAAUACUUAAGUAUGAUAGCAAAUGAUGAAAUGUGAGUAAAAAAUAGAUAAUGAAGAGUUUGUAUUUAUAAAUUUUUCGAACAGUAGUCAUUAGAUUGAUUCUAAUUUUAGGAUAACCAUCAAAAUAACCAUUAUGAUUUAUAUGCAAUCAAUUAGUCAUUAUGAUUAUUGAAUUGAUCAUUUAUUAUUAUAAGAAAUUAUUAUUUAUUCUAAUGAUAAAUCAUCAUUAGUUUUAAGAUAAAAUUAAGAAUUCGAAAUAUUUAUCACUUGAACGAGUUGUGAACGUGAGAGGAAAGUAAAUGAUCUAUACAACAUUUUUUUAUUAUUAUAUUUUUCUACCACAUCAUUCAUCUUAUCACAUGGAAAGGAAUGUUGUUUACCUUCAUAUAUAUACCAAGAUUAUCCAAACUAUCACUAUCAUGCUCAUCUUCAUCUAUGAUUAAUCAAACAUACAUAAAAAAUAUAUAUAUAUAUAUAUAUAUAUAUAUAUAUAUGUGUUAAUACAAUGUAUUUGUGAUGUAAUUAUGGAACAAUUAUAUGCGAAAGGGAAUGAUUUAGAGUAAAUUUAUGGUUAUGAGGAGUAUGAUGGGUGAUUAAAGAUAUAGAUGUUAGGUGCAUAUUGAGUGGUGAAAGUGGAUGGAAUUGUGAUUAUUAAGCAUAAAAAAAAGGUAACACACUACUUUCUUGUAUUAAAUGAGUAACGAUGAUGUCGUGCUCGUACAGAACCGAUAACAUUGUGAUUUGGUAAAUGUCAAUUGUGAGCGAACACUAAGCGAGCAAACGGUGGCGUUUAACGUGUGAAAUCCGUAGUCGUAUAAUUGCAUCACUUGUACGACAACGAUCGUAACUAGCAUAUCGACCAACAAAAUCUAUUCUCACAAACUUCAUUUUUGCAAGCUUUCCAACGUUUUCCUCACUCUCCUAAUCGCCAUCUUCAACUGUUCAAAACUCAAUUUGGGGCUUCCAAACCCCAAUUCACCCAACACACAAUCUCACUGUCUCACUCCCAAAAUCAAAAUGGCAAAAUCAUCUUCCAUAAUUAUACAAUUAAAAACACAAUCUUAAUCUUUACUAAAUCCUCCUCCGGGAUUAGCUAAAACAGCAGUACCCAGAUUCAUGUUGAAAUCAUACUAUCAAGAAGGAAAAACACUAUCCAAAACCACUCUUUUUUCCAUGUUUUUCUUUGCAAAAUCAAGAAAAAGCAAUAAUCUCAACAAAAGUUUAUAUAUUAUAUAUAUUUAUUAAAGAAAUUGAUAACCUAACCCAAAUCAUAGAAAUUAUAUGAAUGAACAGAAGACUGGAUUAGAUGGGUCAAUCUCUGAUAGCACUCAGAAGCAGUGUUAUAAACCUUAGUAACAGCUAAAAACUGAGAAACAAAUUGAAAUUUCUGGCUAUACAUCUAGAAAUUUCCAGAACUUUCUCAUUAAUUAACCAAGCAUGCAAAAGAGUCUAGAGCAGUGAAAACCAAUACGUACAAAUUUUACAUCUUGCAAACUCCGAUAGUUAGCUUAGUAAAGUUAUACCAUCAUCAUGUUAAUGUCACUUCCUAGUUGCGCCACUCGUUUUUCUGUUCCUUUUCUUCUUCGCUUUCGCUGCAAGAACAGGCGCUGUAACGCUGUACAAAUCUUUAACACAACGGUACCUCUUGGUGGUGCUCGCAAAGCUUUCAUCUUGGGAGUCCACGGCUGUUUCUGCGACGGAGGAAACAUCGCCACCGGAAUCGACCUUGCUCUGAUGCGGUUUCCCUUGCACCACGCUGUAGCUGCAGCUGUUGUUGCUGCUGUGGUGAUCCUCUUCAGAAUCUCCGCUGCUGAGUUGAAUGAGUUGCUUGGCUGCUUCGAUCUCCGAGUGGGAAAACGUGAUCGGCUUCUGGGUGGUCUUGAUUUGGUAUGUAGCCAUGAUUUUUGGAACAGAGAGAACGAUGAAUGGUGAAUUGGAACUGAAACUGCUCUAUCAGACAUCCUUGUUUUUAUACUGUUUCAAACAAUAGGUCGGUUAAUUGCUGCAGUCCAUCUUUUUCUAUUGAGUUAACUUUAUUUUUCUUAUUUUCCAUUCAGUUGAAAUUUAAUGUAAAACAAUUACGUUUAUACCUAAUUCUAAAAUCAUUACAUGUUUGAGUUAUAUAGCCUAUUUAUUAUGGGAAAUAAUAGUUUAUAAAUCAAAUAAAUGUACUUUUAAAAUAUCUAUAAUGAAUUUAAAACAAACUUUUUUAAAAAAUAGUCUUUAUAAAAAAAAUUAUAAUUUGAAAUUAUUGUUUUUAAUUCUUUAUAUUCAUCAUAUAUUUUAUUUUUAUUUUAGAGGGACCAAAAAAUAAACAAAUUUUAAAGAGAUUAAAAUUAAAAUAUAUUAAUUUUACACUUUUUUAUGACAUAUAAAGUAAACAUCUUAACAAAAAUUAAAUAAGAUUAUAAGAUUUUUUAUUUAAACUAACAAUUUUGUAUAAAUUUUCAACUUAGAUUAUGAUAAUUUUUUUAUAUUUUAAAAUAAAAAUCAAUUUAAGUACUUAAUUCACUAUUAUAAAAAAACUUAUAUUUAUAUAAUUUCAUCAGUUUGGUAAAAAAAAAUUAAACUUGACCAGUUCUAUAAUUUUAUGAUAAAAACUUUAGAACUUAAAGAAAAACAAGUUUCAAUUUAACUAGAUGAAUAAGGACAAAUAAUAAAGGUUAACUAAAAUAACAUGAUUGAAAAAACAGUAUUUGUAAUACCUGCUAUGUAAAAGGUAAAUCUAAAUAUUUGCAUAAAUGUAUUUUGAAUAAAUAUAAGUAAUCAAGUAAAAAACGUAUUCAAAAGGUAUUUUAUUCUAAGAGUAAAUCAAAUUUAAAUAUAUAAUAAUGAGGUAAAAGCAAUUAAAGGUAAAGUAAAAUUGAAAAUUUUAAAAGAUCGAAAAACGUUAAUAUGUAAACUAUAGAUACAGAAAAUAAAUAAAUAAAUGAGUGCAUGGAAUAUUAAAGUAAUGAUACACAAUGAUUUAUGUAAUGUGUUUUUCACAUUAAAUAUAACACAAUGAUAUAUAUAUAUACACACACUCCAUCAUAUUUAUUAGUUCUAAUAAAUACAGAUGAAUUCCAUUUUUAAUUUAAGUGAAUGAUUACAAAUUAUAAGAUACAGGCAUAUCAUUCAAUUAUGUUGGAUCCAAAUUUAUCAAUAACACCUCCAUAUAAUAUCUUAAUCAAUUUUAUGUUUGAAAAAUCGAUCAACUUUCUUGUUUUCCCUUCUUAUAUUUUAUUGAUAAUAACAUGCAAGCCUAUUUACUUUACAUUAGUUAUAUUUAUGAUGUAGAAGCCUUUAUGUAUUCAUUUUAACACCAAGUUAAAAAAUUAAUCUUUGGCUAUCUACUAUUAAAACAUUAAAAACUUUUAUUGUUUUUAUUAAUUAAUAAUAUAUAAAAGAAUUAUAUUAAUUAAUAUAAAUUAUAAUUUUCAUUAUAUAAAUCAAUACAUUAAGUCCUAAUUAAAUAUAAAUAUAAAAUACAUGCUUCUUAAUCUUUCUUAAUUUGAAUGGAGGGAGUUAUGCCUUUCUAUUUUUGGGAUGGACAAAAAUGAACAUUUUGAAAGGAUGUAACAAAUGAAAAUAUAUUAUGAAACGUAAUAUUGAUGCAAUGAUAGGUCUAGUUGCAGUGUAAUUUUUCGUCAUUAUCUACUAUACAUUACAAGAAAAAUUAUUAAAUAAAAAAUAAUUUUAAAAAUAAAAAAUAAUUAGACAUUAUUAACUAAAUUAAAUACUAUUUUAAAUAUUACAAAAUUAUUGGUAUCUAAAUUAGUUUCUAUUAUUGAUAAAUAAUUUUUAAAUUAGUUUCUAAUUAGUUAUCAUAGUUUUAGCUACCAGUUAUUUAGAUUAUAAAAUUGGAAGAAUGGAGAUGAUUGGGCUAAAAAGGAAUAAUAUAAGCUAAAAUGAGAAAGCUGAAAGGUUCCAAAACGCACAAAAGCACAAAAAGUCAAACUCAACAAUAGAGAAUCUCGCUCAAACAAGCUCAUUCCCGCUUCAGUGAGAAUGCUCUAGAUGCAUUGGAAAAAAUUGACACUUUGCUUGCUCAAGCGAGUUAUAUUUCGCUUCAGCAAGAAAGCGCCAGAAACAUUAGGCCUUUUAUGUUUUACUCAACGAGCUCAUCAACGCGACGCAAUAAGUCACCUAACCCUAACAAAUUAGGUUAAAUAAGGGGUUUGUGGCUCAACCCUAGUGUGUCAGAUUGAGAGGAAAACAUAAUUGAGUGAAUUGUAACCCAGUUGAGAGAAUAAAAGGUGUUAGAAGAUGUGUAGCUAAUUCUACCAUUUGGGAUUGAGAGUAAUUUGUUCAAACUCUGAUGUAUUGAUGUGAUAUUUAAAUAUGAUAUUGUGUUCUUGAUUUAUUAUUGGUAUUAUUCUUUUGCUUCUAAUUUUUUUUUUUAUCUAGAAUCUUGAAUUUGACUGGAAAGUACUUUUAGGGUUUUGACCUAAUCAGUAAUACUUAACAUAUUUGAGUGUUAGGAAUAGACUUGAAAUGUUAAUUGUCAUCAACGUUUAAUCUUAAUGAUAAGUUGUUUUUAUAAAUGUGCGAGAAAUCAAUAUUUAGGAAGCAUCUUAAUAAUUUUUAUAUGCGAAUAAUCGAUAUAAAGAAUUUUUAUACGAACAUCAAUAUCAAUCAAAUGACACAAUAUUGUCAUGCUAAUCAAAAUACAAAAGAGUGGAAAAGAUGAAACUCAAUCCUUAUUUUUCCAUUUGAAGCAACAAACUCUUUGGCUUGUUUUCUUGUUAAUCUUUGGCAUCAUAACAACUUUCAACACACUUUUAUUAUUAUUUUUUAUAUUUAGCGAAUAUUUUACUUGAUUAUUUAACCAUUCCUUGUGAGUUUCAUAUCCGUCCUUAUGGACACAUUAUUACUUUUGACAAUGCGGUGCACUUGCUAUAAAGAGUCAUUAAUACUAAUAUAUUUUUUUAGUUUCUUAAAUAAUAUCUAAUUUAAUCAAUAUAACAACUAAUUACUUUUUGUUUUUAAAAUUAAUUUUUAUCUAAUAAUUUUCUAAUAGUAGUAAGAAUGUUUCUGAUUGUUUCUCGGUAUUGAUGAUGUUAUAUAUGUUAAAACUAUAAGAGGGAUAAUUUCUAUUAAGAGUAUUAUUGCUAAUGGGUAGAAUAAGCUAUGAAUUAAGAAUUAAGAGUGUUUAGUAGUCGAUUAUAGUGUGAUAUUGCUAUUGAGAUUGUUAUUACUAAUGGGUAGAAUAAGUUAUGGAUUAAAUGUGUUUAUUAGUUGAGUAUUCCAUCUUUACAUAAGAAUACUCUUAUCCUAUGGCAAAUUAGACAUAAAUGGCUUAAUUAAAUUACUAAAAGUAGUUAUAUGUGUAUAUAUUAGAAUAAAAGAAUGAGUUUAAAAGGGACCCGAAUUGAAAUAUGACAUUUUUUUAAAUAAAUGGUCAAUUUACUUCAAAUUAGAUUGUAUUUUGAGGUUUUAAUUUCUUGAAAAAUAAAUAUACUAGUUUUAAUAUUCUUGAAUUUUAAAGAAUAUCAAAGUUAGAAUAUUCAUAGUACAAUAAUUAAAAUUAAGAAAUAAAUCCGUUGUACUUUCAAUUUUUUUUAUAACACCAUAAUAAUAAGAGAACAUUCAAAAUAAAGAUUUUGAACCCUGUUAAAACAACUUGUAAAAUUCUAUUAUAAGAACAUUUUGAUCACCUUAAUCAAGAAUCAACAAUAAAAAAAAUAAGCUCGAAAUUCAAAAGAAGAUAUAAAAGUUAUCUUCUAUAUGUUUUUAAUAUAAGACUUUGAAUCCAUUAAUUUCGUAAAGAAAGCUUCUAAGAAAUGUUUUUCCAACUAAGCAAGUAACUCUAAAUAUUUGAAAAGUGUUUUUAUACUUGUUGAAAAUAUUUGAAUUAAUUUCACAGAGAAUUUAAUGAAAUAACUUAGUUAUAAUGACAAGAUUUUUUAAGAAUUAAAAUUUGGUUUAAUCCAUUAAAAGAGAACCAUAUGCAAAGUCACAACAUUUUAAUAUGUUAAAACACAUUUUUAUUUGUUAAAAUCACUAAAGUAACCAUUGUAAAUUAUUUCAAUAAUUAAAAUAGUAUUUUAAUUAAUUAAAAUAGUGUCUGAUGCAAGCCUAGAAAGUUUAAAUAAUUUUAAUAUAUUAAAUCAUACUUUAAAUCAAUUAAAGUAUUCUUUUUUUUAAACUCAACAAGAUUAAAAACAUUUUAAUUUAUAUAUCUUGUGAUUUUAUGAAUUCGAUUUUCUAUAAUUUUCUUAUAUUUUUAUUCAGAGAAGUACUUAUUUGAGAAUCCUUUUACCGUUCUUAGAGGAGGUUCUUGAUGAGCUUGUGGAGAAGAAUUCUUGGCACUUUGGUUGAAGCUAAAUAAACUUUUUGAUAAAUGUCACUGAUCCUAUUUUUAACUUAUAUUUUCUCAUUUAUGGUUCUUUUUAUUUUCUUUAUAAUUAUUUUUAAUUUAAAUUCAUUUUUUUAUCAUGAUUUUAUGUUUUUUAUUUUUUAUUUUUGUAAAAAAAUGAGAGAAAUUUAAGCUCAAAUAAAAUCAAAGAUUAACAUUAAGGUUCAACAAUCAUUAACAUCAAAUGAACAUUCAGUCGUCAUUGUUAAGAAAAAAUUUAACUCAAAAUAUUAUAACUAUUAGACUAAAUAACAUAUAACAUUCACUCAGAGUAAUAAUCUCAGUAAUCUAAGCAACACCCACAUCAAAAUAUUUAUAUACUUUUUUUUCUUUUAUUCUUAAGUUUUUGUUAGUUAUGAGUGGCUAAGCAAUUGUUGCUAGAGAUUAAUGGAGGUCAAACAACUCAGGUAAGUUAUCUUCAUAAUUUAAUUAUGAUUGAAAAACCCUUUUAUAAAUUAGGAUCUAGAUAAAAAUUAAGGUACAACCUUAGAAAUAUAGGUAUGAACUAUCAAGUCAAUUCCAAGUCAACAUUUUAAUGUUAAUUGUUUAUCAUCGUUUCACGAAAAAUUAGUUGCUUUAAUUUUUUUUCUCACUCAAGAUCAAGUUAAUAUAAAAUUUAUGAAUAAUUGAAUUAAUUACAUUAAACUUAUUGGCUUAGAAGAAAGGGGAUUACAUGAAAAACGUAAAAUUAAUCUUCAACCGUUCUUUAUUAUCAUUCAUAUCUCUCUAUCUUUAUCUUUAUUUCUAAAAUUUCACUCAUAAGAAUAUGCUUGGCUCUUUUAUUUGUCUCUUUAUUUAUUCACUUAAUUAUUAUUUUCUCUUUUAAUCUCAUAUUUAUUUAUUUCUUUUACUAAUUUAAUUGUUUGAGUCAUUUUUACCAAUCUUUAUUCAAAAACCUAAAUAUAUAACUACUCUUUAUGCUUUUAUUUUGUGAAAUAUUUAUUUUAUUAAAAAACCCUAUAAUUAAUUUUCUUUCUAAUUAAAUAAUUAUAUAAAAAAUCUCCGUGCAUUCGAUAUUUGGACUUCUGUCCAUUUAUUAAUUGUAACAAAUUGUUACACUUACAAAAGAGCCAUCAUUAAUGGUGUCUUUACCGGGAACUUGCUUCACGUAAUUAUUUAAUUGCUUAUUUUGUUCAUAAUUUUUUAGGGUUUGGUAAGUAUCUUUUUAAUUCUUUCAUAUUUUUGAAUUUUCCUGUUAUUCUUUGUUCAAUUUAAAAUUUGAAUUUUAGAUCAUUUGAUUGUUGAAAUUUUAAUUUUGAAUUUUAAUUUUUAAGUUCGUUUAAAUGUGGUACAACAUAUAAUUUAGAACAUGGUGAGAACUAUAAAGUAAGUUGUAAGUUCUUGUCUUUAAUUUUAGUUGUUUAACAACAUUCAUUACAUAAUCAGGUGCGUCCUUAAAUAAUAUAAUUUUAUUUUCAAAGAAAAUAAAUUAAAAUUUGGUGGAUUAUUUUUUAAUUAAUUACAUAAGAAAAUUACAUGGCAAGGGAUAAUCAAAUCAAUAUCUCAUAUAACUCUUUUGUCAUCUCAUUCUCAAUUAUCAUUUUUUUUGUUAUUUCUAAAAUUUGAAUGAUUUGAAUAUUCUUUACGCUUUUAUUCCAAAAACCCAAUUUUUUUAUUUCUCUCUUUAUUCUCUUAAAUUUGUUUUUUUUUCUCUCUUUAGACAUCUCAUAUUUAUUUAGCUUUUUAUUGUUUAACCUAUUUGAAUUCUUUUGGUUUAUUUUUAUUCAAAAACUUAAAUCUGUAUUUGCUCUUUACUCUUUUAUUUUAUGAAAUAUUGUCUUUUUAUUUUCUAAUUUGUAAAUCUUAUAAUUAAUUUUCUUGUGAUUAAAUAAUUAUACAACGAAUAUCUAUGAAUUAGAUAUGUGGACUUUUUUUCCAUUUACUACCUGAGAAAAAUUGGUGUGCUUCUUAAAUAGCCACCAAUCUUAAAUAGUCACCAAACUAAUGGUAUCGUUUUCUCGAACUUGUGUUAUAUAAUUAUUUAAUUAUUUAUAUUUGUUCAUAAUAUUUUUAGUAUUUUUUAUAUUUUUAAUGCUUGUAUAUAUUUUCUAAUUUUAGUGUUCAAUAUAAAUUUUGAAUUCUAUAUUAUUUAACUGGAUGAAUUUUUCAUUUUAAUUUUAGGUUAAUUUGAAUUUUUAGUUUUUGGAUUUUAAACUAAUUUGAAUUUUUGUCUCUUUUAAUUCUUUAAUAUCUCACUUAUCUCUCUUCCUCCAAAUAAUUCCAAUUGUGAUUUAUAAUUAAAAAAUUGACAAUAUUGUUAAGGAUAAGUAAAAUUAAAGGUAUAUAAAAUAAUAAUUUAUUGUGAAUUAGUUUCAAUUUUUUUUUAUUUUUUUUCUUCCUUUUUUUUUAUUAAAAAAAAUAUUUGAAAAUAAAACCAAACUUUUGAGGAAGAGAAACAAGUAACAUCUUAAAAACUUAAAAGAAGAUUAGACAAUUGAGAUCUUAAACUAAUUUGAAAUUUAUUUUCUCUUUUAAUUCUUUAAGAUCUCACUUAUCUCUCUUCCUUCAAAUAGCUCUGAGCAUGAUAAUUAAAAAGUUGACAAUAUUGUUAAGGAUAAGUAAAAUUAAAGGAUAUAUAAAAAAAUAAUUUAUUGUGAAUUAAUUUCAACUUUCUCUAUUUUUUUUUCUUCCUCAUUCUUUUUUUAUUGAAAAAAUAUUUGAGAAUAAAAUCAAACUUUUGAGGAAGAGAAAUAAGUGAGAUCUUAAAAAUUAAAAGAGGAUUAGACAAUUGGAACUAUUUGGAGGAAGUUUGGAAAGUUCCGCCAAAGAAUGAUUAGACGGUCUCCCUAAAGCAUCUAAUGUUGGAAAAGUUGCUCCAAAGAGAAAUAUUUGAAUUCGGUUAUGAAUAUGUUGAAUAUUUUCCAAUGAAGAAUUAUGUCACUUUUUAAGAUUGGAAAGCUUGGUUACGAGACUGAAAAUAUUUGAUAAUUGUGAAACAAUAUCCUAAGACAAAUGUGGAAUUCGAUUUUAUACAAAGAAAAGAAGAUUAUAAAAGAGAGUUAAGAGGAAGAACAUGACAUGGAGUUUUAUAGCCAACUAAUGCUCUUAAACCUGGAUUUAUUUUUCUUUUACUCAUGAAAAGUUAUACCUUUUGGAUUGAUUCCCUUGUGAUUUCCCAUUGAAUUAUGAGGUUCUAUUCAAUAAAACUUUGUUCUUAUAUUUUCUAUAGCAGUUUGUUUUAAUCCUAUGGUCUUUUUGUCAAAGAAAUUGUUUUUUAACGUUCUUUGAGAAUUUAAUUAUUUAUUUUAAUUAGAGUUAUUGGUUAGUUCAUUUAGUUUUAAUUAAUCUCUUGUUCACUUAGUUCAAGAGGUAGAAGAAAAAUAUCUAAUGAGUAUAUGCUUGGAGAUGAGUGGAAUAAUGAAUACAUCAAUAGACACUUGUUUUAUUAAUAAGAUUAUCUUAAAUUUGAUUGACAGUUGUUAGAUUAAGUUUGACAUCUGUGUGAAAAUUAAAAUAUGAUAAUCCUGAGAUAAUCAAUGAGGAAUUUCGUGGUGAAUAAACUUGAGAGUUAAUAUGAUUUCUCUACUAUUUUUUAUCAUCUACUUUACUUUUUUGCACAAAAUUUGUUAACUCUCAUUUUACUUUAUUGUUAUUAAUCUUACUGUUUUACAUAUAGGUUUUGACCAUUAUUUGAUUGAAUUUACUAUUAGAUUUGUUGGGAGACAAUUUGGGAUCAUCUGACUACAACUAUAUUAUAAUCUCUUUCAUGUUAUACAGUCAAAAAUUGUUGUUAGACAAUCUCAACACUGAAACUGGAUUUUCUUUUAAUAUGAUCAUAAAACAACUAUUAUCACUUAUCAUAUGACAUAUUGGGGGCCUCAUGAAUUUAAAAAUAUUGCAAUAUGCAUAGCCACAACUAGGCACUUCGAGACCAAACUAGCCUUGUUAGAUCUAGUAGCGAAAAUUGGUUCUCUGGCGCAAGUAACAAAAAUCCUCAUACACAACUUGUAGAAUUCAACAUGAUUUGCAACACCGUCCAAUAUAAAGAUGUGCCUAAUGAACUUAUCAAAUUGAUGGUAUUCCCUUCUUCUUUAACAAGAAAAACAAAAGUUAUUGGUUGCAAUCUUUUCCUCCCAACAAUUUUAACACAUGUGAGGACUUGGUCAACCAAUUCCUGGAGAAAUAAUUUUCUCUUCAUAAAGUAAAGUAGAGCAAAUUUGUCAUUGAAAUUUUUGCUUAAGAAGUUGAUGAAUCAAUAACAUAGGCUUUGGAGAGAUUCCAAGAUUUUUGAUGAAGUGAACUUGAUGAAUAUGAUCGUAUGUGCAUAUUCCUUAGCGGACUCAUGACAUACAUUAAGUUAAUCCUUAAUGACUUAAUUUUAGGCAAUAUUAGUUAUGAAAUGUUAGAUGAGGUUGUGGAGAUUAUAAAAAACAUCAUUUGCAAAGGAUCACAAAGGUUCAAGCUUGCAUAAAAGAAAGGAAUCUACGAGAUGGGAGUGAAUGUGUUAUUCUUACCCAAAAUAAGUUCUUGACUUAACAAAUUGAAGUUUUGAGCAAGACUUUUGAAAGACUUCCACAACAAAUAUAGAAUUUGCAAACAAAGAUCCAUUCAUCUGCAUUUGUACAUUUUGUUAGUACUUAUGACAAUUAUAACACUAAUCAUUUGUAGGGGCACUGCAAAACAUUGAUGGAGGUAAGUGAGGGCAAAAAAUAUAGUUUUCUAAAACUACUUCACUUUUGCACUGCUCUAAUCUAUUUAAAAUUAAUUUAUUUAAAUCUAGUUUUUAGUUUGAUUUACAUUUUAUUAUAUUUUCAUAUCAGAUUUCUAUUUUUUUUAUACAGAUUUCACAAAAAUUGGAUAAUCUAGAUUUUCAAUCCAAAUUUUUAGAAGUAGUCUCUCUCUCUCAUGCCUCUACCCAAACCACCUUUUUAUACUUUCUCUCAUUUUCGAUUCCCUCUUUCUCUCUUUUGCACCUCUCUCUGACGCCUCUUAUUCACUUUUUUCGAAUUUUAUUUGAUGUCUCUCUCACACACGCAUGAAGCAAUCGUGUUUUAUAAUUUUUCUUUAGAAUUUUAUUUGCUCCAAUAUUUUAUAUAUAAUAAAUGGAUAUAAUAUUUUCAAAGUUUAAUUAAAGUAUUAUAGAUAAGGUGUAUUUUAAUGUUAAGAGUUUAUAUACUAUGUUAUCUUUAAUUUUUUUAUAUUAUUAAAUUAUAAUUUUAUUAUAUUUUUUUAAUAUUUAUAUAAUAUUCAACUUUUUAGAAAACAUGGAUUUUGAUUUAAAAUCCAAUCCAAAUAUUUGGACUUGGAUUUCCAAAUUGGUUUUAUAAAAAAAAUUAUACCAAGCCGACUAGCUUGACUUGGGCUUGGGUCUACUCGACUCAGCUCGACCUUGGCCUGGGCCAGCUCGACCUUGGCACGGGCUGACUCGUCUCUACCAGGAUUCGGGCAAACUCAGCUCAACCUAGGUCUAGACAGACUCGUCUCGACAUGGGUCCAUAUCAAAUGGUCUUGAUCUGGACUCAAGUCGACUCGGCUCAACUUGAGCUGGAUCCGGAUGGAUUGACUCCACUCGACCUGAGUCGGGUUAACUUAGUUGAACCUGGUCUCGUAUCAUCUUUGCUCGACCUUAGCCAAACUAAUUCGACUCGACCUAUACCCGGGUUGACUCGACUGGACCUUGGCUCGUGUCAACUUAACUCGACGUUGGUCUGGGUUGACUAGGCUUAAUCGGGACCCAAGCCAACUCAAAAUCCAACAUAAAUUUCAUUUUGAAUAAUUAAAAAAUUACCUAUCUAAUCCAAAUCCUAUUAAAUGGAUUGGACUUAAAAUAAAAAAAUGUGAAUUUGAAGAAAAUCCAUUUGAAGGAAUUAAAAGUAAUACGAAUUUAAAUAAUUAUUAAUUGAAUUUGAUAAUUUGGAUACUGUUCUUAAUUUAUAUCAUAUAUAUUUGAAAUAUAUUUGAUGAUUCAUAUUUUCUUUUAAUAUUUUUAUUUAUUGUCAACUUUUUAUUUGUGGGAAUGUCUAAAUAUCAAUUGAAAAUCUUAUCUUGUUUUAUUUUUUAAUAUUUGGUUCUUAGUUAGAACUCUUUGCUAUACAAUUUUUCAUUCUCUAUCAAUAGUUCAUUUUUUUCGAUAUUCAUUAAAUUAAUUUAAAUCUUGAAAAUACUUUCCUCUCUACCAUUUUAAAAAAAUGUUAUAGUUUUCAUAGUUCAACUUCUUCAAUAUUCACUAAAUUUAUUUAAAUGUUUGAAAUAUUUUUCACUCUAAUAUUUAAAAAAUAAUAAUUAUGGUAGUUGUCAUGAAAUUUCAAUUAUAUAUGAUUAUUUAUUAUUUUUAAAAAUUAUUUGAUAUUUACUAUAUUAUAAUAUUUAUGCACUUUUAUAAAUUUUUUUCUUAUAAUUGAACACGGAAGAAAUGAUAUAGGAAUAUUUUUAUAUUCUAUUUUUUGUUAAUAUUAUAUUCUUUUUUAAAAAUAAUUAAAAUUUAGAAUAGUACAAAUAUAAUGCCGGUACGAAUACAAGUGAAGUAGAGUGCUGGUACGAAUAUACUUACUAUUGGGUGAAGAUGAAAAUAGAUAUAAAUUUUCGGUGAAGAUGAAAAUAGAUAUAAAUUUUCGGUGAAGAUGAAAAUAGAUAUAAAUUUUCGGUGAAGAUGAAAAUAAAUAGAGAUGAAUUUCCGGGAUGAGAAAAAAAAUAAAUAUAUAUUUAUACUUUGAAAACAAUAAAUAAAUAAAAUAUAAAUUUUUACUUAAAAAACUAAAAUGUAUAAAGUUAAAUUCUCACCACUCCGAUAUUGUCCAAAUUAAAUAUGUUAAUUAAAUCCUAACUUAACCUUUGUGUAACUUUAUUUUAAUUCAUACUUCUAAGUAUAUAUAAUUAAUUAAAUAAAUUUAUUUGAAUAUUUUUUACAUUACAUAAACUAAUAAUUUCAUAAGUAUCUGUUAUUCAAAAUUAAUUUAUAUUCUCUCAAUAAAAUACAAAACAUAUUAGCAAUUCAUUAUUACAUAACACACUUAUUUUUUCUUCAAUUACAUCAAUUAUUUUUACUACAAUUUUUUAUUCAAAUUCACUCAAUUCAAAGUAUCUUACUUUCUUAAAAUAAGAAAAAAAUAACUAACACUUUAAUAUUACUAGAAGUAAUUACAUUAAAUAUAAUAAUAACUAUCAUUUGUAAUCAAUAAUAUUUUUUUUGUCAUCUAAUAAAUAUAUCUUUCCAUAAAAUUAUUUGUCAAUAAAAAAAUAUUGCUUUAAUUUAUUAACAUAGUUUAUUACUAUUAAAAAUAAUUAUUUAUAGAUUAAAGGAUUAUUACUUGAAAAAAAUAUGUAUUUAUAAGAUUCAUAAUAACUUUUUCAUAUAAUAUUUAAAAUUACUAAUAAUGAGAAAAAUGUAUGAAUAAUUCACCUACUAAAACUAUAACAAAACAAAAUUACAUUUCAAAUUAUUUCAUCAUCACAACAUAUCAUAACAUAGAAAAAAUCCAUGUCAAUUUUGUUCCAUAAAGUUUAACACUUACAUACAAAUAUCAAUGAUGAUUUUGUAAGACCUAAACUUGUUUACGCAAGACCACAUAGAAGAACACCACAUCAGCAGAAGAACACUACACCAACAACACAUAUCCUCCAAGUUUGAACCAAAUUAUCAGUUACACAAAUUUUUUACCACCUACACUGACAAAAACGACCCCACUUCAUGCAAAGGAAGCCAAAUAAUCCAUUAUGCAAGUAAAAAAGCGUUCACAAUAGAUUAUGGCAUGGAAUCGAUUUUCAGUGUAAAAACCAUAGAUAAUCGAUGAUCUUUAAGAACAAAGGACCACAACAUCAAUUAUGUGAGAAAAAAAAUAAUCAACAUCGAUUCUCGGCACAACAACAUCGAUGUUCACUGAAAUUUUUUUGGACAAUCGAUGUUGUGAGUAAUGAAGCGCAAUGGAACAUCAAUUGUCAACUAAAAAGAAAAGGACAAUCGAUGUUCAUGUUCAAAACAUCAGUUUUCUUAAUUUUAAACUUUUUUUUGUCAUGGUUCAAACGUUUACUGUCUAAAAUAAUAUCAUUGUUCUUACCUCAAUGAUCCAACACCACUAAAAAAAAGCUCCACCAAACCAUAAAUGCACUAAGGAUAGACACCAAAGCACCAUGAAACACACACUCAAUAGCCAAAAAGCUCGAAUACAAGAACCACACUUUGUCACAACUCACUUAAAUCACUAGUAUUUAUUUGCCACUAAACUCAUCUACCUCCAUUGAUGAGAAUUUAAGAACUCCACCAACAACCAAAGUCAAACGGUUAAAGAAUCCAAUCACAUGUGUGUAGUGCAUGGUUACAUGAAUGUUGUGCAUGAAAAUAGUGGUUCGUUAGGAAUCUUGCAUGUGAAAUGAACAAUGAAGAUUUGUGACAAAAGCAAAGGACGUUACGGAGAAUGCACAGUGCCACACUGUCUUUCCCAUGCUUUCUCUACACUUGAGAGAGGAAGAAAAAAAACUACUCACUAUUUUGAGCUCGCUAAUCAUCGAGAACCACCAAAAACAAACGCCAAAAUCCCCACCUUUCCAUCUCCAUGAAAAAUCUGCAAUUCAAAACUACAUUAAAAAUAAUUCAGUAGAAAUAAGUGUCAAAUGAUAUCAUUUAGGAAAACAUAUGAUCCCUAUUUUAAAUAAAUUAUAAUAUUUUAAUUUUAUUUAGUUUUUAUACCUAUAUAGGCAAAGAUAAACUAAAUAGUACCUGGAACUGGUUGUACAAUUGUUGGUGUGUCAGUGAUCUCCUUGUUUUUUCCUUCAAUUCUCAUUCCUCAAUCGCUGACGCUCGGUUGGGGUUGACUUGAAAAAGGUACUCCAAUGAUCAAGUAAGUAUUGUGUGUAAAGAGUGUAUAUUUGUAAAUUGAUUAAAGCGUACCUUACACCUUUGCAAAUGAUUUAUUUAUAGUGUUGGUCAUGAGCCCUUAUUGUGAUGGGAUGAAUAUCAGUUGUUCACUGAUGUGUAUCGUGAUCCCUAAUUUAUAGGGAGAUAUACUGAUAUAUAGGUAUGUUGGUAUAUCUAAAGAAUAUCGGUAUCAUCUUUCAGUUAAUCAAUAUUUAACUGAUUUGUCGGAGAUAUUUCCCGCAUAAUCCGAGACAUAAAUGUGAUUCAUAAAGGGCUUUUGUAACUGUGUUGUUGUCAUUUAUUAAGUGAUUUAAGUAUUCUUUGGCAGGGUCGGUCGGUCACCGAAGCCGAGUGACUGACCAGUACACUUAGCCCCCAGGCUCAAAGAAUUCAUUAGUUUCUGAAGAUUCGUGAAGUGACCGUUGGGUGCCUCGAGGUGAGAUGUGACUGUUGGGCGUAUUUAAUGUUGUUAGAGAUGUAACACGCGCUUUUUUCGAAAUCACGUUUGAUGAGUACUGUUCACUCAAGAGGAUCUAACGAUUAACAAUUCGUGUCGUUUCAUAUGUCGAGUAUCAUGAACCUUUAGAUGAAAGGUAAUCCAACAGUGUCAAACAAUGUUUAUAUUAUUCUCUCUCAUCUUGAAUUUCCUUUAAAUAGAGGCGCUUAUGAAUGUAACAAAGUUGUUGUUUGUUUUUUGUGCCUAAGAGUUCCUCAAGUGUGAUCUGAGUGCCGAAUUCCGAGAUAUUUUCUGUCCUUCACAUUUCUUAUUUAAAAGGUUAGUAAUGACUUCCCGUACCGAGUCUUUUCAAAUUAUUGUAGAUAUAUAGUCUUUUGAGCACACUCACUUCGCAUCUGGUGGUUGGUCGACCUUGCAUAUGAUACUCCUUAUUACGAGUUGGUUGAUCCACGCGUAUUGGACGUCCCUACUUGUUUUAGGGGUCCUACGACUUUAGAUGGUUUUUUUUGUCUAAAGUUUCAAUUUUGAAGCCAGACGCUUCUUCGGACGUGGUCUUCGUUGAUAGUUAUAGCCACUCCGACCGGGUUUGUCACAGUGGGAAAGAUGCUCCCCAAGAUUUUUUCUUCGUAUAUAUUACUUUCUUUAAUGACCUUCAUGUCACCCUUCCUUUUGAUGAGUUCACGAUGGGGGUCCUUCGGAUAUGAUCUCGGAAGCUUGUAGCUUUAUUUGAGUCGUUGAAGAGGUGGAGUGACCUUACCAGUAUGUUGUGCUUAAAUACCCAUAAGUUUUUUAUUACAUAUGUUGACAAGAUGCUGAAUUUACUUGUGUCUUGCAGUGAUUAUGUCUUGGAUUGACCCGAAGUUAGUGAAUAUUUUGAAGCAACUGAAGCGCUAAGCUGUUUUGCACCAAAAGGGGUCACUCGAGGCUCUCGGGGCGGGGACCUCAGCCCUGAUCAUUGACGUUGUGCCCCCGGUGGUCGCCCUUCAACCUAACCCGAGAAAAAGGGGUCGAUCGACCAAGACAUCUCAACCCCCAAAAGAGAUAGGGUCGUCUUCUACCCCCUCACUCUUGGGCGGGCAUUUGCAGCUCGCUCAAGGCAUCCAAGUGGGGAUGACCUCGGAAGAAGAGAGUAUACUCGUCGUCAUUUCGACAGAGAACCUAGCUGAGGGGGUGGCUGAGAUCCUGAACCGAUCAUUGGUAGUGACUCGCACAUUGGGUGAUGAGUUAAAGAGACACUCAACCUCCGUCUUGCGAUGACCAAAUUGAAGGCGAAACUAGAGGAGUCCUCCUGCUCCUUGAAAUCAACUCUCAAGAUUAUGGGGUCAUUAGACAAUAAGUGUCGUCAAGCGAAUGUUGAAGCUGAUGUGGCCAAAGGUAGGAUGGCCACGCCGGAGAUAGAGUUACAAUUAGAAAAGGCCGAUCGAACCAAGGACGUGGAAAAGGCUGCACAAGAGAAGAAAACUCUGACAGCAAAGUUAGAGGAAUACGAAGCCAUCCUCCUCCGUAUAAGCAAGGAUUGUUGUUUUUUAAGUUAAAAAUAAAAUUUCUAUUUUUAAAAUUAAAAUUAUAAUAUACUAGCGGAAACACAGGCACGAGUGUAUCCGCAUUUUUUAUUUUUAUCAUUACAAGUUACAACACAUGUCACACCAUUAAAAAAUAAACAAAAAAUUCAUCCUCAAUUAUUCAAUCAACAUUAAUCAUGAAAAAUAUUAUGUACAAAAGAAGAAAAAAUAAUGAAAUAUGCUUAUCUUUUCUUUGUCUUGGACUCACAGAGACUUAGUCAAAUCGUUCAUAUUCUUUACCAUCACCGUCAACCACUUUCCUUUCAUAUCCUCCUUCACCGUCACCCCUUAUUCUUAACCCUCCCAAUCAAAUCCAAAAAUGAACCAUUUUUUUUUCUAUUCACAAACAAAACUACCAACCUUUUCUUACACUCUUCAGUGGAUGUAGAAGCACAUGCAACUUUUUUUCGAGGAUGCAACAUGCACUGAAUCCACACUACACACCGCUCUUAACAAUGUUACUUCACAUUGGAACCUUGCGCUUGGGGGUAAGCACGAUAAUGAUAGGAACGUGCACGAAAAUAGUGUCUUGGGGUUCAGUGUCUUCCUCGUUCUACGUUUUCCUCUUUCUACGUUUUUCUAACUGAAGUUUCUCCAUGUUUGAAGAUUGUGACUAAGUAAACUAGUUUGGAAGUAACUUUUCCGUAAAACAUGAGGAAAUGAGAAUAUAUUUUAGUCACUAUUAUGUAUGAUUUUAUAUAAAUCCAUAAAAUUGUUUUCAGAAAACGUCUUCUGCCUCCUCUUGUUGAGUCCUUCUUAUUUCUCUAGUCACAUGUUUCAAUCACAAUUUCAUAAGAAAAAUAUCAAAUUAGUAUUUCACAAAUUAAAAUGCACAUAAAGAGAAUUAUAUGUUGUUGUGAUGGUAUCCACAACUCCUUUUUGUUAAGUAUUUCCCCUCCCUUUAGUCACAAACUUCAAUUCACAAAGAUUGAUGCAUGGUAAAAAAAAGAAAGUAGUAGGUGGAUACGUGGAUUUAUGCAUAGGAAAUAUUCGGAUCCAGUAAAGAUUAAAGAUUAUUUUUUAAAUCAAUUUGAAAAUUAUUUUUACAUACAUUUUUCAUAAAAUAUUUAAAAUAAAAAUUUUGUUUCCAAUUUUUCAUCUAACAUAUUUACAAAUUUUAAAAAUUUAAAUUUUUUGAAGAUUUUUUUUUUGAAAUUUAUAGUGUUUCGAAAAAGUUUAGGAUUUGAAAAUUUGAAAAGUUAUAAAUUUUGAAAAUUUGAUUUUUUUUUAAAAUUUUAAAAUUUUGAAAAAAAAUAAAAAAUGAGACAAUGUCUUAUAAUAAAAUAAAAUAUUAAUUAAUAGAAGAAUAAAUUAGAAAAAAAUUUAAAGAUGUUAAAAAGGAGAAUCCACCCUUGCACUACACCAGCACUUUUCCGGCAGUCCCGAAAACUUUUCACCGCCGUCUCCGGCAUUCUUGUCGGCAACUACCUCAGACCCUUCCAUCACCGUUUCAUCGCGUUUAGCGUUGCUCUCCUUGUGCUUGUCAUCGUUGGUUUCCUCGGCGUUCUCUUUGGGGUCGUGGUGCUUCUUCUUCGAUUUGGUGCCGUUUUGAGGAUCGAGUUCGUCGUGCUUUCUCUUUGGUGCUGCUAAUAUUAUGUUUUCGUUACUGUCGCAGUUUUGUUUGUUAUCUACAACUGAGAUAGAGGUAUAUAGUAUAUUAGUGUAAAAAAAAUGUGGACACAAUAACGCGAGAGCCUAUAUUUCCACUACAGUUGGAGGUUUAUUUCCCUUUUCCCUCCUUCGGUUAUGGCAGUCGAGAAGGAAAAGCUUCAAGAAGAAUCCGUAAUCCGCCGCUUUGACCAGAUUAUUCUUAGUUGGGAUUACUUUGCUCUCCUCAAGGAAUUCAAGGCAAUUCACUUCAUUCCUUACUCUUUUUCUUUUGCUUCUGUGUUUUUUAUUUUGCAUUUGUUAUGUCUUCUGGAAUUUGGUGUUUCAGAAGCAGAAGAACAACGAGAAAAAAGGGACUGCGAAGUCGACACUCGUGAAGGUGCAGAACCGGUACACAGACGUUGAUGACUACAUUGCAACCUACGAACCCCUCAUAUUUGAAGAAGCCAAAUCCCAGAUCAUUAAGGAGAAAGAGGAAGAAGAGGGUAUCUUUAAUUUCAACUAUUUUGCGUUUUUUAGAAGAUUAUUAUUCUAGCAGUAGCAAUGUAGCACAGUUAGUUGUUAAUAGCGUUUGUGGCUGGUCUUUAGCCUUUUCUAUACUAUUCUUAUUAAUUGUGAGUGACUUUGUAGCACUAGUCAGAGGACUCUUAAAGCUCUGUCUAAGUUGCGGUUCUCCCUUUCUCGCUUCAAUUUAAAUAAUACUGGGUUUUUUCAUGUUUUAAAGUUAGGAGGACAACCAACAUAGUGUGGUAUGGUUGACAAAUAAAUAUACUUUUAAGCACAUAAUCAGAGGUUCGAUCCUAGGUCUGUGUUAAUAGGAGAAUGUCUAUUAAGAGAGACUUGGCCUUUAAUUAGAUUUUUGAAUUAGUCUUUUUAGCUGUCGGCUAAGAGAGAGUAGCCCCUUAAAUAAAUAUUUGGAUUAGUCUCUAGCCCUCUGCUGAGAUACCCUAGGGACCAAAAUAAAAGUUUGAAGGGUCUCUUGUUGUAGUUGCUGAAGAAUAUUUUUUGUUUGCCUGACCACAGUGAGUGAUUGGAAAUUGAGGGUAGUAAAAAGUUGGAGUGAGGCAGAUGACUUUCACUUUAUAGAAUUUCCGUGUGAAAUUAAUGUGGGAGAAUCAAUAUCACAGAAUGAUCUUUUGCUGCAUUUUUGGAAAGAUAAGGUACUACUAGUGAUAAAAAAGUUUUGUGUUUUGGGCUUUGAAUUGUUUGCCUAUUUGUAUUUUUCCCUGCAGUUUGUGGAUGGCAAAAGAUUACCUACUGUUUAUGCAUUUGCUUUGGUGGAACAUGUCCGGAAUUUCUUUGAAACAAGUCUUGUUCGAGUUAGACUCUAUCUUGCUGGGCAGUUUUUACAAUUUAAUAGAGAUAAUGUACAAUCUUGCCCUAGGCUGUUUAACAUGCGAUCUCAUGUAUGCGAGACAGAAAGACAAUUAUAUUUUAUGAAGGUAACCUGUUCUAUAUUUUAUGAAAGACAAUUAUUAAUUUAUAAAAGAAAUGUAUAGGUUUUCACAACUUUUUUUCUUAUAAGAAGACAUUUUCUUAUAAAUAGUUAUGCCUUUGAUCUAAUGUGAAAAUAUGCAGCUGUGCUACUAUUGCUUGUGAAUAUUUGGCUAUUCGAACUAUAGGUUGUCUCCCGUACAAGGAUUUAAUAUUGAGUGCAGUUGAAGAAAAUUGUGGCUCAGAAGUCGAGGGAUGGAAAAUACCAACACCGUUGAGGGAAUAUGUUGAAAGUACUUUUAAUCAGUACCAACAUGAGGCCAUUACAGUAAGUUUUUAUUUUAGAAGUUCAGAAAACUAAAUAAAACUAACUUGUUUAUCAACUUCAGGUUUGUUUAAUCUUUUCACUUCUUUUGACCAAUCCAAUGGUUUUCUGUUCUCUUUAUUAGUUACUGAUAUAUUGUUUGGAAAGAAUAAAUGUUGGAUUCUAACAAGAGGGCAUAUUUUCAAGUUUGAACUUGACAUUUAGUUAAAGGAUAUUAUAACUAAAUACAGGAUAUAUUACUUCAAACGUAUUAUGAUGCAUAGCAUAUCAUUCAGAGUUCUGUUUCUUACUUUCCUUGUCACCAAGUUUUCUUAAUUUGAAUGCUCCUUGUUUUCCCCGUUUUUUUUUAUUCUGUACAUGUAAGCUUGGGUUUUUCCAAUUUCAAUCUCAUCUUAAUUUCUUUUGGUUUUUAUAUAGGAGUCAGAAAAAAAAAUAUAAGAGCAAAUGACCUCUAAAACAAACUACCUAACAUCUAAUUUCAGAUUAUCUGUAAAACAUUAAACUUAAAUCACACCUUUAUCUCCCCAUCUUAAUAAAUUCUUUCUUCUUUAUCAUUUUCUUUGUUUUAUGAAAUUCUUAGUACACUUUUGGAAGAGAAUGUAUUUUUGUUGAUGAACCCUUUUUGAAAGGUCUUUUAAAAAAUUUAAAAGCUACGUUACAUUUAUAAUGUCUGAACAGAUUCUCCUUUCUCAAAGUUUGCUUUUGUAAUGAGAAGCUUAAUAGCUUAGCAAGGAAAGGAUUGCCUUUAGUUUAACGCUUAUUCAAGCAUGCACAAUUGUUAGAAAAAUCUACACGGCAACAUAUGCCAUCAUAAUAAGUUACAAGUCAAAUAACAAAGAGGAGAAAAACUGACCAAAGAAUCUGGAUAAGAAGGUGAAGAUUGAUCGGAAGUUUUCAUUCCUUAAUAAGAUGUAAAGUUCUUGUAACAUUUGUUUAUUUCAUAUUUUGUUUAUUUCAUAUUAACAUUUUAUUUCUGUUCUAGGCUGGUCUAUCAUCAAAAGCCUUUGUCUGGAUACAGGUGGGUCUCUAUUUGGCUUUCUUUUUCUGUAUUAAAAUUCUUUUAAUACUUUUUCAUAUUUGUCUUUUCUUUAUGCAAUGUUAAUCAGUUAUGCUGAAUUAUUUUGUGAAAAGACUUGCUUGUUAAAUUUGGGAAUAGAGAGUUUAUUUCAAAGAACUGCUAAUUUGAAGCUUUUUUUGUAGCCAAUUUUUUCUUUGAUUUAAUUGUGAUUUUCUUUAGGACUUCAAGAAAGCUUGAGCAUAUUUUUCUUUUAACUUUCUGUAACAAUAGGAAAAAAAAAACCAAUUAGACUGGUUGAGUCAUGAAUUGGUUUUGUUAGAAUGAAUAAUUAGUUAUAUUUGGCAAUGAUUUUCUACUACAGUUGUUAGCUAUUACUAACAAUAGAUUUGUUGUAAGUGGUUGCCUAUAAAUAGUCUUGUAAACUUCUUAUUUUAAAAGAAUGAAAAUAAUAAACAACUCAGUUUGUUUUUAUUGUUCAUUUUCUUCAAUAGUAUCUAUAGCUAAUUUUCCGAUGCUUCAUAUUCCUCGAAUCUAGGGUUCCUCAUCGUGAUCUCUUUGCAUUUCCUUCUCUCGAAUAUCUCUUUGGAGUUAUCUUGAGUUUAUUCGUGACUCUGUCUUGCGAAUUUCUCUUCGUGAUGUCUUCAUUUUUGUUUCUAUGGCUUCCACAUCACAAUCCUUCCCAACCACCGUCAUUGAAAAGUUUGAUGAUGCAAAUUAUCUUCAUUGGCGACAACAUGUUUAAUAGGUGAUAAAAUCACAUAAGCUACAAAUUUUUUGUAAAUCCAGUGAAACUAACUUUCUCAUUGAAGAUAUUAAGAAAUGGACUUUAAGCCUAACUCAAUAUUAUAAAACCGGCUUAUAAGGUGAGGUUUGCACCCACUUAUAUACUAUUAAAUGUCCUUAUCAAUAGUCGAUAUAGGAUCUUCAACACACACCCCUCAUGCCAAGGCUACCAACUCAUGUGUGAGACUAUAUUUUAUGGGUGGUCCGAUAAUGGCUCGAUAACUGGUGGCAUGAUAAGCUCAACAAACUCUUGCUAGGAUAGACUUUAAAUGACUUUGAUACCAUAUUAAGAAGUGAAGUUUAAGUCUAAUUCAACUUUAUAAAACCGGCUUAUAAGGUGAUGUUUGCACCCACUUAUAUAUGGUAUCAAAGCCAUUUAGAGUCAUCUUAUGAUGAGUAACUCUAUCUUGUGAAAACUUGUAUAUCCACUUGUCUCAAUGGUUAAUUUCUCAAGGAAAGAAAGAUUGCAUGAGGAAAGAAAUGGAUGAUUGUUAUGACCCAAGACAGAGAAAACUAAGGUUUGGAGUACAAAACUCAAUUUGGAAAAAUCUUGCUUCAAAGCUACCAUUUAUGGUCAAAUUGGAAAGGUUAGAAUUAGAUAGAGUGAGAAAUUUUACAUCAUUGAGACACAUGUUUUUACAAGACAGAGUUACUCAUCAUAAGCUAGCUGCAAGGGCUAAUUAAUGUAAAGAUAAUGACAGUGUCUAUGCGUGAAAACAUGUAUAUCCACCUGUCUCGAUGAUGUAAAAUUUCUCACUCUAUCUAAUUCUAACCUUUCCAAUUUUACCAUAGAUGGUAGCUUUGAAGUAGGAUUUUUCCAAAUUGAGCUUUGUACUCCAAACCUUAGUUCUCUCUGUCUUGGGUCAUAACAAUCAUCCAUUUCUUUCCUCAUGAGGAAUUAACCAUUAAGACAGGUGAAUAUACAUGUUUUCAUAAGACAAAGUUACUCAUCAUAAGCUGGCUGCUAGGGCUAACUAAUGUAAAGAUAAUGACAGUGCCUAUGCAUGCUCUUGAAAUAAUACUACAAGAUCUAUCAAAAUCUCUUUCAACGAGCAUUCAACCUCCUUGUUUUGUUCAAUUGAAGUCAUUGCAAGUGAAGAAACCACUACAUGUAGAUAUAUGUAAUAUCCAAGAUAGAUUAAACAGAGCAUUGGAGUACUUCCGAACUCUCCAUUGACCAAGAUUGAUUUUCUAGUCGCAAAUUGAUGAAAGAGAUAUACAUGCGGAGUUCCUUGUCCAUAGGCUGUUGAUCCAUGCACUCAAAGGAUCUAUAUGGCUCAAUAUGGUGACAUUCUGGUGCUUCCUAGAAGACAUGACCUAAGGAUACAGUUAAGUUCUUAAUGUGGUUAACAAGAUUGAACACCUAAAAACAAUGAAGUGGUUUUCCACUAGCUUUGUAGCGUUUUAGUACCAAAUUGGUUUCAUCUUUUCAUGGAUUCAAACCCUAAACCAACAUUCCAUAGGGGAAUUUGAAGCGUCACUUGUAACUGUGCCAUUUCCAAAGGCUAAGAUAUCUAUAGAAGAAAAAGUAGGGAACUUGAUUAUGAAGACAAAGAAGAAACUGAGGCAGAGUAGAAGAGAUAGGGAAGAGGAGAGGGAUUUCUAGUUCAUCAUGAAGAAUAUAUUGAUGCAAUUCUUGAAGGACUUCUCUCCGAUUAAGCAUGAGUUGUUUCAGUUAUUGAAAGUGAAAAGGGUACACCAUCCAUGGAUGAAAUUGAAGCUCUUCUUUACAGUCAUGAAACAUGUCUUGAUCGGUAUGUUAAGGAGACACAAUGUUUGGUAUCUCCUUCAUUGAAUUAUACUCAAGGCUCUUAUGGUCAUGGUGGUGGUAAUCACAGUGGCUCUUGUGGUGAAGUUACACAUGGUGGUGGCAAUUUUGGUAGAGGUCAUGAUGGCGGUAAAUUUGCAAAAUUUCAAUGUCAGGUUUGCCUCAAAUUUGGUAACAUAGCAAAUGUUUGUCACUUUAGAUCUAAUGUAUCUUAUCAACCCCAUGAGUUUAUGUCUUUCAUUGAUCAUGCAAAACCUCAAAUACUUGGGUUAAUCUUGAUAUUAAGUUUGGAAACACUACUCAACCAAGUGUAAUGUUAACAAGGUUGAACUCUCAAGGAACUUGAAAUGCUUCUUGGAUACCAAAUUCUAGUGCAAGAUUUCAUGUCAUUGGUGAACCUCAAAAUAUCAAGCAACUUAAUCAUGUUGAUGGUCCUGAUCAAAUUUUUGUAGGCAAUGUUGAAAGUUUAAGUAUUCAUGGUGUUGGUUCCUCUUUCAUUUGUGUCACCUCAAGAUUCACAAAUUAUUUUUCAACUAAACAAUUUGUUACAAUGUCCUUCUAUUAUUGAAAACUUAUUAAGUGAUAGUCAAUUUUGCUAAAGAUAAUUUUGUUUUCUUUGAAUUUCAUUUUGAUAAGUGUCUUGUCAAAUCUCGGGGGACAAUUAAGGUUCUCCUUCAAGGAAUUGUUGGGGUUGAUGGACUUUAUUCAUUUCAUAAUCUCAAGCUUCAAGUUCAUUGCCCUAUUCUACAAUCAUUCUCCAAACUCCUUAAUUGUUUAGCCACAUAGCUCUUUGUUUAAUAGUGUUAGAGCUGAUUAAAAUAAAGCAAAUGCUGUAAAAUUUUCUUUUGCUCCUAUAUCAUCUAGUAGUGUUAGUUUGUGCACAAUAGGCUGGAUUAUCCAAACAAUAAUGUAAUGAAAAUUAUCAUGACUCACUGUAAAAUUUCUCCAUCCAAUGAAAUUGACUCUUACUUUUGCUCAUCUUGUUGUAUUGGCAAGUCAAAUAAAUUGCCUUCUCACAUCUCUGAAUUUAUAUACUCUCCUUUAUAAGUGAAUUCACUGAACUAUGGGUGGGGACCUUCUCACCUUACCUCUUAUUGUGGAUAUAAAUAUUAUGUGUCCUUCAUUGAUGACUAUUAGGUAUAACAGUAAUAACUGUUUAUAACAGUCCUAACUGUUCACUUGUAUUCCAUACUGCACUGGGUACUAUUAAUACCCAGGCUGCUCUACAUGUAAACCUGAAUCUCAAAUACUAAAGUUCUCUCUAUCUCUCUCUCUUCUUCCUAAUCCUUUCUCUCACCCUCAUUACUCUUUUAUGGUAUCCAGAGCCAAAAAUGGCCUCAUCAUCUACCACUGAACCCAAUUCUGAAACUUUUUCUGCCAAGCCCUUCCCCCUUCCCCCUCAUAUCUUUCAUACGCCAAUUCCUCUAAAACUGGACUCAGAAAACUUCCUUGUCUGGCGGCAGCAAGUUAAUGCCACUCUUCGCAGUUUAGAUCUUCUUUAUUUUCUGGAUGGGUCUUGCAUUCCUCCACGUCUCAUUUCUAUCGAAGAAGACGCUUCUCCAAUUGUGAAUUCCAAAUACAUCCAGUAUGAUCGUCAAGAUCAAGCAAUCUUGGCCUGGUUACUGGCAUCAAUGACCGCAGGUGUCCUCACCUAGAUGGUUGGCAUGGACACGUCAGCCCAAGUCUGGGAAAAGNNNNNNNNNNNNNNNNNNNNNNNNNNNNNNNNNNNNNNNNNNNNNNNNNNNNNNNNNNNNNNNNNNNNNNNNNNNNNNNNNNNNNNNNNNNNNNNNNNNNNNNNNNNNNNNNNNNNNNNNNNNNNNNNNNNNNNNNNNNNNNNNNNNNNNNNNNNNNNNNNNNNNNNNNNNNNNNNNNNNNNNNNNNNNNNNNNNNNNNNNNNNNNNNNNNNNNNNNNNNNNNNNNNNNNNNNNNNNNNNNNNNNNNNNNNNNNNNNNNNNNNNNNNNNNNNNNNNNNNNNNNNNNNNNNNNNNNNNNNNNNNNNNNNNNNNNNNNNNNNNNNNNNNNNNNNNNNNNNNNNNNNNNNNNNNNNNNNNNNNNNNNNNNNNNNNNNNNNNNNNNNNNNNNNNNNNNNNNNNNNNNNNNNNNNNNNNNNNNNNNNNNNNNNNNNNNNNNNNNNNNNNNNNNNNNNNNNNNNNNNNNNNNNNNNNNNNNNNNCUAUUGCUUCCUCUUCUCGGGUUCAAUGUCAAAUCUGUGGAAAAUAUGGGCAUACUGCCCUUCACUGUUGGCAUAGGUUUGAUUCUUCCACUCCAUCUCAAGUUACUGCUAAUACUGCUCAUUUUCCUUCAUCUUUUUGUGAUGAUGAACCUUCGAUCCUCGAGACUCCCAAAAAUCUCCAUGAUCCCCUUUGGUACCCUGAUAGCGGUGCUUCCCAUCAUCUCACUGCUCAUGGCACCAAUCUUUCCACAACAACUCCCUACACAGGUUCGGAAAAGGUGGUUGUAGGUAAUGGUUUCCAGCUUCCUAUUACUUCUAUUGGUUCUGCAACUUUUACAGAUAUUAAUACUCAUCAUACCUUCUCUUUACACCACCUUCUGCAUGUUCCUACUAUUUCUAAAAAUCUAUUAAGUGUUUCCAGGUUCGCCCGUGAUAAUAAUGUUUUCUUUGAGUUUCAUGUUGAUGUUUGCCUUGUUAAACGUCAGGGAACCAACAAAAUCCUGCUCCAAGGCAAGCUUAAAGAUGGUCUUUAUGUGUUUCCCAAUCUAGUUCAAACUGCAUCAUACUCUGCUUACAAUACUGCACUCUCUGCUGGCUAUUCUACUUAUCAUUUGUGGCACUCCCGGUUUGGUCAUGCCCAACCAAGAGUGAUUCAUCAAAUAAUGAAGAUGUGUAAUAUACCCUUUACUGCUAAACAUGAAUUUUGUGAAUCCUGUGUUGUUGGCAAGUCCCAUCAGCUUCCUUUUAAAGCUUCUCAAACUAUAUACUCUAAACCUUUACAACUUGUUUUCAUUGACAUUUGGGGGCCAUCGGCUACCCCUGCCACUAAUGGUGCUCCUUAUUAUAUCUCUUUUGUGGAUGCUUACACUAGAUAUGUUUGGUUCUAUUUAAUUCAUGCUAAAUCACAAGCUCUCACUGUUUUUAAAUCUUUCAAAAUAUAUGUUGAAAAACAGACUGGUUUUCCUUUGUUAAGCAUUCAGACUGAUAAUGCAAAAGAAUUUCUCUGUUUUAAAUCCUUUUUGUUAUCCAAUGGCAUAUCUCACCGUCUAACUUGCCCUCACACUCAUGAACAGAAUGGUUCUGUGGAAUGCAAGCAUAGACAUAUUGUUGAUAUUGGUUUGACUUUACUUGGUUGCUCUAAAUUACCCAUGCAUUUCUGGGGCUAUGCUUUCACGGCUGCUGUAUCCAUUAUCAAUGUUUUACCCACACCUGUUUUAAAUAAUCAAAGCCCAUACUAUUUAUUGUUUAACACACACCCUGAUUAUGUUUUUUUAUAAAACCUUUGGAUGUGCUUGUUAUCCUUUGCUUCGCCCAUAUAAUAAACAUAAAAUGAGUUUUCGUUCAUCUUUGUGUGUGUUUCUUGGCUAUGCAUCCAAUCACAAAGGCUACAUGUGUCUCUCUCCCUCUGGGCGUAUGUAUAUUACUCGCCAUGUUACCUUUAAUGAAUCUGUUUUUCCCUAUGCUGAUUCUUCUAACCCUUUUUCUUCUGUCUCUCCACCCACAAAUAGCCCCUCCGAUGCUUCACCUAGUUUAACUGUUUUUCAGCAACCAACUUUCUCUGUGUCACAACCAGCUCUUCCUGCCUCACAACCCAUCGCCCCUGCCUCUUCACAUGACCAACCUGCUUCCUCUGCAUCCACAUCUUCUCACUCUGAUUUGUCUUCCACGGUUUCACCCCCACAACAUUCUGCUCCUCACAACACUCACCCUAUGCUUACACGUGCGAAGGCUGCCUUACUUGGUCCAAGUGCUUUCACUGCUGUCCCUGUGUUGCCUCUCCCAAAAUCCACCAAAGAGGCCUUACAGCUUCCCCAAUGGCUUGCUGCCAUGCAAGAAGAACUUGCUGCUCUAAACACAAACAACACUUGGAUUCUCACUACCCUUCCUCCUGGAGUUCAACCCAUUGGCUGCAAAUGGAUUUUCAAAAUAAAAUACAAUGUUGAUGGCUCAUUUCAGCGCAAUAAAGCUCGCCUCGUCGCCAAAGGUUUUCAUCAGCAAUAUGGUUUUGACUAUUUUGAAACGUUCAGUCCUGUGAUAAAGCCUGUCACCAUCCGUAUUAUCCUUACUCUAGCCCUUCAACUAAACUGGUCUGUCAAUCAAAUUGAUAUUAAUAACGCCUUUUUGUAUGGUGACCUUGAGGAAUCUGUCUACAUGAGUCAACCUCCUGGUUUUGAAACUGGUGACUCCAACACUGUNNNNNNNNNNNNNNNNNNNNNNNNNNNNNNNNNNNNNNNNNNNNNNNNNNNNNNNNNNNNNNNNNNNNNNNNNNNNNNNNNNNNNNNNNNNNNNNNNNNNNNNNNNNNNNNNNNNNNNNNNNNNNNNNNNNNNNNNNNNNNNNNNNNNNNNNNNNNNNNNNNNNNNNNNNNNNNNNNNNNNNNNNNNNNNNNNNNNNNNNNNNNNNNNNNNNNNNNNNNNNNNNNNNNNNNNNNNNNNNNNNNNNNNNNNNNNNNNNNNNNNNNNNNNNNNNNNNNNNNNNNNNNNNNNNNNNNNNNNNNNNNNNNNNNNNNNNNNNNNNNNNNNNNNNNNNNNNNNNNNNNNNNNNNNNNNNNNNNNNNNNNNNNNNNNNNNNNNNNNNNNNNNNNNNNNNNNNNNNNNNNNNNNNNNNNNNNNNNNNNNNNNNNNNNNNNNNNNNNNNNNNNNNNNNNNNNNNNNNNNNNNNNNNNNNNNNNNNNNNNNNNNNNNNNNNNNNNNNNNNNNNNNNNNNNNNNNNNNNNNNNNNNNNNNNNNNNNNNNNNNNNNNNNNNNNNNNNNNNNNNNNNNNNNNNNNNNNNNNNNNNNNNNNNNNNNNNNNNNNNNNNNNNNNNNNNNNNNNNNNNNNNNNNNNNNNNNNNNNNNNNNNNNNNNNNNNNNNNNNNNNNNNNNNNNNNNNNNNNNNNNNNNNNNNNNNNNNNNNNNNNNNNNNNNNNNNNNNNNNNNNNNNNNNNNNNNNNNNNNNNNNNNNNNNNNNNNNNNNNNNNNNNNNNNNNNNNNNNNNNNNNNNNNNNNNNNNNNNNNNNNNNNNNNNNNNNNNNNNNNNNNNNNNNNNNNNNNNNNNNNNNNNNNNNNNNNNNNNNNNNNNNNNNNNNNNNNNNNNNNNNNNNNNNNNNNNNNNNNNNNNNNNNNNNNNNNNNNNNNNNNNNNNNNNNNNNNNNNNNNNNNNNNNNNNNNNNNNNNNNNNNNNNNNNNNNNNNNNNNNNNNNNNNNNNNNNNNNNNNNNNNNNNNNNNNNNNNNNNNNNNNNNNNNNNNNNNNNNNNNNNNNNNNNNNNNNNNNNNNNNNNNNNNNNNNNNNNNNNNNNNNNNNNNNNNNNNNNNNNNNNNNNNNNNNNNNNNNNNNNNNNNNNNNNNNNNNNNNNNNNNNNNNNNNNNNNNNNNNNNNNNNNNNNNNNNNNNNNNNNNNNNNNNNNNNNNNNNNNNNNNNNNNNNNNNNNNNNNNNNNNNNNNNNNNNNNNNNNNNNNNNNNNNNNNNNNNNNNNNNNNNNNNNNNNNNNNNNNNNNNNNNNNNNNNNNNNNNNNNNNNNNNNNNNNNNNNNNNNNNNNNNNNNNNNNNNNNNNNNNNNNNNNNNNNNNNNNNNNNNNNNNNNNNNNNNNNNNNNNNNNNNUCUUGCAACUACAUUUUGCUUCUUGCUCCUCCAUGUCACCAGAUUUCCACCCAAGAACAUGCAGUAGCCUGUGGUGGAUCUCCUAUCAACAAUCAAUCCUGCAUAGUCAGCAUCAGUAUAUACUUUCAUGGAUAAGUUUUCCCCCUUUUUGAAUAGCAAUCCUUUUCCUGGAGAGGCUUUUAAGUACUGAAUAAUUUUAUCUACUGCCUGCAAGUGUCUUUCUCUUGGAUCAUGCAUAAAUUGACUAACCACACUAACUGCAUAGGCUAUAUCUGGCCUAGUGUGUGAAAGAUAAAUAGUUUUCCCACAAGUCUUUGAUAGUGUCUUCUCCACUUUUGGGUUUUCCUCAUCAUUCCCAAUCCUAUGAUUUUGCUCUAUUGGCACUCCAAUGGGCUUACAACCCAACUUACCAANNNNNNNNNNNNNNNNNNNNNNNNNNNNNNNNNNNNNNNNNNNNNNNNNNNNNNNNNNNNNNNNNNNNNNNNNNNNNNNNNNNNNNNNNNNNNNNNNNNNNNNNNNNNNNNNNNNNNNNNNNNNNNNNNNNNNNNNNNNNNNNNNNNNNNNNNNNNNNNNNNNNNNNNNNNNNNNNNNNNNNNNNNNNNNNNNNNNNNNNNNNNNNNNNNNNNNNNNNNNNNNNNNNNNNNNNNNNNNNNNNNNNNNNNNNNNNNNNNNNNNNNNNNNNNNNNNNNNNNNNNNNNNNNNNNNNNNNNNNNNNNNNNNACGAGGUGAUUGUUUAAGACCAUAUAGGGCCUUCUUAAGUCUGCAUGCCUUAUUCCCUUCAUUAACAAUACCAUAACCAGGUGGGAUCUCCAUGUAUACUUCUUCCUCCAAGCUUCCAUGCAAGAAGGCAUUUUUAACAUCAAAUUGAUGCAUUGCCCAACCAAAGUGUGCUGCCAGGGAGAGAAUAAUCCUGACGGUAUUCAUUUUUGCCACUGGAGCAAAAGUCUCCUCAUAAUCGAAUCCAGUUCUCAUCUUUUAAGGCUUCUUGUACCGAUAUAGGGAUUUUGAUAGAAUCAAUAGCUGAAAGAAAACUCUGGUGCUGCAUAGAAAGUUUUUCUGUAGACACAAAUUGGGNNNNNNNNNNNNNNNNNNNNNNNNNNNNNNNNNNNNNNNNNNNNNNNNNNNNNNNNNNNNNNNNNNNNNNNNNNNNNNNNNNNNNNNNNNNNNNNNNNNNCAAAAGCAGUAUUUAAGGUGUCCUCAAGAGUCUCACUGGUAUGAGUUCUUACCUCCGGUUCAGACAAUUGAAGUUGUUGUUCGACCAGGACGGGUUCUUGUUGCCUUCGCUGAUAUUGUUUUCCAAAAUAUUUGUCUUCAUUAUUCUUUUCUGGUAAUGAUGUAGGUGCAUGGUCUUUGUCAUCCUCCCUAAGAACGAAAUCCUGCAACAAAGGAAAAGGUGGCAACUCAAGGUCCUCAGCUUCUUGAAUACUCUCCCCUUGAAGCUGAGAACUAGGAAAGAAAGACUCUGUUUCGUGGAAGGUGACAUCUUUGGAAAUAUAAACUUUACGACUUUGAGAAUGAUAACAUUUGUACCCCUUUUUGUUGGGGGCAUAACCGAUGAAGACACAUUUGAUGGCGCAAGGAUCUAACUUACCCCGAUAAGGACUAUGAACAUGGACAAAAGCAGGACAACCAAAGACACGAUUUUGAAGACUAUUCAACAUGGGAAUAGAAGGAUAGAAUGUGGUCAUAACCUGAAUAGGAGUAACACCCUCUAGAACCCGAGAGGGUAAUCUAUUAAUCAAAUAAGUGGCAGUCAGGACUGCUUCCCCCCCAGUAAGAUCUAGGAACAGAUGUGUGGAAAAGUAAAGCUCGAGUAACCUCAAGGAGAUGACGAUUUUUCCUUUCAGCAACCCCAUUUUGUUGAGGAGUGUCCACACAGGUUAAUUCAUGAACAACUCCAUUUUCCUCAAGGAACUUGGAAAGGUUUUGGUUCACAUAUUCUCUUCCAUUAUCAUAACGCAAUCUCUUAUUUGGACUUUCAAAUUGUGUUUGAAUCAUUCUGUAAAACUUUACAAACAAGUGAAAAACUUCAGACUUAUCUUUCAUGAGGAAUAUUCAAGUAACCCGAGUACAAUCAUCAAUAAAUGAAACAAACCAUUUUGCACCCGAGAUAUUAGGAAUAGGUGAAGGUCCCCAUACAUCUGAAUGAAUAAGAUCAAAAGGUUUAGAACUUUUAUUACCAUUGGGAGGAAAAGUUGUCCGAUGGUGUUUAGCAAACUGACAAACAUCACAAUGAAAUGACUCAGCAGACACUUUUGUAAAUAAAACAGGAAAUAAGGACUUUAGGGUACUAAAUGGAGGAUGACCAAGACGUCUGUGUUGAAGCCAUAUCUGAGAGGAUGACCAAGAUUCACGACCUUGCUGAAGAUUAGAAGUGUGUGCCUGUAGUCUAGCACACUUUUUACUUUCUUCCUGCUGUAAAUAAUAUAACCCGCCCUGCUCUUUAGCAAUUCCAAUAGUCUUCCCCGUGGCAAGAUCCUGAAAGACACAAUGGGAAGGGAAAAAUACGACUGCACAAUUUAAAUCUUGGGUAAUCUUUUGAAUAGACAAGAGGUUAUUGGAUAGUUUGGGAACAUGAAACACAUUUUUUAAAGGAAAUGAAGGUUGAAGGUGAAUGUUACCACGACCAUUAAUGGGGGUAGUGGAACCAUUAGCAACAGUAAUAUAUGGCUUACCGGAUAAAGCAGUGUAGGAUGAAAAAGAAGAGGAAUGAGGUUUCAUAUGAUCAGUAGCACCAGAGUCUAUAAUCCAGAUAUUUUCAGUACUAGAAGCAUUAAAGGAUAAAAAACUAGAACUCUUACCACUCAUAGUAAAGGAACAAUAGCUAGAUGGCUUACUAAGGGAGUCCAUGAGAGUUCAAAACCAACUGAGUUUUUCAGAUUGACAAAAUUUGAUCCUGUUCACACACAAAAAAAUCCGCCGGAAAAAUUUUCCGGUGGCGGUUUCCGGCAAGCAGUGGCAGUUCCGGCGAGCGGUGCAGUUUCCGGCGAGCGACGGCGGUGGUGGUGGUCGGCGGUGGUCAAUGGUAGUGGCAGUAACGGUCAAUGGUGCAAGGUGGUGGUGGUGGUCAAUGGAGAAAGGAUAAGGAAAAUAGAAAGUUGUAGCAAUGAAGGCUGUGCAAAAAAAAAAAAAAAUUUGCAGCAUUGAAGGCUGCCAAGGAAAAUGAUUACAGCAAUGAAGACUGUCAAGGAAAAUGAUCACAGCAAUGAAGGCUAAAAAAAAAAUUGCGGAAGCAGAGUCUCCUAGAUCAGGAGCUCUGAUACCAAGUGGAAAGAAAUAGAUGAAAUAUAUUUUUGAGAUAUCUUACAACUCUAUUUAUAGACUGUUUUACAACCUAAUUAAGGAAAGAAAUAAUAGGUAAUGAAAGCAAGAAAUAAUGGGUGUUUAAAGCUGUACGUACAAAUCAAAUCACUAACAAAUCUGUCCUAAUAAAUAUAAAAUGGAAUAUGCACUUAAUUAUAACAUAAUUCUCCUGAUUAUGCAACAAUGACUAUUCAAGGUUCAUUUGGAUUUUCCAAUUAAGUCAAAGCUGAAACAUUGUCUAUCUUUCAAACCUUCAAAUCAAUGGUUGAGUUACAACUUAAUUCAAAAAUUAAAAAUAUUUAAUCUGAUUGGGGUGGAGAAUAAAUUUGAGUUGUUCUUACUCUUUCUAUGUCAUAUGGAUGGAAAUUGUUACAGCAUGAUGCCAAUAAUGCCUUUUUGGAUGGUUUCCUUGAAUAGUUUAUAUAGCACAGCCUCCUGGAUUUGAAGUUGGGGACAAAUCUCUUGUAUGUGAAUUGAAUAAAGCCCACGGCAAUAGUUUGACUGAUUGCAAUCUACACUUUGUCACUUUGGCUUUGUAAGUAGUAAAUGUGAUUCUUUGCUUUUUGUUUACAGAAAACAAUCUCAGGUUGUAUAUUUUCUGUUAUAUGUUGAUGAUAUAAUAAUCACUAGCAGCUCUAUUACUGUGAUUCAACAUUUACAACCAAACUUCAUGAAGCUUUUUCUCUUAAACAACUUGGUCAUCUAGAUUAUUUUCUUCGCCUAGAAAUUAAAUAUUUACCUAAUAAGUCUAUUGUUAUGACUCAAGCAAAUAUAUUCUAGACUUGAUUCACAAAACACAUGGCAAACGCUCAUUCCAUUUCUUCCACUAUGGUUUCUAAUUGCAAGUUAUCCUAAUUUGAGGUGAUCUAUUUUCAGAUCCUACCUUGUAUCAUUCAGUUGUUGGUGCUUUGCAAUAUGCCACUCUUACUAGAACAAAGUCUGUCAAUUUAUGGCCAAACCACUGGAUUAUCUUUGGGUUAUAGUUAAACACAUACUAUGGUAUUUUAAAGGUCCUUUUGUUCCAUGGACUACAUUUUCAGUCUACUUCUCUUGUUGAACUUUUGUCAUUGAAAGCCUUUUGUGAUGCUGAUUGGGCAUUUGGUAUUACUUUAGGAGCAACCAUCUUUCUUGAUCUCAAUUUAAUAUCUUAGUGGUCCUGCAAGCAACAAGUUAGUGCUUGUUCUAGCACCGAGGUUGAGUAUGGAAGUUUGGCUCAAACUUCUAUUGAAUUAACAUGAUUUUCUUCUUUGUGAUAAUCAAAGUGUUGUGUCUAUAGCUCACAAUCCGUGUUUCAUAAUCACAAUAAACAUAUGGAGAUUGAUGUUUUCUUUGUGUGGAAAUGAUUAUGGCCAAGCAGCUCUUCAUCUAUCAUACUCCCUCUCUUGAUCAAUGGGCAGAUGUGCUGACCAAGCCUUUAUCUUCAGCUUGUUUUGCAUUUCUUAGAGGCAACUCAUGUGUAUAUUUUUUUUUUCUUUUGAAAAAUCUUCUCCUUGAGUUUGAGGGGUUGUGUUAGAGUGAAUAAUUAGUUAUAUUUUGUAUGAUUUUCCGUUCCAGUGGUUAGCUUUUGUUGUAUUUUGUAAACUUCUUAUUAUAGAAGUGUGAAAAUUAUCAACAACUCAGUUUGUUUCUAUCAUUCGUUUCCAUUCAAGAGCUUUGGUUCUUGAUUUAGAUAUAAUUUACCCUCUGCUGUUGUGUUUCUUAUCAAACAAAGCUAGGCCAUUAGGUUAGAAUUUGUAAAUUAUUACUGCUGAAAGACGGUUUAUAAUGUCCAUGUAUGUCAUGUCACUAGGUCCUUUCCAGAAUUUUUGCUGAAGGUAGGUCCUUUUUUGAUAAUUUACUUGCUAUUGUAUUUUCUUUGACAUGCAUUAUCCCCUUUCUAAAUACCUAUGAGACAUAUAACUGGGUUUUAAUCAAUAUAAGGUAGAUUUUUUAUAAUAAAAAAAGUUGUAAUAGAGCCUAACCAAUUCCUUUCAGGGGCCCCCAGGGACUGGGAAGACUCAGACCAUACUUGGGAUUCUAAGUACCAUUUUGCAUGCAACUCCUACAAGAGUGCAUUCAAAGUAAGCAUAAUAUUUAGAAUAUCUCUGGAGUCUUCUAUGUAUAAAUUUCAUUUUUUGGUUUGAAUUGUUGUCUUGAGCAAACCAUUGUGUUAAGAGUGUGCCUGGUAGAAGUUAGAUUUUGAAGAAAAUUUUGCUUCUACCAAGCAAUUUAUGGUCAUGUUUUUUCCUAAUCUUUCUUUCUCUGUUUUCAUACACUGUGUAUUGAUUUUUUUUUUCAAAGCAGAACCUAUGAGCUAAGGCAGGGACCACAAUUACCUACUCAGGAGAAGUAAGAUUUGCUUUGAGAAUAUUUAGGCUUUACUUGAUCAAGAAAACUUCAUGCCAUGGAUGUUGGUUUGUUCCUGUGAUUCUGACAUGAUAUUUCUUUUAAUUUCCCAUAUGAGCCAUCUUUUAAGAUCCUUAUAUGUUUUGUUCAUUAUUAGUUUCUUCUUGCUUUGUGAUAUACAUGUUUGCUCUCUCGCUAUACCUUCAAGUAGUUCAUAAACAAUGUUUUGAAUCAAGUAGAAGUGCAACAAUACGGGUAAAAUUUGAUUUUUGUAUUAUAUCAUAAACAAAGAAAAUAGCUUCAAUUCAAGUUAAGUGCAUAUUUUCUUGGUUUCUCUUCACUUUAGCUAGUUUAACUUCACAUUGACACAAGGAGAAGUUGGGAAAAUUGUUUAAAGCUUAUGACAGUUUUUGGACUUAGGCUUAUACAAGUAAGAGAUAUGGAUGAUUACUUAUGUGAUAUUUGUGUUGUUGAAGGAUGAUAAGAGAGACGGAACCUACUGACUGUUCUCCAAGGUUCAAAUAAAGUAUUUUUUUAUUAGAAUAUUCAUGAGUAUGUUUUCAAGAAGUUAUUCUAAUUAAAGUACAAUUCUAGAUGAUUGAAGUAUUAGUCACAUCACAUAAGCUAGUUUAUUUAGUUGAGAUUAUGAAUGUAGGUCCAUAGCAGAGUACCCUUCCAAACUAAUAAAGUUGAUUUUAACCUAAGUAAUUCCCUCUUUCACCCUUCUUUGUGGAAUUCAGUUUGAUUAGAUGAUGUUGAACAAGUGCCUUGUAAUAUUUAGUUGCAUAGUUUAUAUCUUGCAAAGUCACCUUGGGAUGGUGACCACUUCAGUCCCAAAGAUCAAUUAAAAUAGAUUGAAGAUGGUUUUUAUAUUAUCUUUGUUAGUGUUGAAAUGUAAUGUUAUUUUAUUAUUGUUUCUUUUGUAUGUACCCAACUUUAGGGUUAGGGUUGAAGGUAAAUAUCUUGCCUCUUUUGUAACCUCUCUCUCUAUAUAUACACACACAUUAAUCUAAAGCACAAUAGUGUAGGUUGAAUACAUUGUGAUUUCUCCAUCUUAUUUAUUCAAUUGUUAGCCGAAUGCACUUUUCAUAUUUCAUCAUGCUAGAAAAUUUUAUUUUCUUUUCCCUUUUCCUAUGGCAGACAAAGACAUUGGGGACUAGCAUCUCCAGGGCUUAGUAGUGUUAAUCCAAGAGAUAGUCUAAUGCCAAAAGACGGUGAUAAGGGUUUUACCCAACUACUCAAAAUGAACUAGUAAGUACUUUUUUAUUGGUUGAAAUUGUUGUCUUGCAAAAUAAUAUAUUCUCUAAUGAUGGGUUUUUAUCAGAAACCUGAGGCUGUACCUUCAAGUUGUAAGUACCGUGUAGGAGUGCUAGUAUGCACCCCAUCAAACUCUGCCUUUGAUGAGAUUGUGUUGAGGGUUCUCAAUGGAGGUAUUAAGUUUCUUCAAUGCAUUUAUCUGGGAAAAGGAGUUUUUCUUUAUGCAUUACAUUCCCUUGCCAUGAUUUUCUCCCUCUUAGUUUUCUGUUUGGGGUGGGGUUUAAGAUCUCAACUAGGACACGUUCACUAGGGAGGUGUCAUUGUCAUCUUGGUUGUGGCCAAGCCUUGUAAUUAACUGUUAGCAAUCAUAUUUUAUCACGUCCAUGUUUAGAAAAUUAUAACUGAAGUGUAUAACAUAAAUGUAAGAUGGUGUUAGAACCAUGCUAAACAAAUUUGUCCUAAUGAAAUUCAAUUGGGCUAUGCAAUGUUGUCGUUUCACAAUCAAAUUAAAAACAGUUUUAGAGUAGACUGUCUAACGCAAUGCUAGACUGUUUAACACUGAAUAGAUAGGGUCAGUUUAUCCCAAGUCAUCUUCCAACGGAUUCAAUAGUGAAUCCAGUCAAACAGUGUUUAGGGUUUAGGGUUCGCAAUUAAAAGUUAGAAAUAACAUUAAAGUAAAGUAAAGAGGGGUUGAGAUUGUUGUGCAGAAAAUUAGAGUAGAUGAUUGAAAAUACUAAGAACAGGUUGGGUCUCAAGUUCUUUCAACAAUGAGUUCUUCCCCAGUUAAUAUAUAUAUAUAUAUGUGUGUGUGUGCGCGCGCGCGCGUAUCAUUUAUUCAAUCUCAAAACAAGAUUGAAUUGACCAAACAUGUGUUAGUCAAAUCAAUGAAAUCUUAAUGAAACAUGCAUCCAGUAAUUCAUUUAGUACCUUACUUGUCUCCAUGUCUACUCAUAAGGUUUUUAGUCUUUUACCUCUUGAAUUAUGCACUCAAAAGAUUGUUCAUAAUAAUGUAAACUAAACAAGAAUUCCAAUUCAAGAACAGAAUUGAAUCAUCAACAUGCACUAAAAAACAAUUCCUGAAACAGAAAUUAGAACUCAAAAAGAUCAGACCAUCUUGUGCAACUUGUUACAGUUGUUGAAGAAUAAAAUAUUAGUUACACAGAACCUCUAAUUCAUUGUGAAGUUACAAGAGAAUUAAACCCAUAAGAGUUUAGUCUUCCAUGCAAAGGCAAACUGGAAGAAUUACAAAGAAGAAAAUAGGAAAACUAAGAAAACUAUGAUGCUUUGUUCUACGAACGGAUCCUAGAGUGGGACUCAGUUCGAUUUGAUUCCCAUUGAAAUGUGUAAGUAUUUAUAGGUUUCUGCAAUGGAGCUCUGAUCCAUUCAUAGUUCCAUUUCUUUUUAGUAGUCUCCCCUUUUCCACAUUUUAAUAGAGGAUUUUCCUCUGUUUUUUGCUACAUUUCAACAUAAAUACUAUUCUGGUCCUAUUCAAAUUAUGUUGUGUAUCACACUUCUAAAGUCCUAGAGUUUUUUCCCUAGUUUGAUUGCAUCACAUGACAGAGAAUAUAAGCUGUUCCUGUUAAUCAGUUUUAUUGUGUUUCAUCAAGGUAAAAAAUAAGGAUUAUAUUAAUCUCAUUAGUAUUUGGUUCCUGAGUACCCCAAUGUUUCUCCUUUUAUUUUUCUUCUCUGGAGAAAAUUUAUCAUUAUAUUCUUUUCUAUUACUUUUGUCUUUUUGAAAUUUCCUGUGAUUUUUUUAAAUGGGUUUUUUCAUGUUAUGAUCAAACAGAUAAGAAGCUUCCCCUCUAGGGAGUUUUAUAGAGACUCAUUGCAAGAUGGGGAUGAGUUGAAAUCACGGACAAUACGUGCAUGGCAUGAUUACCACUGCUUUGGCCCCUUCCGUUUCUUUGAUAUACACGAGGGAAAAGAGGCUCGACCAUCUGGGAGUGGUUCAUGGAUAAAUGUUGAAGAAGUUGACUUUGUUCUAUUCUUGUAUCAAAAACUGAUUUCACUUUAUCCGGCACUGAAGGCUGGUUAACCAAGUUGCAAUUUUAUCACCCUACAGUCAACAAGUCAAGCUAUUCCAAAAACGUUUUGAAGAGACCUUUGGAAUGUCGGCUGAGAAAGUAGUGGAUAUAUGUACCGUUGAUGGUUGCCAGGUAAACUAGCUUAAUGUUUAUUAUAUGAUAUCCUUCAUGUUCAUUCAUGCUUUGCUUUUGAUUAUUUAACAGUAAAUUAUGCAAAUACUUGAAAAAGGUUUUAAUUGUUUCCCAUCUGGAAUACAAUAAGCCUGGCAUUUGCAAGACUAAGAUUGCGAGUGACUUAGACAACUGGUUAUGAAUAUAACAUGAACUGUUGCAUUGCACCGUAGACGAGGCUUCAUGUGUAAUUUUGCUUGAUUAUAUUUUAAAUUUUAAAAAACUUCAGAAUCUGGAGAAAUAAAUCUUGGUGAAUUGAAGAGUGUGUAUUUUAUAAUAUUUCUUUCAUUUCAAAGUGUUGUUACUUUAAGGCUUGGCAUAUAAUUCUCUCUUUCGGGGACGGGAAAAGGACAUUGCAAUAUUGUCAUGUGUCUGGGCAAGCAAAGAUAAAGGCAUAGGAUUUGUGGAAGACAUCCGACGAUUGAAUGUUGGGAUCACUAGAGCAAAGUCAGGUGUGCUGGUUCUUUGUCUUUUUGUUAAUGUGAUGAGUUCAUGAAUUGCAUUUGGUUCAUACACCUGAAUAUCGAUCCAUUUUUUUAUGUUGUUGAUAUAGGUGGUUGGAUUGGGUCUGCCUCAACAUUAAGGAAGAGUGAUCAAUGAAACAAGCUAGUGGAAAGUGCAGAGAAAAUUCGUAGAGAAGUUAUUUAUACGUCUACUAUUAUCAAUACAUUGAAUUUGAUCCAUCAAAACAAGAAUUUUAAUUGAGCCCGAUUGAUCAGAAUUUGCACGCUAUAUUAGUACGUGUUCCUUUUAUCUAUAAUGUUUACAUAAAUAUUCGUUUGUUGGUCCACCAGAAUCUAUGCACAAUACAUCCCUAGUUAGAUUAUGGAGCCAAGAAUUUUUUAUUUUUUACACCUAGCUGAAGACGAACUAAACAAUUUUCUUCUGCAGGCUUCUUAACCAUAUUCAUCAUUCUUCAGUGAUGAAAGUCUGUCCUCCAUACAAACAAAGGUGGCCGAACCAUCUCAGGUGAUUGGACCUGAUACGGUAGAUAAUGAUGUGCAGCCUAACAAUGCUGCAACAUUUGAUGAUCAAGCACAAGCUGAGGACAAUGACGAGAUGAUGACGACGUGGACAUGAAUGAUGCAGGUUUUGAUGAGGAUUAGGUUUAGUUGUGUUGUUGAGCAUAUAUAGCUGUAAUUUAUGUUGUUUAUCUGUCAAGAGGACAAGGAAAAUAAUAGUAUUAAUUUAAUGCAGAGAAGGACACUGGUAUUUGAUCACGAAGACUGAGGCAAAAGUGACUACUAACGUGGUAUUUAUUAACCGCAACUGAAACUGUUCAGCUUUGGACAUGUUAGGUUUGUUCUUAGACCUUAGUCUCUUCUGCCACUGAAUAAAAUUCUGUAUGCUUUAGUACCAAAUGACAAGUUUGAGGAUAAAAGCAAUUUGAAUGUUACGUUAAUGUUGGUAUUAGACUAUUAAAAGUGAAACUGUUAUUAAAAAGCACUCUCAAUAAUAUAUAUUUUCAUAACUUUCAAUGCAUUCUUCUUAACGUGCUUUAUUUCUCUAGUUUUUAAUAAGAUCAUUGAAUAUUUAAAUUUAAAUAACUUUUCCUUUUUCUUGGAUUGGGAGGACUGUGAGUGUCUCGAGGGAAGUCAAACAUUCGGUUAAUGUUCUUAUCAGGUAAAUGUGAACACGUGGUAUAACCUGAGGUCAGAUUUUAUUUUCAAUAAAAUAAUUGUUUUAUCUUCUAAAUUAAUUUUGUAAUAAUGAGUUAGACAAUUUAUUUUCUGAUAUGGUAUGAGAACUAUUUAUUUUAAGCUUUAUUAUGGUAGCUCUAAUGGCGAUAAAUUCAAAUUGAGGAUUGGGUGUGUUUGGAUUGAAGAGUAAAUAAGUAGGUAGUUGCAUAGAGAGGAAAAUGAAAUUAAUGUUUACUGUAUUAACACAUUAACAGAUGUUUUGAGUUACAUAGAGUUGCAAAAGGCAAGGGCAAAAGCAAGGAAUGGUGCAGAGGGGAAAGUAAAAGGGAAGAAACGAACAGAAUAGUAGCAGCAUGACAAUGAACUUUCAUGCUUGGGAGUUUUCAAAAGAAGCAAAGUCCUUACUGCACCCAAAACCUUCUUACACUUUUUUCAUUCUUUUGAACAAACAACUAUUUAUUACCUAUUUAUUUACCUAUCUUUUUUUAUACUGCAACAGUUCUUCGUCACUAACAAUUAAACCAAUUUCAAAAUAUAAACCAUUUAGUUUGAGAAUGACGAGGAGUGAAGGAAGAAAGAUUUAAAAGGAAAAUAGCUUUAAUUGAAGAAGGAAGACUUAAUUUUUGCUUUUUUUCAAAUUUAAUAUCACUACUAAUUCAGUAUUAUAAAUUUUAAAAAUACGUUUAAAAUUGAACUAUAUUUAAAACUGGUAUCUCAAAAAAACAUUCGGGAUUUUGAUACUUAACGUAAUAAUUGAAUUAAGCGUUAACAGUGGUUGUUUGUUCGGUAAUUUAAUAGUCUAACGGAACUUAGGAAUAAUGGAUCAUUUAUAUAUAUUUUGUUUUAUUUUAAUUUUUCUCAAAAUUCUAAGUUUUAAAAUAGAAUAUUUUAAAUGUGACAAUUAAUCUUUAACGAUAUUGUUUCAACAAAAUUGAAGUUACAUACUUAUUAAAGAUUGAGUAUAAAAAAACACAAAAAAUAACUUUUAAAAAUACCAAUUUUAAUAUGCACUUACCAAAAAACCUUGGUUAACCUAGUUUUUCUUUAAGGAACUACAACAUCAUUUUUAUAAUGCGCUUACUAAAAUAUUUAUUUCACUUUCGGCCUUUUACUUGUAUUGUUUUUUGAAUUUAAUCAUUUUAUUUUUUUGUAUAUGGCAAAUAUUUGGUUAAGUAUUGUCUUAAUACAAUAAUUUUAUUAGUUUUAUUUAAAUUUCAUGAAUAGUUAAUAUAAUUAAACAUAUAUUUAAUUUUUAAUAAAUAUCACGUGUUAUUAAAAUGAAGAUUAACGUUAAUAUAUAAUUAAUCUUAAAUAAAUUACUAUAAAUUUUAAAUUUACAAAAGAAAAAAACAAAUGAUAAAAGAUUCAUUUCACCUUACAAUUACAGUUAUUAAAGACGGAAGAAAGAUGCACGUUCAAUUACUUCAAACAUCAAUUAAAAAUUAGCUUAAACUCAAUAAGACCAAAAUUUCACAAUUGAAUUCACUUUAAAAGUCAAUAAAUAAAAUAAAAAUAGUCAACUUAAAUUGUUAAACUCAAAUGAAUUAAAAUUAAUAAAAUGAAAAAAAAAAUUAAGGACUCAAUACAACAAUUUAAAAUUAUAAAAAGUCACGCAAAUUUGAAUUGCAAAAAAAUAGUAGGCCCUAAAAAACUUUUUUUUUUCAAAUCGAACCAAACCAAAACACGAAGACUUUUUAUGUUUAUUUGAAUAUGUUUAAAAAGAAUCAAAUCAAACCAUACCACACACACUCUUAGAAAUAAUAGGGAAGUUAAACUAUGCAUAACCAAUUUGAUCAUAAUUUCUUAAGCUUAUAUAACCAUAUGCUCAUAAUAAGAAUCGAAGUCCGAUUUCCUUUUAUCUUCUUAAAAACUAUAGACGAUAGUGUCCUUUAUUGUAGAAAAAAGCUUUAAAAAAUAUUUUAAAGUAAAAUUUAAUCACAUUCUUAUAAUUUUGUAUGUACUUUUGUAGUAAAUAAAGAAUAGAAAAUGAAGUGAAGAAGUGGUAACUUCUUUCUCCCUUACCUUAAGCAAUGAAUGCAAAGUCAUGACAACAAAAAGAAAUAAGAGUCUGAGUAACCGUAAGAGAGAGUAAUAGUAAAAAAACAAAACAGUUUACGUGAAUAGAUAAUUUAAGGCACCAUGAGAGUAAUAAAUAUUAUUUUUGAGAAAUUUAUGCAUCAAGAAUGUGAAUUUGAAUGUGUAUAUUAUUAUUUGUAUUUACUUAGCCAUUUUGGAAAAAGAAAGUCUUACAAUUAUUUAUUUACAGUAUUAAAGCAAAUGAAAAGUAGACGAGAGCAUGAAGAAAGGAGAUGAGUAUGUAAAAAGCUUAGGUGAGAGGAGGAAAUAGUAAAAGUAGAGGAAAACACAAAAGACGUGUGAACAGUGAGAUUCAUUAAUGGCAUGUGAAGUGAAAAAAUAAAAUAAAAAAGGAGAAGAAGGAGAAGAAGAAGAAGAUAAAGGUUGUUAUUUAAUGAGUAACAGAGAAGAUCAUGCUUUUGCUUUGUUCAAUGAAACACAGUGAAAGUGUGAAUACAAUAAUAAGAAAAGAAAUGGAGGUGGUGGUGUGUGUUACUUGGUGAGAGUUGAAGAGGAAGAAAGAGAGAGAAGAAAGAGAGAAAAAAAGACGGCUUGAAACGCGGCAUGGCGUCGUCGAAGGUUGUCUCGACGAAUCCGGAUCUGCCACGCGAUUCUUCUAUAUCUCCCCUUACCUCUCUUCUUCUCUCCGAUCUGCACCACCCUACCUCCAUGGACGACCUCCUCAAGUCCAUCACCCCUGUCGCCGCCAAGACCGUCGAUGACGUCUGGAAGGAGAUCGUUGCCGGCGCUCACCCCCACAACCCCGCUGCCAACGCCUCCGGAGACGGUAAUGGCGCCAACGUUAACGCCACCGCCCCUGAGAGCUACGAGGCCAUUACCCUCGAGGAUUUCCUCACCAAGGCCGGUGCCGUCAGAGAGGAGGACGUCAGAGGGGUUCUGCCCCCUUCCUCUUCUUCCCCUCUCCCCUUCCCUCUCCCUCUCCCUGCUGAAGGCUCCUCUUCCUCCGUGGAGCCCUUUGGAAACGGCGUUGCGCCCUCCAAUUCGGUUCACAAAGGGAAGAGAAGGGUCGUGGAGGAACCGGUUGAUAAGGCCACUCUGCAGAAGCAGAGGAGAAUGAUCAAGAAUCGAGAAUCCGCCGCUAGGUCCCGGGAACGCAAGCAGGUACUUACUCCUCUAACUUUGUCUGAUGUUGGCCAAAGCGUUGGAAAAAGUGUUCACUUUUAUUGAGGAGGGAUACUUGUGGGAAGCCCAAAAUCUUUUGUUUUGAUGUGGUUUCAAGUUUCGAGGUUGGAUUUAGCUUAUUGAGAAUCUACUGAAUUAAAUUUAGGAUUUUUGUUUUGGUUUGGUUUUUGGGUUUGUUGUGGAGCUUAUGGUUGGAGCGUUCCUUCCUUGUGCAGGCUUACACAUCCGAGCUCGAAUAUCUGGUUCACCAGUUGGAGCAAGAGAAUGCUCGGUUACUUAAUGAAGAGGUGAUGGUUUGAUGACUUUGUUUUGUGUUUAUACGAGUUCUUAUUUUUUUUCAGUAAUUAGUAAUCAUGGUUUAGUUGUUGUGGAGGCAGGGUUAGUCCGAUUUCCUGUUCAAAAAUUUUAAAACUUGUAUUACUACUGGGAGUCUAUGGUUCUAAACUUCCUAUUACAAUUAUCGGAAAAAAAGAAUGAGAAUCAAUGGUUGGUGGUGGGUUUGCAAUUUUGUUAUUUUGGUCUUUGGGACUCUUGUAUUGAAUGAUUACUUCUGUUGAAAGCAUAGAAUUGGUUUGGUUCAAAGAUUGGUGAGAUUCUAUCGAGUAUUCUUUGAGGGAAUGAUUUGGUGUUCUCUAUUUGUCUGGUAAAAGUUUAAAAUUUCUGUUUAGUAGAUUAAUACAACUUUAUUUGUGAAUUGGAGUCCUGUCUUUUGUUGUGAACCUUUCUUUCCGGUUGAAGAUUUUUUACAUUUUGUGCCUGAAAUCUGACUUGUACAAUUGGUUUUUGAAAUCUUGGUCUUGAAUGCAGGCUGAGAUGAGAAGGCAGAGGAAAAAGCAGGUAUGUAAUGUAUAUGCUCUCUUCUAGACAUGUUCAGAUGCAAGUUAUUUGGUAUACAUCUUGUCUCACAUUUAUUCAAGAAGUUCUAGUUUGAGAUAAAAAUUAUAUUAAAUUGUAAUUUAUACUCUCUUUUGGGAUUACUUUUGCGUGUAGUCAUUCUUUUAUGCUACUCUAACUUAUUUACUGGUCCUUAUAAACUAAAUGGUCCUUAUAAACUAAAUUCUAAUACUAGUGACUAUGGCUUUUAUUGUACAGAGCAUAAAAUGAUAUGACAUCUAGAUUGUCCCUACUAUCAUACUUACCUCAUCUGGAUUACACUUUCAUAUAUUCUUAACUUACACUUUAUACACCAAUUUAAUUGAUGUACAACUGAUGGUCUCAAGAAGUAAUAACCAUAGUGUUACUUUUUUUUUUAUAUUGUGGUUAUCACUCUAAUCUCUAUAACAGUUAAUUUCAUUUCCUGCAGCUAUUUGAGUUCAUCAUUCCGGUUGAAGAGAUGCCUAAACCCAAAAAGAAGCUUCGGAGAGUAAAUUCAGCUCAAUCAUUGUGAUGUGUUUUUCAUCAUUCUCAUCAACAAACUAGCUUUGUGACUUGGUGUAGAUAUAAGGGGUAAAGGUUUAAGAGAUUGCAUGUAAUUGCAAAUGCAUAUUCUCGGAGUGACAUUGUAUAGAAAAAAUAGCUGGGGCCAUUUAAUCCAAGUAAUUUGAUUCAACCUGAAAGUAUUCUUCUAUUGGUCCACAGUUUGUGGAUGAUCCAUGAUUUCUGGGUGGGUUUUGCCAGCAUUAGGCCUUGUAGGAAAAGUUGAAAUAAGAAGUUGUGUUAUGAUAAUUUAUGCAAUUUGGAUGUCAUGCUUUGUGGAUGAGGUACAACAGUAGGUGAGAGAUUGGAUGAACAAUGUUCAGCAGAUUUUAAUGUACACUGCCAUAGUUUGAAAGAUCACAUGAUUAUCACAACUUACUCUUUCAAACUCUCAUUUAAUAGUUAAAUUAAGUUCUGAGUAAAAGAUUAGUAGUAAAUAAAUGACUUAUUAAUAAAGGUACAAAUAUGUUAUUUUUGACAAAAGAUAACCUUUGAAACUAAAAUAUGUGGUUUUACUUUUUGGUAUUGGGAAAAGGGAAGUUUUGGAGGUUGAGAAUGAAGGUUGUUAGUUGCUGUUUUAUUUAUCUUUUAUUUGGGGUUGAACCCCAAAACUUAGUGCUCAUGUCACUGCACUUUUCAAUCACCUAGCUAACAUCAACAUGGGGAAUCGAACCUAUGAAAUUGUUCAUUGAAAGAUAUUUGUUUCUUAUUUAAUAAUGCAUAAGCCCAAACAAAAGAAAAUACAAAAAAGUAAUGCCACAAACACCAGGAGUGAAUUAGAACACACUUGUAGGCUUCUCUAACCUUUUAUCACGAUAGAUAAUUCUAUAAUUUUUAAGAAAUUUAAUACAACAAAUUUGAAUUUUUUUCUAUUUUAAAUUAUUUAACUUUUCAAAUAUUUAAUUUCAAUAAGAUAAUUUAAAAUUAUUAAGUUUUAACUUUUUUAUUCAAGUAUAAUAUUUAAUUAUUACCAAAUACAAAAUAUAUUACUUUAACCUUCUAUAUAUAUAAAAAAUAAUCAUUACAAACUUUAAUAAAAAAACACUUGGCUGACAUUUAAAAAAAGUGUUAUCAACUUCAGAUAUUUAUAUUGAGAAAUAAUUCUUACCUAAAUAGUACUGAUAGUAUUAUUUAAAAAAUAAUUUAUAUUAAUAUCAAUUAAAAAAACUGAUUUAUAUUGAUUAAAAAGCUUUAAAUUUAUUGGUCGUGGUUUUGGGAUUGGAGAGUAGUUCACGCAAAGUAAGGAUGAUUUUUCUGCACUUCUAUAUUUUUCUUCCUGCACUCCCACAAAAAAUAUAUUAUAUUAAAAGUUAGAAAAUAUAAAUGCCAAUUCUUUUUUUUUUUUACCAUUCAAAGAUGGGUGUAUGGGACAGAAGAGCUCGUGUGUUCGGGACCUCGAUCCAAGUAUUUGGAUAUGAUCAGCUCGAUUUUGGGCCCAAAAGCAGGUCCUGGGUUCGUCCUAGUUUCGUUGGUAAACCCGAUGAAGUAUAAUUAAAAUAGAGAAAAUAAUAAGUUUGGUCAUAUAUUAAUAUAAAACUAUUAGUUAAAUAUAUAUGUCGAUAUAUAUUAAGUUGUUAGAAUAGAAUAUAUAUGAAUAUAGCAGAAAGCUGUUAGUUGAAUAUAUGCAUAAAGUUGUUGGUUGAAUAUAUAAAACUGUAAAAUAAGUAGAGAGCACCCAAGAAUAAAAGUGCACGAGAUUCUUAUGUUGUUAGCACCGUGAGAAAGGUGCCCGUGGACAAAAUAUUUUCCUGUUGUUAGCACCUAAACAUGAAAGGUGCAUGUGAGCAGGUGAUUUUCUAUUAUUAUAUUAUGUUAUUAUUUUAUACUUUCUGUAGAGAUAUUUUCGUGAGGGAAAGUUGUUAGAGGAAUAACUAUAAAGGGGGUUUGAAACCCCAGUAAAUGUAUGUUGUUUCUGAGUAUUAGAGAUUGAAACUGUUUCUAUGUAUGCUCUCACUGACUUAAUCGUCGGAGUGUGAUCAACAGUUAGAGUCUCUCUAUCUUAGCGGAGCUUGCCCAUCCAGUCAAUCUGAAGGUCAACCGGCAAGAACAAGUAGUAUAAAGAAUUAAAAAGUUUAGUAUCUUCCUUCUACUUCUAGAACAAAUAGGAGAGGGUUCUAGUCUUAAUUAUUUUAUUUAUGGGUAAAACAGAUUCUAAAUUAUAUGAAUCUAUUUUAAAUAAGACACUCUAAAAUUUAAAAAUAUAUUUUAUAUUAUAUAAAUAUAUUUAUAAUUAUGUUUUUAAGAUUGUGUAAUCUAUAAUAUUUUUUUUUAUCUAGAAAAAUAUUUUAAAUUGUAAAUUAGAAUAAAUAAUACAUUCUUAAUUAUAUAAUUCAAAUUAAUUAAUUUUAAAAAUUUAGAAUAUAAUUUAGAAGUAUAGCAUUUGAGAAUCUAAAACGUUAUUUUUUUCAAGACCUUUACGGAGGUGCUGAAACAAAUCAUGAGUAAAAAACGGCAAUUGUCUAAAACAAUAUCUACAAGAAUAUAAUUGGGCCGGCCCAUUUAAAUCAUAUGCUAAUAGGUUGUUAUUAUUAUUACGCGAAAAGAAAAGCAAACGCAGAAGGCACCGCGUGCAGAGGUUAGAGUGAGAGGGAAACAUGUCCUCACUUCGAAACGCCAUUCCCAGUCGUGCUCACAAAGAGCGUUCUCAACCGUGAGUCUCUUCUUUCUCUCAAUUGCUAUUCUUUCAAUCACUGCUUAAAUCACUUCUUCACAACUUCAUUUUGUUUAUUAUUGUUUUUUUCAUUGGUUAGGUCAGCGAGGAAAAAAUUCGGCCUGCUCGAAAAGCAUAAGGACUAUGUCCAGCGUGCUAAAGCAUUCCACAGGAAAGAGGAUACUUUACGGGUACAGUUUCACGCUCUCUUCAUCAAAUUCUCGUUCCUUCGCUUUAACCACUUUUCAAUCUUCUUUCGUUUUACAGAAACUUAAGGAAAAAGCAGCUAAUAGAAACGAAGAUGAGUUUUACUUCAAGAUGUCUAGAACAAAAACCGUUGAUGGAGUUCACAGACCAGAGUAAUUGAUGACUUGCUACAUGGCCUUUUCUGUUUUCUGUGAUUUGUUGUUGUUGUUGUUGAGGAUGUGUUACAUUGUUGUGCUUGUUGACUUGUGUAGGAGUGAAGCAAAUAAGUAUUCCCAGGAAGAGCUUAUGCUUAUGAAGACGCAGGAUAUGGGUUACAUUCUUCAGAAGGUUCAGAGUGAGAGAAAGGUGGGUGCUUUGCUUUGAAUUGUUCUCUUGUUUUUAAUGGGGUUUUGUGCGAAAUAUUAUGACAGUGUAGGUUUAACUGGGAAUGUUUGGUCUUCCUUGCAGAAAAUUGAUAGGCUAACUGCCUCGCUGCACUCUAUUGAUAAUCAGCCUGCAAACAAACAUGUUUUCUUUGCUGAGGACAGGUAUGCGUUUCUGAGCUAUCAUUCUUUGACCAGCAUGGAUUCAUUUUUUAAAAUGUUAAUAUGUUUUAUUUGAUUGGUGUACUUAGUUGUUGUGAAAGUUCUUACUUAUUUAGUUAUGCAAAAUUUAAAGGAUGAUGUUUUCAUCUUGUAUUAAGGCCCUGGUCUCAACUUCCUACUUGUUCCUGAGAUGAUAAAUUAUGUUCAAUAUGACAUUAUGGCUAUGAUAAAAAAAUUGGUAUGCAAUUCCAAUUUGUGUUCUUGUGUGCAAAUGUUAUUUGUUUAUAUUAUAUUAUAUUAUAUAUAUAGCAUAUAUUUUGAUAAGUAGCUUAACGUAAAACUGUGUUUGUGGAGAACAGAGAAGAGAAAGGGAAAAAUGAUUUCAUUCAUUUAUUAGAGUGCUACAUAGGUACUUACACAGAUUACGGUGAGGAGUAACUAUUGUUGACUGAAUUUCUGACACAACACACUCAGUUGUGAUUACAAGAUAUAUGUUACUUAUAUACUAGCCAUACUAUACUCUUAUACUUACAAAGUAUUUAUUCAAAAAAAGCUUAUCAGGUGAGCUAUGUCAUAAGUUCUUUAUUCAGCAACCUAUUUUGACAAGUUUCACUGUAAGCUUAUUCAGAUAAAGCUGAAUAGAGCUUAUAAGAUGAUCACUAACCCAACAUUUUCAUUUCAACUUAAGUGUUUAUAUGUUUGAUGAUAAGAUAAACCCAAGUAAGCUUCAUAGAGGUUUUUCCAAAUGGUCCUAUAGUCAUGUUUACAACAAGAUAUCUUCUUUCAGUAGUGAACUCAAUUACUUUUCUCCAGCUAUGUAGUACUUCCAUUAUUGAUUUAUUGAUUGAUAUGCUACUUUUCCACCUCCACUCCCAUUUCCUUCUUUCUCUUUAUAUUCUGAAUGGCUAACCUUUUUAAUCUUUGUCCAUGUAUAGGGAAGAGGCUAAAGAGUUACAAUCACGAUAUUCAAAAAGUGAAAUUCCACGCACUACUUACAAAAUUCCUGCUGUCAUUAAGAGGUACAUCCCUACAUUUGACUUGACUCUGAUAAAUUCCUUGUUCUUUUCGACAGGUUGUAUGAGAUGAACAUCUUUUGUUAAAUGAUUUGUCUUGACAGACUUUGAUCAAUUCCUUGUUUUGUUUGAUGUCUUGUGUUAGAUUAAAAAAAGCUGGUAAAUGAUUUGUCUCUACUGAAACUUUUUCAGGGAUCUGUUGUAUGAAAUUAUUUCCCCCCCUCUUUAAUGGGCUUUAAGAUUGUUAAUUUUAUUAAGUAUCUAAUAAUGCCAACAAUAUUAAGAUGUUUUUGCAGUAAUGUGAGGUCUGAGUCUUGGCAAUCACCCCUUAUUCGGACAUUAGGCUUGAAGAUUCCUUCAUGAGUGACAAGUUUAAUGUUUAUAUAUUUGCAUGGCUUUUAUUGUAGCAUUUUUUUUAUUCAGAAGUGGUCUUUUAGUAGGAAUGAUUGAGAUAAUUUAACCCAAAAUAGAUAAAUGAAUUACAAUUAUGGUCAUAUUGAUUGCUAUUAGUUCUGACCAUGGUAGUAAGUAUCGUACGAUUCACGAUACGAAUCGUGCGAUACGAUGUGGUUCCAGAUACCAGCGAUACGAAUCGUGAGAAGAAUUGUUUUCACUCCCGUAUCGUGGUUGUAUCGUGUGAAUUGAAUCAAGAAUCGUUUUAAUCGUGAAUAGGUUCCGUAUCACGACUUGAGUUUUAUUCUGGGUUUAGGUGUGAAUUGGGUUGGGUUACUUGAAUUGGUUUUAUAAAAAACCUAAUUUUAACUUUUUUACUCGCAAACCUACACCAUUAUUGAACUUGAGGUGGACGAACGGAAGGUGCGAACGACGAUGAAGGCAAGAUGGCGAAGUGAAUGUCAGAACGGCGGUGAAGCAAACGCUGGAGCAGCGUGAGGCGCGAGACACUUGGGUUCACGAGCAAAGAUAUCGAGAGUCGUCGGAGAUGUUGCAGUUGUUGGAGGCAUUGCAGUCGUCGGAGGUGUUGUAGUCGUAGGUGCUGUAGGCAUAUAACCCAGCCCAAUCCAUAUAACCCAACCUAAUCCAAUCAUUAUAAUAUUAAACUAAUUUGUCCAAAUAUUAACCUAAUCUGGCCAAUGAUAUAAUAACUCUUUUCUUAAAGUGUUUGUGAUUAUUAAUUAUAUUUUUACAAGGAAUUGGGCCAUAUAACCAAGCCCAAUCCAACCAUUAUAAUAUUAACCUAAUAUGACCAAAUAUUAACCUAAUAUGACCAGUGAUAUAACAACUCUUUUUUAAUGUGAUUGUGAUUAUUAAUUAUAUUUUUACAUGUUUAUAUGUCUUAUGUUAUAUUUUUAAAAUAUUAUGUUAUAUUUUUUAAAUGUUUAUGAAUCUUACCAUUCGCGAUACGAAACGAUUCACGAUUCGAAAUAUAGGCUCUUCGAUUCACGAUACGAUUCACGAUUCAACUACCAUGGUUCUGACCUAUUUAGCCUUAUUAAAGUGUUUGUGUUGGGUUGAAUAUGUUGUAAAUCGGCUCAUGAAAGCUUUCCUUGUUUUAUAAUGUAUUGAAGAUCCUACAUUGAUUAGAAAUAUGACCAAAUUAUAAUAUAUAGGUGGGUGUAAAUCUCGCCUUACCAAGUCGGUUUUAUGAGAUUGAAUUAGACUUAAAUUUUAUUUUCUUUUGAUGGUAUAAGCCAUUUUUAAGAUUAGUCAAGUUUGUUGGUCUUUUUGUGUCACUCACUGUCCUCCUAAUUCCACUCGAGAUAUUCAGUCCUUGGUGUGAGGAGAUAUGUUGGAAAUUCCAUAUCGAUUAGAGAUUUGACUGAAUUAUAAUAUACAAAUGAGUGCAAAUCUCAAUUUUAUCAAGCUGAAUUAGACUUAAAUUUCACUUAUUAAAAAUAAUGAAUUGUUUCUUUUUAUCUAUGUUGCUAUUGUGACUUCCCUUUGUUAUCUCUGUUUGAUUUAUAGUACCAUUAUACCAUAUCAGUUUGAUAAUUAGUUACUUUUGUUAUACAGGAAAACAGCUGGGUCUUAUAAAGAGUUGGAAGCAAGGAAGAAUAGACUCAGCCAACUAGAGAAAAUCUACAUGGAUAUGGCAAUGAAGAAGGAGUUGCAGGUAUUGAUAUUUUGCAUUGCUUAUUGUGUACCUUUUUAAGGUCUUAUGUAAAAUACUCAAAGGAUAUUCCAUCUAUGAACAGAAAAAUGGUAGGAAGCGCAAACUAACUGAAGAUGAGAUUGUCUGUCCAACUAAUCAACCAGUAUACAAGUGGCGUGCUGAAAGAAAGCGUUGAUAUUGAGGUUCUUUUUGGCCUUUUUACCAUUUAGCACAAUGGUUAAGUACUUCUGGGUUUGGUCCCGAGUAGUACAAUGAAGAAGGAGAUUUUACAUGUAGAGGAAGCAUCAACAUUCCUAGCACCAGAAUUGAAUGGCAUACAUGAAUACGAUUAAAUGGGAACUGAUGCCAAUAACUGUCGCUUUCUUGUUAAGAACUCCUUGAUCAUGUAACCUUUGAUGUUCUGGCUACUAAAUUUUGUAAGUCUAAUAUAUAUAUUAAAUUUUCAUGUUAAUUGUUUCCAUGUAACUGUCAUAGUACGUUGCUGCAAAUUCUCUAGACAUGGUUCCCGGACGUAUGCAAAUGAAAUUUACAGGACGAUCAGGUUCCAUUUUACAGAGACGUUAAACAGCUAACCAUGGAGGGUUACCCAACAUUUCUAACAUCUACAAAACAAUAUACAAAGGAAAUACAACGUUUUGGUUACACUUUUCUGAAACAAUAUACUUUUACUAUAUCUGAUCAGCAAAAGUUUUCCGUGAGGAAAUAGAAUAUUCUUUGUAUAUUCUUUUUAAUACUUGAACCUUCCUUUUUCUUCUCUUUUCAUUAAUGCUACCCUUUUAAAAUAUCACUGUUAUUUUUCUAUUCUCAUUUUGUUCAGUUUUUCUUUCUUAUAUUUUCUUCUCUUCAUAUACCGAUUGUCUACUAUUCUUCUAUUCUCAUUUGUUCCUCCUUCUAUGUUACAUUCUUUUGACUUUAUGUAUACCAAUAAUUUGCCUAAUUCAAGGUAUAUUUUUAUCUACAAGUUUCUCACUUGAAUAUUUUUAUUUGAUUAUUCAAAUUUCAAUUUCUUUAGUAAAAUCAAUUUAAUUGGCAUCUCCUCUGUUAGAAAUUAUUCAUGAAAUUUUUUUAUACCAUGUUCUCACAUCGUUUAGACAAUAGUUUUGUGCCUGAGAGAUCAUUUAUCAAAAUUCUUUUUAAAAAACUUUUCCUUCUUUGGUUAGUACAGGAAAGGAAAGAGACUACUCAAAAUGUUUUUAUACUGGUUUGUAUGAUAAUAUAGACUACUUUCAAUUCCCAAUCAAUUAAUUGAGUUUCAAUAAGUAGACUAACGUUUCAAGAUACAAGAGUAUUGUUUCGACUUGUGAUCACUCUUGGCUAACCCUUAUGAGUAUUGUUUCAUAAUGUAGCAACUUUUGGCUAACUAGUCAAUAUUCUUUAACACCUAGCCAUUUUUGAUUAAAAACCUGAGUAUUAUUUAACAAUAACCACUUUUGGUUAAGAUAGAGAUUGUCCAAGGUGUCAUCAAAGAUCACAAGGUUGUUCACUAGAAAGGGGUUGUGCCUUUCAAUGUUUACAAGGUUAAACUUGCUGAUAAAAAAAAAAAAAAAAACAAGGUUAAACUCUCUCUACUAAUUUGUUAAGCUAUUAGGACACAUUUUAAUAGUGUUUUGGCACUUUGUAAAUAAUGACUAGAAUUCUUUUGUUCUUCUCUUCAAAUGAUAAUUUUAUAUUGGUAUUGAAAAAAAUAGUUGUUUGCAAAUCCUUUUUUGCCGGUUGUGCGACUUCAAACUUACUUGAAUGCCUUCCUUAGGUUUGAACAACUUGAACAUAAAAGAUGCAUUAAAUGCACUCCACACAUGCAUUAAAUGCCCUUCUCUUGUUUAAGGAACAUCAUCUCCUUGGAGAAAAUGCUUUUACUUGAAUUCGUAUAAAGCACAAAGUUAUACGAAGCAAGUAGAUUGUUCUAGAAUUGAAAAAGCAUGCGUUAAGGAGUUGUUGUACUAAAGCAGCUUUAGUUCACGUAAUAAUAGAUUGUUGAUGUGACAAGCCUUUUCAAAUAUUCUUGGCUCGACAUAGAAAACAAACAUUCUUUGUAACAUAGAAUAAACAUAAUGAUAUUCAUGAAGAUUAUGUGGGUAUUGUGUGAGAAAAUACAUUGCUUAUCAGACUUAAAACAAGACAAUACCAUAUUGCAUUGUCUAACAAAUGAAAUACUUGUGUCUUAGAUGAUCUGUUGUGAACAAACACCUAUGUCUUAGGGACGAGCAUGAUCAUGUUUAUACUUUGUUGUUAUUAGCACUUAAUCAAAAUCAUAUAUAUUGAACUUUUCUGUAACACUAUAAUGGACAACAUAAAUAACUAUGGACAAUCAAAGCAAUAAUCCUGAAUAAUUUAUUUGAUAUCACUACUUGAGAUGAACACCAUUAACUUUUUUUCUUCUUCAUUUCAACUCUUCUUAUACUUUUGGUAUCUUCCUCAUUCAUUUUAAUUCUUUUUGUAUUUGUUUUUUAUUUCUAUUAACAAUUGACUAUUUUCUUUACUUAUAAAUCUUCUUAAUCCCAUUUUCCUUAACUUGUUUGAGGUGGGUAUAGGGAUCCAAUUUUUAGUUUCAACAAGAUUUGGGCAGUACCAUGGAUGAUAAACAAAGUUUAGAAAAGGGGUUGUGGCAAAACCCACCUUUUUUCCUGAUGCCAUGCCUGUGAUAGAAAUAUCUAUCGAUAAUUUUUUAUAAUGUUUUUUAUAAACAAAUUAGUUCGUAAGUACUAACAAAACUAUAUAAUAUUUUAAUAAUGACAACAAAAUUACCAAUGAAUUUAUCCACUGAUUAUCAAUUAGAAAAAUGCACUUUCAACAAAUUAUGCAACUUAUCGAAUAAUGAAGAAUAUUUUUUCAUCACUAAUAUGCAAAUUUCUUUUAGUAUGAGAAACACAAACAACAUUAGCAUAUAUAUAUAUAUAUAUAUAUAUGUCUCCCACUGAAAAAUGCCACGUUUAAUGUACCAAGUUUCAUCUUUUAAGAACAACCUAUAAAUUUGGUUACCCUUGCAUGGGACGAACAUAUAAAUAUGGACCUAUGUCUAUAAGUUUAAACCCUAGCACCCAACACCCCUUAUUUCUAUAUUCCACGGAGAGAUAUACUUGAAAGGAUACAUCAGAUUUUUCUGCAACAAGUCGUCUGCAUCAGUCAAUCUUCAACCAUCAACUUAUGAUAGUGUGACAGGGCAUUAACAUUGUCUUUGUAGAGAAAGAAUACUACAAGAAAAUCAUUAAAUAAAAAUUAAUUUUAAAGAUAAAAAAUAAUUAGUUGCUAUAGUGACUAAAUAAAGAUCAUUUUAAAGACUAAAAAAAUUAUUAGUUUCUACUAUUGAUAAAUAGUUUCUAAAUUGGUAUCUAAUUAGCUACCAAGGUUUUUUAUAUCAAAUUUAGAAUCUAAAUACCAGAUUUAAAGCUACUCUAGCACUUAUUGAAUUACAUAACCUCUAAUGACCUCAUUGAACUCCCAUGUGAACCUCACAACACCAAAAAAAGAGAUGCAAACUUUCAGUUAGAGGCUCACAUAACAAUGCAUAAACCUCUUCAUAGGUCUCCACUUAAAACCAAAGGGGUCCCCAGUUAGAUUCACAAACCGAAUUUGAAGCUACUCUAGCACUAUUGAAUUUCAUAACCUCCAAUGAGCUCACUGGACUCCCAUCUCAACCCUCACAACACCAAAAAAAAAUAGAUGCAAACUUUCACUUGGAGGCUGACAUGGAUGUGCAUAAACCUCUUCACAGGUCCCCACUUAGAUUCACAAACCAGAUUUGAAGCUAUUAUAGCACUAUUGAAUUGCAUAACUUCCAAUGAGCUGACUAAACUCCCAUCUCAACCCUCACAACACCAAAAAAAGAGAUGCAAACUUUCACUUGGAGGCUAACAUGACUGUGCAUAAACCUCUUCACAGGUUCCCACUUAAAACCAAAGGGGUCCCCACUUAGAUUCGUAAACCAGAUUUGAAGGUACUCUAGCACUAUUGAAUUGCAUAACCUGGAAUGACCUCAAUGGACUCCCAUGUGAACCCUCAAAACACUAAAAAAACUACAUGCAAACUUUCUAACAUAAGAAUUCACAAAGUUCUUCACAACUCCCCACUUAAAUACAAAUGGGUCACCAACUACAUUCACAUACAACAUUUCAAGGUACUGUUGCAGUAUUCAAUUUCGUUAAGUAUCGAGAAGGUAUGCAUAAACUAUUCACAACCUGACCACCACGCACUGCAAUUACUAUCAUCACAUCCAUUGAACUCAGUUUACACACAAUACAAUUGACCACAUUCACUAUAAAGUUCAACAAAAACAUGUGAACAAUACACAACAAUUGCAAAUAUAGCUGCAAAGCUGACCAAGUCAAUAAACAAUUCUGAAUGAAUAACAUAAUAAAUCCACUCACACAUUAAGAGUUGCCACGAUAAAUUAAUCCUGAACAAAAUUUUUUGUUACAACAAUUUCAUAACAACACAAAUUGUACAAUACCACAAAUUACAAUCGUUUGAACAAUGUCAAUAAACCAUACAUCAACUAACUUAAAACCACAAAAACCUAAAAACAUAUCCAUUAAUCAAGUACUUGAGCAUCAAUUUGUGGGUUUUUUGGCUUCCUCAUUGAAUAUGUUGUCCAAGGUGUUUUCAAAACAACAGUCUUGAAACGUUUCCUAGGUUCAUGUUCCAUUUUAGGAAACAUGUUGACUUCUUCAUUUGGUUGAUCUUCAUCUCCAUGUAAGUCUUUCUCUUCAUCUUUAUCUUCAUGACUACUUUCUGGCUUUUUGAAGUAUGUGUGAUCCACUGAAAGAGGUUCAACUUCAACUACUUUCGACCGAGUAUCAUUAGGAACAAAAUUUAUGUUUCCAAUUAACUCAAGUAUGUCCUUGACCUCUUUCUCCAUACUCGUGAUUAAUACUUCCUGCUCCUCAGAUUUGCGCAUCAUUUCAACAACCUUCACCGUCAUUGCACGAACUUUAUCCUUUGCUGGUUUCUUCUUCCUAAUUCCACAACCAAUUUGGUAAAAAUCUUCUUGAACAAAUUCACUGCAACAUUCUUCAUUGGAAGCACAUAACUCAACAACAACCUGUUUGUUCACAUAUAUAAUUCCAAACUUAAUUAUCUACAUUCAAAACAACAUUGAUGUAAUACAAAUUCCAAUAAAAAUGACAUACCAUAUUCUUACGUAGACCACAUAGAAGUUCAUGGUCACCAACUCUAACAUCCAUCCAAUGCAUGAUACGGGGAUAUUUAUUUCCACUCCUAGGUAUUUGACGCUUAUAAGAGAACAAAUGCUCCAUCGCCCAUGUACGAAGAAUCAAUAAAAAAAAAUUCAUUUAUUAAAAAGUCAAACACAUGCACAAUUAUUACAAACAUUUACCAAUAAGAAAAAUGUUUCAUAUUACCUACAACAGAUAAACACAACCAUCCAGAUGGAUAGAAGACAUACUUUUCGAGGUCAUCCAUUUUGAAGCCGAACACAAACUAUCAACCAAAACGUCAUACACUAAACCCCUCCAAUUAUACAAACCAAGUUUGUCUAAAUCAUCAACAAUGUUAAACAACCCAUCAUGAACUAAACCCAUUCUAGUAGGCAAAAUAAACUCCGACAAUCCUAACAGGAUGUACAACUUACAAAAGUCCUUAGAGGAAAUAUUGUUCCCACGUUUCAAAAUUACAGAAUAAAUCAUUUCCACACUUACAUCACCUUCUUAAAAAAAACUCCUAAUGUUAGAUGUAAUUCUACUUUUCCUUAAAUCAAUUUUUGAACCAGCUACUUUAAGACCUACAGCUAAACACACAUCUAACAACCUAAACAACAUAAAUUGACAUUGAAUUGCAAAACCUUGCUUCCUCUCCACCCAAGCACUACAUAAUUUACUUAAAAGUCCACGACUCAAUUUUAUCUCCUCACGGACAAACAUAAGUCAUCCAAAUGGUGUGGAUUGUAUAAUAAAAUUUUGUUCCAAACUUAAUUGCUUGUUCAGAACACCCAAACACUUUGACAUGCAAUUAUGCCUAAACACCUGUAUAUCAAAUCAAAUAUAAAUACACUUUAAUAUAAAAAAUUAUGAAAACAUAAAUAUAACAUCAUGUCUACUUUAAAACAAAAAGCAUAAUUUCAAUGAAACCUUAGCUUGAGCCUCGGGAUGAGGAUCAAUGUACCUCUGAGAGGAAAAUUUCCAAGGCUAUUCUCAAUUUCUUCUUGCAUAGAAGCUAGGUUGAGGCAAGCAGGAGGUUGUAUAAAAAAAUGGACUAGAUUUGGAAUUUAUGAUGGAGAAGUAGUCUGUUUGAUUGGGAAAAGCAUUUAGAGCAAGAGUUGGCUAAGAUGUUGGAUACAAAGAGCAUAAAUGAAGAAAAAGAGGAUAAGUGGAUUUGGAAAGUAAGUGUUGAUACAUAAUUUAUAGUCCAAUCAGCUUACGGAGUUUUAAAAGGAGAAAGCCAGGAGGAAGAAGUUUCUAUGUACGAGGAGUUUUGGAGGAUUAAGGCUCAACCAUCAAUGCAUUUAACAACAUGGAGGGUGUUAGAGGAUAAAAUAGCGUCUAAACGAAAUCUAGUAAAGGGGGAUAAAAGUGGAAAGUAGUGUUUGUAAUAUGUGUGGGGAGGCCAAGAAAACCACGUCACAUCUCUUCUGUACAUGUAGAGUUGCCUGGCUUGUAUGGUCUAAGUGUUAAGAGUAGGUCAGACUGAUAUCAUUAAUACAUCAGGAGCCAAAAAUGCAUUUCACACAAUUUAAGCUAAUUGAGGAAAGUGUAGUUGUUAAUCGAAUUUGGUUGUGUGUGUGGAUAACAAUUAUAGGAGAACUGUAGAAACAUAGAAAUGAGAAGAUCUUCAUAAAUGGGCACAUAAACCACUUGGAGAUUUUCUCGAUGGUGCAGUUUAAGGUUUGGUCUUGGGUGACAUCGAAGGUACGCUUAACAUGUUUUUCGUACUCUGAUUGGUUCCUUGAACCUUUGGUUUGUAUGAGGUCCAUCAAAAAAUAUAAAGGUUAGUAGUGAGAUAGGGAAUAACAGUUUUGCUAAUGGGUAGAGGAGGAUGUUAUCGGUUUGUGUUGGAGAUCCCACAUUGACUAGAGAUUAAAGCCUUUCAUUGUAUAUAAGUGGGUGCAAACCUCAACCUCAUGAGCCGGUUUUAUGGGGUUGAGUUAGGCUUAAAGUCCACUUCGUAAUAGUUUGUUUUGUAUACAACUCUUGUAUAGCGAGUGUUUGUGUUGGGCCUAUCGUGCCACAGGCUAUCGGGCCGCUAUUGGACCACCCAUAAUAUAUAGUCCCACGCAUGAGUUAAAGUCAAACAGAUUCAUUAUUCUUGUAGAAAAAAUAUCCCAAGUAAAAAUUUUCUUUUGAGAGGGUAAAGCUUGAUAAACCUUAUAAUUUAUUUUCUUAAUCUUUACAACUUGAUAUUAUAAACGGUAUAUUAACAACUUUUUUUAAAAGGUGAGAUUUUCUCAUCUAUAGUAAUUUAAGAUUCAUAAUAUUAGAAAAGUUAAUUUCAAACAAGUCAAAGAAAAUGAGUUUAUUUUUCUAUUCACUUCUGGUGUUGUACACCAUAAUAAAUAAAUAAAUAUAUAUAUAUAUAUAAUUAUAAUGACAAGUAGAAUUUAACAUAAUAGUCAUUGACUAUAUAUAUGAAUAUUAUUUGAAAAGAUGUAAGGGAUCCAUCGGGAAUUUUACUAAACCAUUCUAAAAGGUUGCGGGUUUGCUUGAAUGAGAACUAGACAUGCAUCCANNNNNNNNNNNNNNNNNNNNNNNNNNNNNNNNNNNNNNNNNNNNNNNNNNNNNNNNNNNNNNNNNNNNNNNNNNNNNNNNNNNNNNNNNNNNNNNNNNNNAAUGUCUGAAUGCACACGACUCGCUGUAAUUCUUUGUUAAAUUUUUGCAAAUCUUCUUGUGCUCUCACUUCUUUAUCCAUCAAAUGGUUGCUUCCUUAUGAAAAUGCUCUUGCUCCACCCAAGCCUUUCUCGUAGACAUUUUUGUUCCAUUUUGGCUUCCUCCACAUGCCUUCUUGCUUCCUCGUUCUCGCAUUGCAGCUCCUAUACAAUAUCCAUGAUUUGUUGCAGCGUGACUCACUUUUUUUGGUUGCACGAUUUGAUUUUGAUUUCCCAUGAUGUUGUUGUUUCUGAUCGAGAAAUAUUUUGCUAAAGCUUACUAUUUUUUUACCAGUAAAGAAUGAAUUUAAUAUAACUGAGCACUUAAUGGAUGCCCCAACCCUUAUACAAAACCUGUAGAGGACCAUCAGGUUUGCUCAACAAAGAAAAAUAUGAUUCCCCUCGCUUUUAAGAAAAGCAAAAGAAAACAAACUCACUUAACCUAAACCAAAACACUACAGUUGUGACCACUGCAAGACCACCCAAUUCCCUACUUCUCUGCCCUCUUCUUGUCACCUCUUACCUUAAAUGAGACACCCAAUCCUUCCCAUACCACACGACUUCAGACAAGUCUUAGAAUCAACACACCAUUGAGCAUAGGUGAAAACUGCUAACUUUUCCUUACUUGUCACCUAAGACCAGACUUUUAAUUAAGCUAAUGUGAAAACCUCAAUGUGGUCGAUUUUACCUUUCUUGAAAAUAACUCUAUUUCUCUGCUUUCAAAUUUCCCCAACCACUGCAAUCCACAUGCAACCCCAUACUUUAUUGACCUUUUGGUUCAUCCAAGAUAAGCUAAACCCUAAAAGGUGUUCUUUGGCAUCUUGGUGGUAAACAGACUCGUCCCCAAUCCACAAGCAACACAAAAUCCAAACCAGCUAAGCUAUUUUACAGCUAAAGAAGGCAUGGUUAACUGUCUCCUCCUCACCACCGCACAUAACACACCUAUUGCUCUCCAACACCACACCUCUCCUCCCCAAGUUGUCCCUAGUUGCCAUCUUAUUCAGUAGCACCCACCAUGCUACAACCUGUGUUGAAGAUAACACUUUAAAACUCCAAAACAUACCGAACCGGCGCCAAGUUUCCCUGCUCAUAACAUUCCUCAGGGACUUAUUCGCAGAGAUAAGCAUAAAGACCAUCGAAGCAUCUUCCUUCAUACCCAUUGAUCCUUAAAAUCCUUGAUCAAGGACUUUCCCUCACUUUGAUGAAUUAACCGAUUAAGAUCCUCCUUUUCCCACUCAAACAAAUCUCUCCUCCACACCAACUCCCAUCUCCAUACUUUUCCUGCCCAAGACCUUGCUUGGUGUAAGGUUGUUUGGCUAGACACGGAAGCUGAAUAGAGACUAGGGAACCUCGCUUUUAGAACACCGCCUUCAAAACCAAGAAUCCUCCCAAAACCUGAUACUCUUCCCCUCCCCAAACGUGCAAGAGAUCUUAUCUUCAAAGCUAUUCCCCCACUCCUCAGCCGACCAUACCCUUUUUAAGUCCCUCCACCAGAGAGAAUCCCUAUAACAUUUGCUUGUUAACUUAAGGCCUCUCCAUCUUCCAUACUUAGAUUCAAUAAUCUCACCCCAUAAUCUACUUUCCUCUACUUUCAACAUCUAAAACCACUUGACUAGGAGCAUCUCAUUGAAUAGCCUUAGUUUUUACCACCAAAAUGCAACUUUUACCUGGCCCAUAACAUAACAGUGGACGCCAAUUUAUUUUGGUUCAAAGUUCUUUGAAUCAUCUUGUUUUCUCUUUUUCUAUACUUCUUAGGGAUCUCUCAAAAAAAUCCCCCUCUUUUACUAGAUGUUGUCACAUUUUUAUAGAAAAAUCUUUUCUCCCCAAAUCCCAUGGGCUUUAUACUGCAAAUUUUGGUAAUACAUCCCACAAAUGUUGUAAAUGAUGAUCUCUUUAGGACCGACACAUGAUGGAUGCCCAUUGGUGUUCUCAUACCAUGUCCAAUCAAACAUGUAUGAACUUCCAUAUCUAAGAUGGUACACAUACAUUAACAACCUUUUUAAAAGGUACAAAAGUUAAUAAAGGUAUUUUUAAGAAUAUUUAGAAACUCAAAGAUAAUGAGUUUAAAAGAUAAAUAUAAUUCCAAAUCUAUUCAUCUUAUGUAAAUAUGAGUUUUUUUUAGUGAGUUGAAUAUGUAAAAUUAUUAAUAAUAUUUGAUUAUUUUUAUGUGUAGUUUAUAUUUUGGUUUAGUUGACGUUAAUUUUGAGAAAUUUUUUUUGAAAAGUUUUAUCCUAACUUAAAUAUAUUAAAUAUGUGAAAAAAACGUGUUCAAAGGUUGGUUUUUCCAAUACCAAAUAAUUAUUUACUUUAUAAAGAAAGCAUCUCGAUAUGAGGUAGGCUAACGUUAUAUUAUAUUUUGACUUCUUGUGAAGUAAAUGAAAAUAUUAAUUCUUUUUGUCUUUGGCGAUCAUGAAUUUAUUGAUUUCUUCUUGUAUAAUUAAAGCUCAUUUUAUGUCGUCACGCAAUUGUCUUUGAAACUCAAUCUCAUUUCUCCAUUUGAAGUAAAAUCCAAAAAUCUUAACUCAUUUAACUCAAUCCCAAAUUAUCAUUGAAAUUGAAUCUCAUUUCUCAAGAAGAACAUUCUCUAAUCCACAAUCCCUAACUCAUUUCGCUCAAUCCCAAAUUCCUAGCCUAUUUCCCUUUGUCCCAAAUCUAUAAGCGAUGUUCAUUAACCCGAAAUCUCUUGUGCGAAUUUCAAUCUAUCAAGCAAUGUUGAGUCAAUUGAUCCUUCGCUACAUGUAAAUAUGUGAGUUUUUUUUAAUUUUUUAAAAUGUGUAUAACUAUUUUAAAUUUUAUUUUUAUGUAAAGUUUAUAUUUUGUUUAGUUGAUGCUAGUUUUGAGAAUUUUUUUUAAUGGUUGAAUGUUUGUUUUACAAAGAAAACAUAUUUAAAGGUUGGUUUAGGCAAUGCUAAAUUAUUAUUUUAUUAUUUAUUUUUAUAGAAAAAAAAACCUUAACUUGGUCAUGUUAUCUUAUAUUUUUACUUUUUAUGAAGUAAAUAAAAACCUUAUCCACAAUUGUCUUCUGAAAACUCAAUCUCAUUUUCCAUUUGAUGCCAAAUUCGAAAACUCUAACUCAUUUAACUCAAUUCUAAAUUAUUAGUAAAAUUGAAUCUCAUUCCUACCCAAAGCAAACUCUCUAAUUCAUAAUCCCUAACCUAUUGCCCAAAUUCAAUCUUUAAGUAAACUUUAUUAGGGGUUUUGUCACCGCUAACAAACUUUUGAAGUUACUCUCGAAGGUAAAGAAGAAACAUUUGAAAAUAUCUAUGUCUGAAACAUUCAUUUUGAGUGGUUAAUAAAUAUUAAAUAUUAUAAUGAUCCUGCUUAAAAGUUUUAUCCUAGAGUUAAAAUUCAUGAUUCUUGGAGAAAAAUUAUCCCAAGCGGAAAAAAAAUUGAGGGUAAAGCUUGAUAAACCUUAUCAUUUAUUUUCUUAAACUUUAAGACUUGAUAUUAAAAACUUUUUUAAAAGGUGAGGUUCUCUCAUCUAUAGUACUAAUGAUGUCACUUAAUAGCAUUUUCAGAAGAUUAGAAAAUUUAAUUUCAGACAAGUAAAAAAGACAGUGAGUUUAAAUGAUAAAUAUCAUUUUUUUUUCUAUUCAGGUGCUGUACACCAUAAUUCAUAUAUAUAGAAUUUAACAGAAUAGUCACUGACUAUAUAUAUGAAUAUUAUUUCCUAUAUGCUCAGUGCUUAGUAGCACUAAGCUUAUUAUGUACACUGUUCAUGCUGGACAUUCCUUUGCUUCCACACCUUUCUCCUUUUCUCUGCCAUAUAUUCCUUUUUCUUUCUCUUCGUCCAUAAUUUGUACUGGGUACCCUUCACACGUUCCCAACGGACUCACCACAACAACGUUUUUCAUUGCCUCCUCCUCUGUAACAAUCUUUGAUUUCCCGUUUCUGUACAUGGCAUACAGCAGCAUCUGAACUAGUCCCAAUGUGAAACCCAGCACGUUUGGAAUCUGCUCGCACAUACAACAAAAAAAGCAAUGAAAUUUUGUUUUCAUGUUAAACUAUCACUGAAUGUUUGUGUGUGCAUAUACUUACAGCAAUGCAUAUGUCCUUGAGGAAGAAACCAUAGGAAAACCACGUUAUGGCACUCAGCGUGAGGAAAAGUGACAAGUUAAAGGGCAUAAACUCCACAUUCUUGGUUCGAAUAACUUGUGUCUGCAAUCACAAUUUAAGGGGUAGCGGGAUUGAAGGUAGUUCAAGCAUGAGAUAGCAUAGAAAAUGGUAAGAAGUUUACUCACCACAAUGCUUAGAGGUGCUGCAAAAACACCUACUGAAAUAGCUACACAAACCCAUCCAACAACUUGGAUUCGGAGGGCACCAUGCAUAGUGAAAAAGGUGACUAAGAAGAUCAAGGCAAAGGAACCCACGUUCAUCACCACAAACAAUUUAACGGUUAACUUCUGCAAUAAAAAACCAGUAACGCUAAUCAGUGUUAGUGAAUUUGCUGCAAGACUAGUGUCACCAACUUGAUGCUACAAACUUUAUUUUUUAUCGAUUAAAAUUUACUAAAUGGUGAAAGAAGCUCAUUAAAUAAUUAAAGAGUGAAAUCUUUACAAUGUUAUGAUUUGUAAUAAAUUUUAAGCACAGAUAAUAUGUUAUUAACCUUUUUCACUCUAAUAACUUGAUUAGACGAUUGACAAAAAUGAAGUUGUAGCAUUUGGAUAAGUGAUAGGUGAAUAUACCCUUGCAUCAGUGGUGGCAUAGACUGUGAAGAGGACAAUGUAAACCGUCUCAAUGACAGUUCCCACUGAGUUAAUGGUAAUGAGGAGAGUAGCAUCAGCUGGCUUCAGAACAGCAUAGUAUAGCCAAAGCAUGGAGCUGAACAGUGCCACCAGGUAUGGCAGUGAUUGAAAACCUUCAGUGGAUUUCUUUUUGUAUAUUCGGUAAAAUGUUGGCCUACAAAUUAGGAAAAGCAAAAUAUAUUUAGUAUUCACAUUAAUUAUAACUGAUUGCAUGUUUUUAUUGAAAGGAAAUUGUAAGAAACGUUACACUUUGUGUUCAGAUACUUACAGCGGUGCCAAAUACACCAUGAAGGAGAUGAUGUUACCUACAAAUCAAAAGGUGGAUGUGUUAAAUUCUUGGCUUUUUGCAGAAAUAAAACGAGGUUGAUUAAAAUUGAUUACAGUGAUUUAAGUAACAGUUAAAGCAUAGGGCAUGAAAAAAAGAAGGCAAGAUAUAAUUUGUAAAUUACUCGAGAAGGGUCGUUAUUAAUUAUAUCAGCUUAUUAUAACUCAGCUGUAUAACUAACUGGGUGCUAAAUUAUCAUGAGUAGGUGGAAAUGGAACGCAAAAAGAGUUGUUCUUGAAUUAAUGGAAAAGGUUGGAGGAAAAAGAUAAGGAAACUCAGAAGAAGACGAAGCGUAUAGCAAUAAAGAUGAUGAAGGAAAGCAUUAAAUUUGGUGGAGCAACUUUCGUGUAAUACUGAAACACUAGAUCUAGAAAUAGUGGGGAGGAAAAACAAAAGGAGAAAAAUUAGAGAAGUGAAAGAGACCGAUGAUGACACUGUGAGUUUACCUAGUAGGCCAAAAGCUAAGGCCAAAUGAUUGUGAGUGUUCAGAAUAGCCAUGCCCCUCUCUUUGCCUGCUUUAGGUUUUGAAGCAAAAAAUUGACCAGAAGGUUUAGGAGUUGAUAGGUUAAGAAACCUGAACUGGGUUUCUUGCUACUCAACCCCUAAAUCACAUGUAAGCACAGAAGAUUGUGAAGAGUGAGCAACCCAUGCAUGGCCUAUAUAUACCCAAAGGAUGCAGAAAAGGGGCAUGAAAAUGAUGAAAAAAGACAAAAAUGAAAUUAUUAUAUAUUUAAACUGAACAAGUGAAAUGAGCAUGUACUUCGCAUGCAUGUUUCAUGGGGGGAUCUGAUUGAUAUUUCUAGAAGGUAGCGUAGCACCAAGCCAUUUACCUUACCUAAUUUAGGAAUGUUCACAUGCAACUUGAAUCAUGAUUUUGGUAUAUCCUACGAAAUUAUAACUUUCACCGAGUGGAGUUCAGCUAAAAGACACGGCACGAAAACUAAAGUUUCACAUAAACUACUGUACCACACACUUCCAUUCUGCAUAUUUGUCUGUAUUAAUUGGUUUUCUGCCAUGUGUUUGAUACUGGUGUAAUUCAUUUUUGCACAAGAAACACGCUUGCAGAAGUAGAAAAAAAACGUGAGGGGUAGGUAACAUUUACGGUUCAUCAAAUAUUGUUAUGUAAUUCUAAAACUUUGUGAAGAUGAUUUACGUUAUGAGUAUAGGAUACUAAAUAUGCGAUUCAUUCACGUGAGAGGUUUCCGAAAAAGCUAUGUGUAGCGGUUUCUCUCCAACACGCUUUGCCGCAUAAACCUGUGUCAUUUCCACACCUUUAUCUUCGUUCUUCCUCACUGCUUUCCGAUUCCCUUCUUUGCAAAACUAUUCUUUCUGCAUGCAAUUCAAGGUUUUCCGUGUUACGCUAACAUCGCAAAUCUUAUCCUCUAUAUUUCUUUUCUUAACAAUCUCACAUAAUUAUCACUUUAAUAAACAAUUCAAAUUUAAGUUCUUUUCUUUUCUUACUCUUCACUCAUUUGACUAAGAUUAAAUUCAUUUAAUUUGGGUUCUAUGUACAUAUGGAUACUGACACGAUAUGGAUAUAUAUAGACACAGAGAUACUUAUAAUCUCUGAAAUGUAGGAUAUGGGGAUACGGAUCUAUAUAUUAUAUAAUUUUGAAUUAUAUAAAUUAUGUUCCAGGUUUUUUUGGGAGCAAGAAGAUAUUUUUCAUGACUGAUUCAAAAGAAUUUGUUCUUAUUUUUAUAAUCAUAAUAAAAAUGUAUACAAUAAAUUUGAGUUUUUAGAAAAUUAUUGUAUUUAUACCUUUUAAAAUUGUGUUAAAAACGUGCUAGAAUUUUCAAAAAUCCAACAAAUAUUUUUUUGAAUUGAACACUUCACCGAUAAGUAUCAUUCGAGUGUCGACAUAGAUACGUGUGUUUGACAAGAAUACACCAUUUAAGAAGAAGUGUUCGAGCCUCAUAGUUUGGGUUUGUCAAUUGAAAACCAAAAUAGUGGUUUCUACCGAUUUCUUACCGUUUCAUGCAACUAAGUCAACACUACAAGAAAAUCAUGAAAUAAAAACUAAUUUUAGAGACAAAAAUAAUUAUUUGUUAUAAUAACUAAAUUAGAGACCAUUUUAAAAAACUAAAAAAAAUUGGUUUUUAAAUUUGUUUCUAUUAUUGUUAAAUAAUUUCUAUAUUGGUAUCUAAUUAGCUACCAUGAUUUUAGCUACCAAUUAUUUAGAUUCUAAAUUUGGUAGUAAAAACUUUGGUUGUUAAUUAGAUACCAAUUUAAAAAUCAUUUAAUAAUAAUAUAAACUAAUUUAGAAACCAAAAAAAUUUGUAGUCUCUAAAAUGGUUUCUAAUUUAGUCACUAUACCACCUAAUUAUAUUUUUUUUCUCUAAAAUUGAUUUCUAUAUCAUAAUUUUCUUGUAUGCAAGAAUCAAAUUAUUUCUAAAAGCAAUUGCACUGAUAUUUAAUUUUCCUUGUCUUUGCCAAAAUAUGAUAAUAAAAUUAUAGUGUGAACAUGUAACAAAGUAAAUAUACUGAUAAAAAAAUAAAAAAAUAUAUUUCCAUAUUUUUGGGUUCUGGAAGUUUAUAUCCUUUAUUAAAAAAAUAUAUCAGCAAUGAAUAAAUUAAUAAGAAGAGACAUUUUAGAAUUGUUUUAACUCUUCUAUAAAAGAAAGAUUAUCUCACUCCUAAGCUAACAUAUCAUAAAAGUAUUUCUGGAAUAGCAAAUUAUGGCCUAGUGUUAAAAAAAUAAUAUGAUUGGGUUAUCUAGUUACGAUAGUUCUCAACUUGAAAAAUAACAAAUCCCAAAAUAGAGCCAAUAAUAAUAAUAAAAUAAUUUAUUUUGAUUUCAGACAAAAUCAACUAAAUACUAUAAAUGAAUUUAAAAAUAAAUACAUUUUUUAUCCUGAAAAAAAGAGUAGAUCUACUUUUUUAGGGAUAAUUUUAUCCUUUAAAAGGGGCUACGCAAGAGUGUCUUUAUACUUAAGCAAAGUAUUUUCUUCAUUAGCCUUUUUUCAUACUUUCAUAACUAAAUGUAAAGGUUUAUUUACAAAUAUUAACUCUUUGAUAGAGGAUACUAAAAUAUGUUACGCGUGUAAGCGUUUAAAGAUAUUGUUAAAAGCAAAAACUUAAUUAAUGUUUUUUUUACAAGUAAGCUUUGUGUUUCAUCUUCGAGUAUUCACUAUAUAUCUUGUUUUGAAGAUAUUUGUUGGGUCUUUAACUCUCAUUUCUUUCCGUUUUGAAGUGUUCAUAAAUGCAUGAGGAGAGAUGUAUUUUAUUCCUUUACAUGUGUAUGAGAGUGAUGGUAUUAUACAAUCCAUGUUUUGUUCAUUUUUUAUGGCCAUCUUGAUAAUUUGAUUAGUUUUAACUUAGAGAAUGUAGUUUUUUUUUUUAAUAAAACUCAUGUAAUGUUGGAUAUAAGUUAAUUUAUGGAGUCAAUUGCGGACCACGUCACUACAAUAAAUUCAUUAAAUAAUAACUAAAUUUAGAGACAAAAAUAAUGAGUCAUUAUAUUAAUUAAAUUAGAUAUUAUUUUGGAAACUAAAAAGUUAUUUGUAGAUAAAGUAGUUUCUAUUAUUAAUAAAAAAUUAUAAAAUAUUUUUUAAAUUGAUAACUAAAUUAGCUACCAAGGUUUAGCUACUAAUAUUUUAGAUUUUAAAUUGGUAUAAAUUAGUCUUUUAGAGACUAAUUUAGAAUCUAGAAUAUUAGUAGUUAAAACCUUGGUAGCUAAUGAUUAGAUACCAAUUUAAAAACUAUUUUAUAAAUUUUUAUUGAUAAUAGAAACUAAUUUAGAUACCAAUAAUUUCUUUAGUCUCUAAAAUGGUCUCUAAUUUAGUCUAAUAGUAACUAAUUAUUUUGGUCUCUAAAAUUAAUUGUAAUUUGAUGAUUUUCUUGUAGUGCAUACUGAUAUUUUCUUAAAAUUUAAUGUGAUAUCUCAUCCUCCAAAUCAUUCAUACCGAGAAAGUGAAGACAACCAAUCUAAUCAUCUUAAUUAAAUGACUCUCAAAAGACUUAAAGAAAAUAAUGAAAUCAUACGGGGAAGAAAAAAUCACCCUCGGAAAGACUUGUUGAAUCUAAAACCAUAUGUGAGUAGCAAUAGAGCAUUUAAAGAAAAGAUGAUGAAUAGAAUUUUCAUGAGUAUUACACAAGUAACACAUUAAAAAGUAUUAAAAUUGAGCUUGUACAUGGCCCAUAACGAAACCCUAGCUUCUAGAAGUGCCUCACAUGUGCCGUUAUAUAGUCACACUUCUCACAUUAAACACAUGCUUAAAUGGGUAAAGUGUGACCCUUUCUAGAUCCACAACAUGUCUUAAUCUCACUUAUCUUGGAUUCCUCCUCCAAGUGGCAUGACUACCUUUAUGCUUUCACUUCCACCAGUGGGUGAGACUCAAAACCAAGUCCCUUGAAUAACCAAAUAAGUUUUAAUCAUUACAUCAGAAAAAUUCAUUUGUCAUAUUAUGAUUUUUAUUAUACUUAUUAUUAUUACUAUUAUUAUUAUUAUUAUUAUUCAUAAUAUAAAUAUUAUUAUUAUUAUUAUUAUUAAUAUUAUUAUUAAUAUUAUCAUUAAUAUUAAUAUCAAUAUUAUUAUUAUUACAAUUAUUAAAAAUAUUUUGUAUGUAAUACUUUAUACAGUAUGUAAUUAGUUUUGCUUCAUGGUGUCAAAAUUACAUACUGAUUAAAUUUGUAUGUAAUCACUUUUGACUUAUAUACGAAAAAAUCCGUAUGUAACUUCUAUUUACAUACUAAAUAAAAUAUGUAUGUAAAUAUUCAUAUGUAAUCACUUUUAGCUUACAUACGAAAAAAUUCGUAUGUAAUCACUUUUAUUCUUACAUACGAAAAAAUUUGUAUGUAAUGUUUAUUUAUAUACUGCAUUAAAUCCAUAUGUAAAUAUUCGUAUGUAAUGAUCACUUUGUAUACGAAUUUAGAUCCGUAUGUAAUAAUUGAUAUAUAAAUGGACAAUUUCUUAUAGUGUUCAUCAUUCUCAUCCAAAUCAAUCAAUAAGAUGAAUUAUCGGUCCUAAUAUGACUCAUCGGAUGAUCAAAGAAUAGAAAUACCAAGAACAUUUUCAUGAAUAAAAUCUCAAGCUAACCAAAGAAAAAACAUAACCUUAACAUAACAUUCUUAUGAAUUUCAUUUAACUUUUAUAUAUAUAUAUAUAUAUAUAUAUCAUUGACUGUAUUUAAUAAUAAGGCAUCCCAAAUAUAAGAUCUAGACACAUUUCAAUUUCAAAAUCCCAUUAUGAAUCUUUCCUUGGUAGGGAUGUGAUAUGGAGUUGCAUUGGUUAAGGGCCUUUUAAAGGUUGGUUAUUGUUUUUUUUAAUCAACAAAAAUAAAUAAAUAAAUAAAUAAAUAGAAAAUUUUAUGAAUGUUGCCAAUCCUAUUUAAAAAACAGAAAAAAUUCUUAAAAACCCCAAACACCAAAAAGCCUAUUCAGCUAUGUUGAGUAUCAUGAUUCAGCGUCAAGAUAAGGUUGAAUAACCAAUAUACUAAGGAAGGUGGGGGAAUUAAGAGUCUGUGGAAUCAAUCAAACACCAAAACAUUUGAAAGUUUGAUUUUGUACUCAAUCAAUUGUUUAUAUUAAAUAAUGGUUCUAUAACCCUUUCAAGAUAUAAUAUACAUAUAAUAUGUUAUUAAAUUCUCUUAUUUUAAUAUUUUUAGUUAAAUUUCUUCCAUGCUACGUAACCAUAAAAUGUAUUAAAUAACAUAAUUGUGUUUAAUAUUAGUUAAUUAUUCAAUAAAAUGAAUUUAAUAUUUUCAAGAAAUUAAAUGAGUAAAUUAUUAUUCAAUACAAAAUCUUACCAUUUUACAAAAAAUGCAUAUUCAAAUUUACAAAUCAAUUGGUUUGCAAGAAUCACGCUGAGGUAGAUUAAAUGCAAUUUAGUCAAGCAAAGUAUUCGUGAUUUAAUCAAAUUUCGUAUGGUGUUUUUCGUUAAAAAGAGGAUUACGCUAAUCAAAUAGUAAUAAAAUCAAUGCCUUCUUGGACAAAGUUUGAAGAAUAUUGGCAUAUGUUUUAUUACUUAGGAACAAAUUAAAAAUAGUGUACACAAGGUAGCAUUCUAUAUUAACAAUGGAAUGAUGGACAAAAAUUUAUUACUUUUGAAAAACUGAAGGACUACUUGUUCAAUUAAAAUUUUAUAGGAGUCAAAAUUACAUGUUCAAAAAACUAUACGAACUAAAAGUUAUAUAUAUAUAUAUAUAUAUAUAUUUUUAAUAAAAAUCUUAUCUACUUCUUAGAUAAAUCAUUUUUUAGAAAUACUAUAUUUUAAAGCUUAAACAAGUAGUUUAAAUAUAUUGUAAUUUUUUAGUGAAUCGGAGGUAUAUUUAAUCCUUGUGGUUAAUUUAGUUAAAUACUUAUAUUUAUUUAAGGAGACCUUUUCACUUUUCAGGAUUUAAGUAAACUAACUUACUAUUUAUUUGAAAUUUUAACAUUGGUUUUAAAUAUUUAAAAGUAAUUAAUACUUUUUUUAUGAAACUUCCUUUUAGGGUACAAAUAAAUACUCCUUUAGUAACAUUUAAUUAAUGUGAAGAGAGUAAUAAUAAAUAUAAAGUGAUUCAGUAUAUUUAAAUAUGUAAGGUCAGAAAUAGUUUUAUAAUUUAUAUAUAAUUAUAUAAUACAAAUUUAUAAUUGUGAUUGGUGGCAACAAAUAAAGACAGUUGUCCUCGGAUGUAUAAAAGUUAAAAGAAAAGAAACAAAAAGAAAAUGGUUUCUGUAAAAGUCAAGUGAUUCUGAGUAAAGAAAAGAGGAAAAGUGGAAAAAGAUAGAAAUGACAUAUAAAAGAAUAAUAAAGAAGGAACAAAGGAAGAGAGGCGAAAAAAAAAGACGUUGAAACUUACAAAUGUCGAGGUUGACCAGCUAAAGGACAAUAUCUAUUAUGGAAAGUAUUCCCCACUCACAUUAUCAACUCUUCUAACAAUGUAUAAUUAAUUCACACCAAGUUAAAGAAGAAGAAAAAAUUAUAUAAAAAAUUAAUGUGCUUAAAUUUAAGUUUUAACUUUGUAUUUUUUUAAUUGUCUGAUAAAAAAAUA
rnacentral:lncRNA from 1 species